rnacentral:lncRNA from 1 species
UGCCAUAUGGGUCGUAAUGCUGAAAAGUUUCGCAUAGGUACAUUUUGCAAGAAGCGUCCAUUUGUAUCUUCGGGUGACUUCGAUCUUCGUAUGCACCAAUCUGAAGGCAACAACGCUUAAUAUUCAAUGAUGAGGUCCCUGGAUAUCUCGUCUUUAAAAAGCCCUCUCAUGGAGGAGAUUUUUCAUAUUACCUUCAUUUCUAUCAUUUCGUUUACGCCAUAAAGCAUCCUCCUUUACUUGUUGACCUUCUUUCUGCACCCAGUUUUCUCUUUGAGCCUUCGAUGUUCAGUAUAAUUGUCGAGGUACACAAUGGUGUUCUGCCAAACACGUUCCAUAUACCCUUCAAGUCCAAGAUCUGGAAAUGUAAAAAUCAAAGUGAAUAUCAGAUGUGAGCAGAGUUUGUGAAUUGGGUAGUUCACAAUCCAUACAGUUAACAAAGACACAAUAGUAGAGUUAAUACCCUUAAACUCAUCCUCCCAAACACCAUAGUUAUAUGUGAAAGGGAGAUCAGGGCCAAUAAGCCCAACUUGGCUGACUCUGCAGCCAGAUCAAGGCACAACUAGGAUCAAUUGGUUGUACUUUAUGUAGGGAUAAGAAUUGAGUUUCCUCUUUGACAAAUGUUACUUAUUCAUUCCGGCCAUUAUACGGUACAACACUGAACAGAGAGUACAACUUUUCCGGCCUCGUAGUCUGGAACCCUCCCAAACAUUGGACACUACAACAAUAGAUAAUGCAAUAAAAUACAACACAGUACCAUCAGAUAUUACAUAAUCGGAUGAAUCAAAGGAGCCCUAGUGUUCAAGCUUCCAUAUGUUGUGGUGAACUUAAGUAGUGGCCUCAAGAAAUGGAUAAUCAGUGUAACCAACGACGGGAUCAGAUGUGUAGAAUGUCUCUCUGUUGUACUUGUUCAGAGGAGCAGUAAGCUCAAAUCUCUUUGGCAAAUCCGGAUUCGCCAGGAAAAUACGGCCAUAAGCAAUAAGAUCUGCACGGCCCUCAGCCAGAGCAUUGUUCCCAUCUUCCUUGUCGUAACCACCAGCAGCAAUGAAGGUACCAUUAAAAGCCUUUCUCACUGGUGCAAGACCCUGGGGAUAGUCACUCUUUUCUGCACCUAUCUUCAUCCUCGGCUCAACCAUGUGGCAGUACAGGAUCCCAUAUUUGUUCAAUGAAUUGGCCAUACAGAGGCCCAAUUCUUUUGGAUUUGAAUCCCCUGAGUCCAUAAAGUCGGCAAAUGGAGAUAAUCUAAUUCCAACUUUAUCUGCUCCUAUUUCGUUAGCGACAGCUUCAACAAUUUCCAGAGCAAAUCGACAACGAUUCUCCACAGAUCCGCCAUAUUGGUCUGUUCGGUCAUUCACUUGAUCUUUCAGAAACUGAUCAAUAAGGUAGCCAUGGGCCCCAUGAAUUUCCACUCCAUCAAAGCCUGUAUGUCAGACAAACAAUUACAGUUUACCAAAUAUUAUUUGUAAUCUAGCAUGAACUAUUGUCACACAUCUAGUCAAACUGCAAAUUAAAUUAUGCUCUUAAUUACAUUUGGAAGAUUAGGAGAUGGUUCGUUUGCUCAUGUUGAAAGCAUUUCUGAGUUCUUGCUAAUUUUUUUUUGUACUAAAGUAAAAACAAUUUACCGGCUUCCAUAGCAUUCCUUGCAGCAAGUCUGAAAUCAUUGACUAUUUGUGGGACUUCAUCUGUCCUCAAUCGCCUAGGAGGAGAAAAUUCAAUAACAUAAACGCCAUUAGAUGGUGUUUCUGAGGUUAGUGACUUGUCAGUAGAAGAGAUUGGAGCUUGCCCAUUUGGCUGAGAUCCUGUAAGAAAAUAUAGAUAGAAUCACAAUCUGAAAGAUUACUAUUACAGGAAUAUCAAGGCCGCAUUCUGAUGCUUCAAUGGGCUAACUUUUCACUUAUGAUCCGAACGCUUUCAAUGACCCAACGUGAAGUCAUAAAAGUGCAGUGUUAGAAACGCACCGGUAUUUGAAACCCUCCCAACAUGCCAAAUCUGACAGAAGAAGAUGCCUCCUUUAGCAUGAACAGCGUCAACAAUGGGUUUCCAUGCUUCAACUUGCUCCUUUGUCCAUAUACCGGGAGUAUCUGGGUACCUUCGCAUAUUAAAGAAACAAAAAUGUUAUCAAACUUUGAAAUGAAGAAAGUGCACGUUUAGUAUGUUUUCCGUUUAAAAUUUAACAUAAAAGAAACUUGAGAAAAGCAAAUAUUUUUGAAGUUAAGUUACCCUUGAGCUGUGUCAGAAACUCCAGUAGCUUCAGUUAUGAGAAGACCCCCGUUAGAUGUUCUCUGAGAGUAAUAUAACACGGCAUGUGGCUGAGGAACAUUUCCGUAUGAUCUUUGUCUAGUCAAUGGUGCUAAGACAACUCUGCAGAAGGGCAAGGAAGAAGUAUAUAAUCAGAUGCACCUACUACAUGGUCUAUGACAAGUUUGAUAGGAAGUAUUAUCUGAUCUUGCUAAACAGAACAAGAUUUACGUGUCACACCAAAAAAUCCAGAAAGGAGAUAUACUUUUCCUAGCCAAGUGCAUCUAAUAUCAAAGAUGAAUUAAUUAAUUUCAGGUCAGAUCAAGUACUAACUCAGGUGUGAUGAGUGCUUCAGAGUUCACACCCCAUGAUGUACCAUUUUUGUCUUGGGAAACAAUAUCAAACCGAAUGUCAGUCGGUUCUAGGCAUCAUCUACGCAUAUAUUUGGUUUCACUAUCUGGGGCUUACAGCGAAUUUCAGUAACACCUGUCCUAGUUUAUUUUCUUUAAGAAUUGACUACUUUAGUUGCUGAGAUAUAGUUACAACAUGUGUAUUCUGCACGAGAGCGUCUAGGAAAUUCAAACAAUCUUGAUCACAAGGCAAGUAAUUCAUAGCGGUAGACAUCAAUACAAAGUUUACAAAAUGACCCAAAAGUUGCAGCACACUAUCUAUUGUAACUCAAACUCGCAAACAAAACCCAGAUUAUCCAACCAAUCAAACCAAAUCAAUUCCUUGCUUUGCAAGCAAGGUGAACAUGCAAAUGGUACAUAACAAACUAUCCAAUGAGAGUUGCUGCUUUUAUUUCUGAAAAUUCAGGAUUCUUGCAUAGGCAAAUAAACAUUUGACAAGCACAAAAACUGCCCGGUAACCCGCACUUUACCCAAAAAAAUAAGUAGUAAUUUCAUUUUUCUUGAUAGAAAACUGGGAUUUUCUGCAACCCUGACAAAAACCCAACAGCCCAAAUCACAACUCCUCAAACAGAAUAAGUCAACAAAACCAAUGCAGAAUGUAGAAGAAUACAAUUGUAGAAAAGGUUGAGUGGGUGAGUGGGUGAGUUAAGUUAACCUAUGAGAAAGAUUGAAGUUUCCAAGUUUGUACGGAUCAAGGAGAGGGCUUGUGGGACCACCUACUUGAGUUUGAUUAGUGGUAGCCAUUUUCAGAGCUCGAUCCUGAUUUUUGAUUUGAUUUGAUUUGAUCUGCUCUCACAUUGGGGGAUUUAUACCGUCGGGGAGAGGAGGAAGAUGAACAGUGAACCAUAAAGCAACACUAGCACUAGCUGGGGAGGGAGAGGCAGUGGUGGGCCGGGCGGCUUCUUUUUCUAAUUAUUUUUUAUUUUUUUAUUAUGAAUUGAAAUAUUUGAUGACGUUUGUUAUUACGUAAUCGUGUUUGUUUUUUUUUUUUCCAGUACAUAUUGUUGGAAGGAAGGACUAUGUGACAAAGACGAGGAAGGGCCUCUGGUAAUUUGCUGAUCCUGUCUUUUACUCCUGCUUGAUGCUUCGAAACCGUAACCGUAACCGUUUGUAACCUGAUCAUUUUUUACGCAAAACAUUCAUUUGCUUACAAGCAAAAUUACUAUUUUAAUUCGAACAAAGGGGGUUUGAACUCGGGAAGCAGUGGGUUAAAGAGAAAGUCCUACCAAGCAUGCAUUAGUAAGUAGGCAGAGGCAGAACCCAAGUGGGUGAUAAGCUAUCUGACAAAAAAAAAAAAAAAAAUGGGUUGGGGAGGGUGGGCAAUGUUAACAGAGAGUUAAUGGUAACGUUAAUGUUAGGCUUGAAUCCUAACAUAUUUCACCACAAGAGUAUAAAACUGAAUUUUUUUUAUCAUUGAUGUUAUCUUUUCAUUACCCUAUUACCACGAUAAUCAUUAAUUCACUUUAGCCAUUUGUUUUAAUUCAAGCUUUGUGAUUAUUUAUUGGGUUUGGAUUGUGGGAUACGAAAAAUCUUAUUUGAGCAAAUUUGGAUUAUUGCCCCGAUAUUAUGGAUUCCUGUCGAAGAUCUAUGGAGUUGAAUUGAACUAGAGGUCUGAUCGAUGUGGCGACUUUUUCGAAGACAAAGUUGCACCGGUUCACAAAUUGGAAGCGGGGGCCAUCGGAGAAGUUUUUAGUUAUUAAGGGUAUUUUAGUACUUUUAUAUUAACUUUUGGUUACAAUUAUUACAAAUUUUAAAAGAUGGCUACAAUUUUAUAAAUGGUUCUAAUUUUAGUUAUUUUUCAACUUUCCAAUUGUUGUGGCCAAUCUCCUUUAUCUCUCUCUUUCUCUUACCUAAUCAUUUCAGAUUUUUUUUUUCUUUUAAGCACGUGCUGUGGAGCCUAAAAUAAUCUCAAAAAUUAUAGAGACGACACGUGGAUUUUUGAGCAAGAAAGACAAGAUUGCUCUCAUAAAAUUGGUAGGCUCCUCAGAUACUCUCAUGCCUAGCUCACACCAUGAAGGUCUCAGCAGUUGAAUAUGAUUGCCCACAACUCACCUGCCCCUUGACAAGGAAAAGUCAAAGCAUUAAAAAUAAUAAUUAAUUACCCAAAUCCUAUAUUUAAUACAUUCUCAAUUGAAGAUUGACUUCAUUCAAGUAAGUAAUUCCAAUUUAAAUCAAUUAGGGAUAAUUACUUCAUUAUCUCAAGAUAUUAUUUCCUAUUUAAUAUUUGAGAAUAUUUCUCUAUAAACCUUGGCCAAUAGGAUGCUGCUAUGUGUAGGGUAAAACUCUAACACCAUGGCCGGCCACUCCCCUAUAUAUACCCCAUAUUCUACCAAAUUUCAGUAAAAUGUUGCUACCCCUAAAAGCCCUAAACACUUUACUCUUCUCAGAGAAAUUAACUUAGGCAUCAGAGAUCCAUAGGCCUAACCGUCCCAUCUCGUGGCCACGUGUGACUUAAGUUCUUGAUCAAAGGUGUCGAUUGUUUUGCAGGUACAUUUUCGUCAAAGCUACAAAUGGUGGAAAUUUGCAUCGACACAUGUCACGAUUUUGAAUUCUAAAUCAGCAUAAUAUGGGUUUCACAAUUGCCAAAUCAUCAUUUAAAGGUUAAUUUAUUAGGAAAACUAAUGAAAAGGGCUUGAAAACUUUAAGUUUUAAUGAUAAGGACAAAAUAAAGGGUAAAGUGAAUAGUACCAGGAUUGACUUUUUAGUGUAAAAAUGUGGUUUUUUGUUAAAGUGAACAGUACCGAGUGCUUUUCGUUAAAGUUCCCUAAUUUAUUAGCAACUAAAAUAAAAUGACAAUAAAUAUAUGAUAUUGUAAUAUUUUAAAGAUGUUGCAUGAGGUUUGUAAUUGCACUCAAACCUAAUAGAUAAAAUGUAAUUUACUCAUAAAAAGUUGACAAUAAUGAUAUAAUAAAAUGUCUAUCAGAUGGCUGCCGAUGUGGACGACACCAACGGCCGGCUCCUGUAUCAAAUCAUUUUUCUUUUCUUUUUAUUGAUAUGGCCGACACCACAAUUGUGUUUCUUUUUUUCUUUCUCUAUUAUAGGAGAUACCGUAUCUUAUUUUAGAUGAGACAAUAACAUAUUUUAAGCGUCUAUUAUAAGUGAUGGCUGCUAAUGUGGGCACCACAACCACCGUUUGACUAUAAUUUGGACAUUCUUUUAUUAAUCUUUUACUUUAAUCCAAAUAAUUGCAUCCAUGCCUGUUAGUUCAAUUAUUUACCUUUUUUCUUCCUCUCAUCAUGCGCAAUGGGAUCAUCGUUUAUUGCCAAGGGCCAACAUCACUUUUGGUGGUGUACAUGAUUUAGUGGGGUGGACGGUGAAGUAAAUGGUGCAACAAUGGUGGUGUUGUGGUGUGGUGGUGGUGUUAAUGACAGUAUUGACGGUGAUGAUGUUGGCAUACAUGAUUUUUUUUAGAGCAUUUUCAUGUAAAACGUCCUCGUAAACUCAAUUAUGAAGAGUGUGCCAAAAAUUUUGAGAUGGAAAAUUAUUACUACAUAUUGAGGAUUGAAAAUGCUGACACAAGAAACCGAACGAACGAAAAUGCCCUUCGAGCACUUGCCGCAUUAAAACCUAGAGGUGCGGCCGCGAGGGUCUCGUUACUAAAUUAACACCUUUGUCGGGCUCGCGUCUUGGGUCAUUUAGCUUAGUAGAGCUAUCGGACCAAGGCGGCUUAGCGAAGCUCAAAUCCCUCAUGAGAGACUUAGAGGGGUGUAUUCAAUUGGGAUUUUGAGAUAUUUUAAUUCUUUUAAUGAAUUCAGGGGUAUUCAAUCAAGAUUUUAAGUGAUUAUCUGAAAUUGAAUGUGUAUUCAAUCAAGAUUUUAAGAUAAUUUAUUAAAAUCAUUAGAAAUCCGGAUGUAUUCAAUUAGAAUUUAAAAAAAGUUUAUAACAUUCCAGGUGUAUUUAAUUAGAAUUUGAAAUUAAAGAAUUUAGAAAAGUUGAGGAAUUAGAGGGAAUUUGAGAGAUUUUGUAAUGUAUUUUAAGCAUCCACAAAUCUCAUAUCUCCCUAUGAGAUUUCGAGGGAAUUGAAUCAAAAUUUUCCAUGGAAUCUCUACAAAUCAGUUAAACUUCAUAAAAAUUCAUGGAUUUAUAAAUCCAUUAAAAUCUCCCAAAUUCUCAAUUGAACACACCCCCCUUAGUAAGGCCUGAUACAAGAAUUAGCCUAAUGGGGCUAGAUAAGGAAUGAUCCUUCAACAUUAGCAAAUGGGAUCACAAUCCCUACAAUCGUGGGCUAGUCAUAAGCCACAAUAUCUCACGUGGUUAAGGGUCUUCAUAAACGGGACACUUAAUUGACACUCUUUGUUUCAUCUCUCAAAGUCAAACGGCUAAUGACUUAAUGAGCGGGAUAACGAGUCUCAAAUAAGUCAAUCAUGAGACACCACGCAUGCUCUAAUAAAUCACCUGCAAGCUCAUACUUACCACUAAAUAAAGACAUGGUCUUUGACCAUGAAUUGGCAAAUGUUUCUCUACCAAGAAACUAGACCGUUCUUAUUCAUUUCAUCUACUAAAGAAGGUGUAUUCAAUUUGGAUUUUGAUGAAUUUUAACGGAAUUAUAAAUUUCAUGGAGUUUAUGAAUUUUAAUUGAUUGACAGGGUCAUGUGAAUUGUAAAGGAAUUUUACAUGAAUUUUAUUACAGAGUUUAAUGGAUUUUAAUGAGUCUAAUUUUGUUAUGGAGUCUAAUGGGUUUUAAUACAGUUUUUGUACGAUCACUUUUUGUGUAGGACUUUCAUUUGAGACUCGCUUCACCUUGUUACUCUAUUCCAAUUACUUCAAUUAACGAGGCAGAUAAUGCUUUACUGUAGUGAAGGAAAUUAGUUAUGCCUAUGUAUCUUGGUAUAGUUUCGAUCUCUACUGAUUCCCCUCCUUCCUAAACCCAAAACAACUUGGACUCUCUUAAUAGUUUGAAUCUACCACCUACAUUACCUUCUAUCCUUUUUGCUGAAAAAACAUGUUGCCACUCACGUGGAGUGAUAUUUUCGUCAAUCCACUUCCUAGAGUUCACUGCAAUCAAUUUGCACGAAGGCAAGAUGCAUUUUUUUAGCAGCGUGGGAGUCAUGCUAUGAAGAGAAAGAGAGAAGUUGAUUUCGGGUUUGAUUCUGGCUAGGGUUGUUGAAGAAUUAAAGUGAAAAAUGAUUGUUGGCAUCUGUUGCGAAAUUUAAACUAACCGGAAUUAGUCCAACUUAGUUCCAAAUUUCAUGCUCGCAAGUGUAUGAAUUGUUCAAUAGUAUAGAAAGCAAGCACUUAAUAUCGUCUCAUAAAUUAAUCUAAUUCUAAACAACUAACUUAAAUCCAAUUACAACGUAAUAAAAUUUAACAAGGAUUGAUGAAUAAUGAUGGUUUUGAGAGUUGAUACUAAUAGUGAAAACAAAUAUCAAAAGUAAGAAAGUUUGAAUAUAACGCAAAAAGUGGUAGCCAAGAAAACAAAUUAUAAUUUAGUUGAGUAAAACACUAGAGCGUCCGACUCACCAUAACCAAUCUAACUUAUUUUCUGUAGUGAAUUAUUAACAAGUACUCAACCUCAUUGAUAGUCAAAUUUCCCUAACACAUGUAAUAUCUAUGGCAUCUAGACUAUUACGUACAUUCCCCUAUGCAACCAUCCAUGACAUAUGGAAUAGUUUAACAUAAUGAAACUCAUUACGAUCAGUGGAAAUUUAUAUAAAGACUACACAAAUCCUAGAGUAUGACAUCUACUACUAGGUAAUUUAUGGUAUCUAUUUGCAAGAAGCUAUCACUCAAGUUGAAAACAUGACAUCUGCACAACUUGCAUCAAAUUUACUAAGUAAGAGUCAAGAUGGUAGCUAAUCACCAAGACUAAGGCCAUCUCCAACCGAAGGAGGGCCAAAGGGCCAUGUUUAGCCCUAUAACCCUGCAAGAAAUUAUAUUUUAAUGAACAGUGUCAGACCAUAUUUUAUACUAUCUCCAACCGAGGGGGCUAAAUGGCCGUAGGUCAAACAUAAUUUAAUAUGGUUAAUUAAAUUAAACUAGCAUAUUAAAAUAAGGUUUUCAAACAUAUUUUGAGUGUCACUUGUUGAUGAAUGAAUAAGCCUCCAGAUUUCUUAUCUUUAUAUAAUCUCAAUAAUUUUUCGGAUAUGAUUUCGAGUGACACGUGUCGCUAACGUGAGUAACUCUCCAGAUUUCUUAUCUUUAUGUAAUCUCAAUAUUUUUUUUGGAUAGGAUUUUGAGUGACACGUGUCGCUAAAGUGAGUAACUCUCCAGAUUUCUUAUCUUUAUGUAAUCUUAAUAAUUUUUUGGACAAUAUUUCGAGUGCCGCAUGUCGAGAUGUAAUUGGUUGUGCAAAUUUUAGAUAUGAUUCUUAUUUACGUGGCACUUCUUAUCUUCAACUUCCAAUGUUAUUAAAUUGGCUGGAUAUUGGGGUAGAAUUCACACACCUUCAUCUUUGCCUUCUCAAAUAUCUUUUUCAAUUCAAGUUUGCAAUGAAUUCCAACUUUGGAUCCUCUUUGCAUUCCAAUUAGGGGUCCUCAUCCAAUUCCGAAUUGGAAGAUCAAUGGGCGCAUAUGAGACGAGAAGAUGAGGAAUCCGAUGAAGAAGAUGAAGCAUGGCGAACACAACAUAUAUGGCAGCAAUGGAUGGGGUCAUGGUGUGUGAGGAAACUGAAAAACAACCUCAAUGGGUUGGCUCUGUUACUGGUCGCUCUUACAAACCACGAAAUAGAGAGAUCACACAUGAGACUCUGAUAAACAACUCUUGUGGUUUCGGAGAUUCGGUGGAAUGAUGCCUUUGUAGAACUCAUAGUACUUUUUGGACGUAUGAGUCUGUUUGUACCAUACUUGACCAAUCCCAAAAUUAUUGAGCACCGGUCAACGUUAUACCAUCAAGGACCUAGAAGAGUUUCCCUCUAACCAGGAGGCCAAUCACAGCGCGACACGUGUCGACAUCAGAAGCCAAUUAUAGCACGACACGUGUUAACAUCAGAAGCCAAUCACAACACGACACGUAUCAAUGUCAGAAUGAAACUAGAAACUCUCUUCUAUAAAUAGAGAUCAUUUUCUCACAAUAUUUCCUAAUGUCAUUUGUACUAAAUCAUUCACUAGUACUCACUAAAGGAGAGCUUGAACCUAUGUACUUGUGUAAACCCUUCACAAUUAAUGAGAACUCCUCUACUCCAUGGACGUAGCCAAUCUGGGUGAACCACGUACAUCUUGUGUUUGCUUCCUUAUCUCUAUCCAUUUGCAUACUUAUCCACACUAGUGACCGGAGCAAUCUAGCGAAGGUCACAAACCUAACACUUUUUGUUAUACCAAAGUCCUCACUGAUUUUGUGCAUCAACAGAGUCCAAACACCUUCACUUGUUUGAGAACUACCCUUGACACUAUCUUCCAAAAGCCAUCUAUAAGUCCUGCAAAGAGCUUCAUCUUCUUUUCAGGUCCAAGCCCUUCCUUUCAUUGCAGAUGUGGCCAUUUGAAAAUUAUUGAAAAAAUUAAAGGAAAAAUUAUUGGAAGAAGUAAGAGAAUAAAAUGUGAAGAAUUAAAAUAAAAUUAGAUAAGAUAGUAUGGAAUGGUGAAAAGUAUGUGAGAAAUUGUGUAGGAAUGACUUAGGUAUUUAUAGGAAAAAAAAUAGAUUUUUUUUUUCAAAUUCGUCUAAAAAAAAAUUCAAAUUCAACGGCUACCUGGUGUUGCUGACGUUAGGUUACCGUUGGAGUGCAAGUGGGUUGGGUUGGAAGGCUGGCUAGCUGGUAAGAAAUGGCCAGCCUGCUAGCCUGAUUUGGGGGUUUUGGCCUGGUGGGGCCCACAAGCCCUUUGGCCUAACCCUUGGUUGGAGACGGUUUUCAUGUCAUUUGAAGUUAUUUUUAGCCAUAUGACCCUUUGGCUGGGUCGGUUGGAGAUGGCCUAAAACCAAGCAUAUAAGCACAGUAAACAAUACUCAAUGAUAAUUGAAAACUUGAAAAUAAUUCACUUUAGAAUUUAAGCAUUCGUAGUCAUGGUUACAUUGUGACAUCUCGUCCCAAAUUUUACAUUUUUAUAAAUUUUAAAAGUGUGAUUUUACGAAAAUACCUUUAGAGGUGAUGGUCUUGACUUCCGUUGACCAAUGUAUAGCGAGGUGUAUGAAUUAAUACUUAGCGUUUUCUUGAAGUACUCGACGUUACGAAAUUAUAAACCCGAGAAGUACUUUUGUUUAGUCGCUAUUUAUAUAUUUUAUACAUUUUUAUAAUGAUAUAUUUUGUUUAUCAUUUAGUGAUUUUAAAAAUAGUUGAAGAAGAAGAGGAAGAAGAAGGGGGGAUGGGAGAGAGAGUAGAGGAGAAGGGCUGCUACCUAAUCAGAAGAGAGGAAUAGAGAAGACUGACCAAUAGGAAGGAGAGCAGGAGGAAAGGAAAGAAGAAGAAAAGGAGGGAACCCAAACGGGUCUUCCUUAACCCGUGCAACCCAUGUCUUCAAACCGGCGGCUUCUCAUCGUUUCUCGUCUAAUUUUCCGACGAAUUGGACCUAUGAAUUGUUUCCAAUCAUCACCUUGGCCCUUUCUCUUCUUCUUCCACAAAAAAUUAGAGGGAAAUUGAUAGUAUUUUAGUACAAUAAUGGUGAUGGGUGCCGCGAGAGACCUUGCCCAAAAUCCAUCAAUUGUGAAACCAUCUCCUUCAAUUACCACCAUUAGAACACUCCUUUAGAACCCAGGAACAAAGCCCAGGCAAUGGUCGAGGCGUCGAAGUUGCUAUGGAGCCGAAUUGAGAACACCCAAAAUUAGGGUUUCCGAUGGGUUUUAGCAAAAUUGGGGCUCUUCCAGGCCAAAUUGACCUUGGCCCCAUGUGUGAAAGUUAUUAUACUCAUUGAGAUCUUCAUGUUUGUAAAUUUUGGUAAUUUUUGGAAAUAGUUGGAUUUUCCAAUGAGUCGGGGCGGCCGACCGUCACCCACGGCGACGGCGCAUGGCCAAGGGACCGUCAAUACAUAGGUGGAUCGUUUGAACCUAAAUCCCUUACGAUACGCUACUUGGUAAAAUAUUAAUCGACGAUCCGACCGUUGGAUCGUCACCAAACUUUAAUACAUUAUAGUACAUAAUAUUUAAAGACCAUAGAAACUUACGGAUCACGAAUCCGACACACGGAUCUUCCCAAAUUGGAUUUGUAAGUUCAUAAACUAAAAUGUUGAUCACCGCUUGGUUUUUGGCAAUUGGCGGAGAUCCGACAGUUGGAUCGUAAUGAACUUUUAGGAUGUUGUUCUAGAAGCAUAAUGUGGAUCUUUGGAAGUAAUGGAUUGGAAAUCUGUGAUGCGGAUCUUCCGGAUCAAACCUUAGGGGUGUGUUUUAUGUAAAUUAUGUAUUCUAUCGAUAAGAAUUCUGAGAUGUUAUUUGAUAAUUGUUCUAGGCACCGAUCGUUCGUGACGCCUCUAUGUGUGUGCUAGGGAGUUGUAGCGUAAACUCUAGGUGAGUGAGUCUUUUCCUUUCUAUCGUAUAUACAUUAUAUAUAUAUAUAUAUAUAUAUGACUAAUAAUUCCAUAAACGUUUAUAAAUUGAUUAUUGCUUAUGAUUACUGUAAAUGUUUUGAAAUAAUUAUUGUGAACUACAAAUGGCUUGAUCCCUAUUUAGGAUACGUAGGCAAUCUAACAAAACGUUAGAUGCAGCCAUAACAUAAAUGAGAUUUGUUGAUGCACAAAACCGGAGGGAUCUUGGAACAACGUAAAUCCGACCGUGAAUUUGUAAGAAAGUAAAGAACACAAGAUGUAUCAUGGUUCACCCUAAUGUUUGGGUUACAUCCACACUGAUAUUGUAUUUCUCUGUUUGUGAAAGGAUUGUGUGGGAGAGAGAGCUUGAAUAUGAGAGUGAGGCUUUGCUCUAAAUCUCAGAGCUUGAGGAUUAUAAGGGUGAGAAUGCCCUUUUAUAGACUAAGGGCUCAUCCCAUUUUUACAUAUCAGCCCCUUCAUUUAUUACAUAAUUACCCUUGAGUCCCCCGAGUAUUUAUACGAGGUAUAAAUAUGGAGGUCCUAAGUAUGGUACAAACAGUAGCCCCUAAGUCUUCAGUCAAGAGAGUCUGGCUGGAGACUUGAAAUUCAGUCCAUGUGUGGGCCAAAGUAACUAGAUGUCGUCUAUAACUUAUACUUGAUAUGAGGCGGUGCCCAAUCUGAAAUGAUGCUCAACGAGAAGUAGCACAUGUUGCUAGGCUGCUCGGCUUGUGGCUUAUGUUGCCUUGGUUAGCUCGGCUUGUGGCGUUUGAAGGUGAGGGAGUCUCUUUUAUAGAAUAAGAGCUCGUUCCUUAAUACAUAAAUGGUGGGCUAAAGUUGAUGCUCGCGGCGAGGCGGUUGCUCAGUUGGCGGCGAUGCUCUCUAAUGAUGGUGAGAGAGUCCAUUUUAUAGAAUAAGAGCUCGUUCCUCAAUACAUAAGUAAUGGGUUAGGAGUGAUGCUCGCGACGAGGCGGUUGCUCAGCAGGCGGCGAUGCUUUCUAAUGAAGGUGAGGGAGUCCCUUUUAUAGAAUAAGGGUUCGCUCAUCGAUACAUGAAUAAUGGGUACUCUCUAAUGAAAGUGAGGGACUCCCUUUUAUAGAAUAAGGGUUCGCUCCUCAGUACAUAAAUCAUGGGCUAAGUCCCUUAAGUAUUUUUCAUGAGGCCCAGUUGCGGAAGCCCAAUAUAUGGUACAUAGUGUAGUCCCCCAAGUCUUCAGUCAAUAGAGUCUGUUGGCUGGAGACUUCAAAUUGAAUCCAUGUAUGGGCCGAAGUGGCGGUUGUUCGGAGGCGGUAUUUGUAUACCCUACACUGAAGCUUUGUAGGUGAAGCUUUGCAAGUGAAGCUUUGAAGCUGGAGCUCUCGAAGUUGGAGCUCUGUAAAUGAAGCUUUCGAAGCUGAUUGACAUGAGUGAUGCUCAUGAAUGUUUAUGUUGAUUGACAUGAGUGAUGCUCAUGGAUGUUGACAUGAAUGAUGCUCAUGAAUGUUGACAUAGGUGAUGCUAGUGAUGGUCAUGAAUGUUUAUGCAUGAUUGACAUGAGUGAUGGUCAUGAAUGUUUAUGUAUGAUUGACAUGAGUGAUGCUCAUGUAUAAUUUUGGAGUACUGGAUGUACUUUUGAUUACCUAGUUGGUAAUAAUAGCAGCAGGUUGCCGAAUAAUUUUUUGUAGUACUGGAUGUACUUUUGAUCACCUGGUUGGUGAUAACAGCGGCAGGCUGCCGAAUAAUUUUGGAGUACUGGGCAUACUUUUGAUCACCUGGUUUGUGAUAAUAGCGGCAGGGUGCCAAAUAAUUUUGGAGUACUGGGCGUACUUUUGAUCACCUAGUUGGUGAUAAUAGCGGUAGGGUGCCGAAUAAAUUUGAAGCCAUAGGGUCUGGCUCUUUUGGGUAUAUGGGCCUUCCCCCACCACAUAACAUUCCCAGCCCAUUAUUUUGGGCAUGCCGUUUUUUUUUAUUACCCUCUGAUGGGGUUUAUACAUAUGUCUCCGAAAGGUAAGAAAAAUAAAUCACAUCAUUCAAAAAAAUAAAUAAAUAAAUAAAGUAGUCGUUGGGGGACUACACUCCCUUUCAUGAUGAAAGUUUCAUCUUUUUCAGCAUGUUGAUGGGCAUCUUCUAGUCCAACAGAAAGUGGAGACGGGGAACCUUGGUGGGCAUCUUCUUAUCUUUAGUGGUCGAUAAAAGCAAAAAAUACAAUCUUGGCUACAAUCCUGGCUUUUUCCUUUCUGUAUUCCUUUUCUUCCCUUUUUCUUUUUCUGCUGCAUUGCAGGUUUACAGCAUGUUGCUUUGCCAGUUCAUCAAUUAUGGGGUGGAUCAUACGGCAAGGCCCACACCACGGAGAUUCAACGGCUGUUGCACCAGAUGCUAAUUGCUCCAUAAAGGUGGAUAACAAGUUGUUUCAAUCCCUUCAACACGAGAGGAGCGUCUUACCAGUUCUUCAGAUGGGUAGCAACCUUUUCCUUGUCGGUGAAAAUACCGGUCGACUCAACGAUGUACUCAGCUCUGCUCUCGGACCACGGGAUCUCCACCGGGUCCCUUUUUCGUGUCAGCCACAUAAACCUCCUUGUCAGCGCCGUGAGUAAGUCCGAGCGGUCUCAUAGCUGCUGGUGAAAACCCAGUUUUGACAAACAUUAUGGUGAUUUCCAUAAGUAAAUUUUUUCAUUGCACUGAAUUACUUAGUAACUCUAAUGAAUGAUAUAUUUGUUGUAACCCCAGCACUAAACCGAUCCAUCUUAGCAAUCAUAAACUGACUAGCAAAAGCAAGACUGUGGUAAGCACGGCGACAACUCCCAUAAAGUUGGGCCUCGCUCUUUCUUCACUACAAAGCUUCGUCGGUGUAGGCCUUGGUUUGGAUCAGGACGACGACUCGGCGAGUAACGAGGCUAGCUGAUGAUCUUGGGCGUUGAGUGAAGGACUGCUGUCAAGUUUAAGAGUGCAGACCCGGUCCAUGACCCGACCCAUUCAUCCCCUUCGUUAGGUUUGAGAGCGAAGCCCCCAUAUUUUCUUUUCAUAGAUUUCACUGCAUUUACAUGCAGAAUGAUGUUGUCGUGGAGUGAGAGAGGUGAGAAGUUCACAAACACACCGGUUUGCUCUUAACUGACCAGCCAAAGCUAAGAGAAGUAGAGAAUGAGAAGUGGGAUGCUCUUGAAUACCGUGUUAGAAGCAGCAGGUCGAAAGGGGCGCUCAAAAGCAGCUAAAAAAGCGGACGUUUUGAGCGAUUAACAUCGAAAUCACUGAGAGCAACAACCAUCAUUUCAAUUGUCUGAGUCGUCCAUUGAGCAAACUCGGGCGAGAUGGCAUAGAUCGGCGAGCGAGCUGAGCUGAGAUAUCAACACCAUCUGAAACCGAAAGCCCUUUCUCUCUCUCUUAUGCUAACCAUGUUUGACUGUUAAAUGUUUUGGGGGAGGAUUGAAAUCAAUAGGAAUUAGGUGGAGGGUGGCCUUGAAGAAUCAUUAGCUGAGAGAUCUCGAUCUUCAAUGGCAAGAUGGACAAGAGUAGUGUCCAUGAUGUUGUGCUUGUCGGAGGAUCCACCUGUAUUCCCAAUCUGGUCUUGAUGCAUGCUGAGAGAUCUUGAUCUUCAGAAAAGGAAAAAGAAUGAGGACUUUAAAAAAAAAGAAAAAAAAAUCUUUGGGGCUCUUUUAGGGGAUGACAUGAUGGCUUUGUGUUUGUGGGGGGUUUUUUGGAAAAGCCUAAAGAGGUUCUACGUUUCUGCAGAUUCAUGGUGAAGUGUGGUGAGGUCUCACAGUGGUGAGAUGGAACAAUGAAAGAGAACCGACGUAGCUUUUCGUGUCGAUUCCCACAGACGGCGCCAAAUGUUGAUGCACAAAAUCGGAAGGGUCUUGGAACAACGUAAAUUCGAUCGUGAAUUUGCAAGAAAGUAAAGAACACAAGAUGUAUCAUGGUUCACCCCAAUGUUUGGGCUACGUCCACACUGAUAUUGUAUUUCUCUGUUUGUGAGAGGAUUGUGAGGGAGAGAGAGCUUGAAUAUGAGAGUGAGGCUUUGCUCUGAAUCUCAGAGCUUGAGGAUUGUGAGGGUGAGGAGGCCAUUUUAUAGACUAAGGGCUCCUCCCAUUUUUACAUAUUUGCCCCUUCAUUUAUUACAUAAUUACCCUUGAGUCCCCCGAGUAUUUAUACGAGGUCUAAAUAUGGAGGCCCUAAGUAUGGUACAAACAAAAUUAAAUAAUUAAGACAAUAACCUUGUUUGGGAAAUUGUGCAAGGUGAGGGUCAUUGUUCGAAAAUGUGUAUAUAUAUAUAUAUAUAUAUAUAUAUAUAUAUAUAUAUAUAUAUAUUUGGCAGCACUACGAUAUGGUUAAGUUUUGAAUUGCAUCAAGGCAUGUCCAUAAGUAUAUUAUUGAGCACAAUUAUUAUGAACGCUUCGAAGUGCAAGGUGAACGCAGGAUACCCAGGUAAGCUCAGGUAAGUUUAUGGUAUUAGUUGAAAUGAUGGAGUUAUAACAUGACUACAUGCAUGUUUUAAGCAACUUUGACAUUGUCGUACGGGUUGCCCAUGAGUCGUACAUGUUAUGUUGAGAUACAUUGAAAGCUCAUAAAUUUGCACCCCGGUGAUAGUGCUCCCGCCCAUGGCCAGGGCACAGUCCUUCACGUGAUGUUCACCUUCCGCUCUUUACGCUCACCUUGGAUCCAAGGUAGGUGCACAGUCAUGUCGUAUAAACCACUAUAGGUGGUUCCGACUCGUAGGUGACCUACGAUUAUUCGCACAGUCUUCACAUGAUCGUAGCACUUUAGCAUAUUUAUUUACAUCCAGUCCUGUCGUACAGACCACCUUAGGUGGUUCCGACUCGUGUGCAGGUAUACUUAUUGAGCUAUAGAUAAGUCGUACAAGUCACUAGAGGUGACUUCGACUUAGGAGCUAGCAUAUAUGAUGAAAUAUGAGAUGAGCUAGCAUAUGUGAUGAAAUAUGUGAUAAGCUAGCAUAUAUGAUGAAGAUGUGAUAAGCUAACAUAUAUGAUGAAGAUGUGAUGAGCUAGUAUAUAUGAUGACAUAUGUAUAUGAUGAAAUAUGUGAUAAGCUAACAUAUAUGAUGAAAAUGUGAUGAGCUAGUAUAUAUGAUGAAAUAUGUGAUAAGCUAACAUAUAUGAUGAAAAUGUGAUGAGCUGGCAUAUGUGAUGAAAAUGUUAUGAGCUAGCAUAUGUAAUGAAAUAUGUGAUGAGCUAGCAUAUAUGAUGAAUAUGUGAUGAGCUAGCAUAUUGAUGAAUAUGUGAUGAGCUAGCAUAUAUGAUGAAAUAUGUGAUAAGCUAGCAUAUGUGAUGAGAUAUGUGAUAAGCUAGCAUAUAUGAUGAAAUGAUGAAAUAUGUGAUGAGCUAGCAUAUGUGAUGAAAAUGUUAUGAGCUAGCAUAUGUGAUGAAAUAUGUGAUGAGCUAGCAUAUGUGAUAAGAUAUGUGAUAAGCUAGCAUAUAUGAUGAAGAUGUGAUGAGCUAGCAUAUGUGAUGAAAAUGUUAUGAGCUAGCAUAUGUAAUGAAAUAUGUGAUGAGCUAGCAUAUAUGAUGAAUAUAUGAUGAGCUAGCAUAUAUGAUGAAAUAUGUGAUAAGCUAGCAUAUAUGAUGAAUAUAUGAUGAGCUAGCAUAUAUGAUGAAUAUGUGAUGAGCUAGCAUAUGUGAUGAAAUAUGUGAUAAGCUAGCAUAUAUGAUGAAAUAUGUGAUGAGCUAGCAUAUGUGAUGAAAAUGUUAUGAACUAGCAUAUGUGAUGAAAUAUGUGAUGAGCUAGCAUAUGUGAUGAAAUAUGUGAUGAGCUAGCAUAUGUGAUGAAAUAUGUGAUGAACUAGUAUAUGUGAUGAGAUAUGGGUAAGUCGUACAGGUCACCAUAGGUGACUCCGACUUGAGUGCUAGUAUGAAUUAUUAAUCACAUGAUUAUUUGAUAUUGCUGACGAGAUACUGUGUUAUGGUAUAUUUAUGAUUUUUCUGAAAAUUAUACAAAUGUUGUAGUGAGGGGUUAUAAUGUUUUAUAUGGUUUCUAUUACAAUUUUAUUUACAGGGCCACUCACCCUUGUCUUGUCUUCACCCUCCAGGUUUUAUUAGCUGAGCAUUCUUAUCAUCGAAGAUUCAUGGCGAUUCUUAGUAUUAGAGAUUAUUUCGACGGUACGAUUCUUAAUUCACUAUUAUGUACUUGCUUAUGCUUUAACGUCACGUGUGAAGCGGGUUCAAGCCCGCUCACUGGUGCACUAUGGUAUUUAGGCACUUUUAGGUUUAAAUUUAUUCACAUUUUUCCACAUCAUCACACUCUAUGGCUUCGUCACCUUCCAGGUGUUAACCAGCACAACUUGAUUCGGAGUCCUAGUGGACAUUUCGGGUCGGGGUGUGUCAUACAUCAUAGCCCUAGCUAAGGAAAAUUAGUACCGAAACAAAGAUGAAAUUGUCACUGAAUUCAUAACAAGAAAAAUGAAAAUUAGGUUUAGAAAACCCUGUAAAACCCCUUUGCUUUGUUGCAGCAUUCUUCCAUAUGUCUCAGCUUCCAUGCUCUGUCAUUCCUUUCCUUCUUUUCCCCUAUUACGUUUCUGUAACCAACUAAAGCUUAACCCAAUUGAUUGAUGGCAGUAAAAGAGAAGAAACAGUAGAAAUCUUCAAUUUGUGCUGGCCACUCUUUGGUACAUUAAAGCACCCAAAUGAAUUAUGCAUUUGUUAACAUUAAGCUCAUGCCCUUGAUCUCCUUGCUGCUACUUUCCCUUUGUUUUAAUAACUCUUUCAUUGCCAUUAAUAAAUCCAUUUAUAUAUGCAAUAGCCAACUCUCUCUCUUUGAUGCCUUCACUUCACUCCAAAAUCAUAAUAAAAGAGAACACAUACCACAUUUGUACUUUUAUGGAUUGUGGGUGCAUGUGCUUUUUCUGGAUUUUUGGUUCUCUAUUACCUAAAUUUACUAGAAAUUUAAAUUAUUUUUAUUGUUUAACAUUGUAGUAUGUGUUUUGUGUCGAGUUUGUUGUGAUAACUGUAUAGGAUAAUUGCUAAAGACAACAGUAGUCCUAGUCCGUUAGGUCCUUAUGCACAAAAUUUCAUGACCCCCAAUAUUUGGUUUCGUAGCUUCCCUUUGAAAGGUUAAAGUGAAGGCAUGCCUUAAAUGGGAACUCAUCUGGUGGUGAAGAACCAGAUUCAAUGAGAAGGAAUAUGAGGAAGAAGAAAUGGCCCAAGUUUAACAUUAGAAAAGAAACUGAAUCACAGGCUUCACAGCCAUCAAAACACAAACCAUAGUUCAUAACUAUUGUACAGAGUAGAACUCCUACCUACCUGCAGAUGGACCAGAAGAAGAAGCCAUAAUCGAUCUCGACAGCAAACAAGUAGUAAAUCUUCUACUCUUUAAGAUGUAUUUAAAAGCAGUUACUAAAAUGUUUUUAGAUUCCAAAAACACUUGCACCAAGAUCCUUUUUUUUAAUUUUUUUUAAUUUUUAUUUUUUUAUGACCAAAAUAGGUUAUAUAGAAUAUUCUAACAAAAAAAAAAAAAAAAUCACAUUUGCAAGUUGUGAAUUGUCCUUGUGGUUCUAACCAUUUCCCUUUCCUUAUUGUAGCUUAAAAUAGGAAUAACACUUGUAUUCAACAAACAAAAAAAUCCAUGUUGUGCAUGUCAAGUGGAUGUUAAACCUAACAAGUUCAUGUGAAUCAAAACACCAAAGAAACUAACCUUGUGAUGCCAUUCUUCUUAGCACAACAACCUUGAACUCGACAGCAGGCACACGACACCAGCGAGCACUCAAGCAAGGUCUUAUGCACACUGACCACUGUAUAACUCGAACCUAUGGGGAAUUCUUUUGAGUUGUGUUUCAGUGGCAUGUGCAGGGACUAGGCUUAGUAUUUAUACAAUUUCAUUUGUACAAAAAUUUAUUUGAAUUUUAAAUGUAUAGAACAAAUCAAAAGUGUAAUACCAAGUACCAUAUUCAUGAUGAAAUAUAAAAGUGUACAAGCUUCCAUAACCUAAGGAGUGGUUUCAAGGAACGGAUAAUCAGUGUAGCCAAUAAGCGGUUCAAACGCGUAGAAUGUCUCUCUGUUGUACUUGUUUAGAGGAGCAUUAAGCUCAAAUCUCUUUGGCAAAUCCGGAUUCGCCAAGAAAAUACGGCCAUAAGCAAUAAGAUCUGCACGGCCCUCGGCCACGCCAUUGUUCCCUUCUUCCUUGUCAUAACCACCAGCAGCAAUGAAGGUACCAUUAAAAGCCUUUCUCAUGGGUACAAGACUCUGGGGGCAAUCACUCUUUUCUCCAAUUGUCUUCAUCCUCGGCUCAACCAUAUGGCAGUACACAAUCCCGUACUUGUUCAAUGAAUUGGCCAGAUAAAGGCCCAACGCUUCAGGGUCUGAAUCCCCUGAUCCCAUAUAGUUGGCAAAUGGAGAUAAUCUAAUUCCAACUUUAUCCGCUCCUAUCUCGUUAGCAACAGUUUCAACAAUUUCCAGAGCAAAUCGACAACGAUUCUCCGUAGAUCCGCCAUAUUGGUCUGUUCUAUCAUUCACUUGAUCUUUCGUAAACUGAUCAAUAAGGUAUCCAUGGGCCCCAUGAAUUUCCACUCCAUCAAAGCCUGUAUAUCAGACAAAUAAUUUCAGCGCACCAAAUAUUAUUUGUAAUCUAACAUUUUAAAUGAGGCAUGCCGUUAUAAUGUAAGGUUAGUUAACAUGUAAUCUAACGUGAACUAUUGUCACACACCUCAAACUGCAAAUUAUAUUCAUGCCUUUUAACUACAUUUGUAAGAUUACACAUCGUGCUUAUGUUGAAAACAAUUUUUUUGUUAAACGAUAGAUUUAUUAGAUUAGAGAGACGACGGGGUUCGAACCCAUGCCGUAAUGCAAGGGCAACACUUUUCUCUACCACUGUGGUAGAGGGCCACUUGCCGUUGAAAACAAUUUUGAGUUCUCACAAAUUUUAUUUCAUACUUUAAGUAAAGACAAAUUACCAGCUUCCAUUGCAUUCCUUGCAGCAAGUCUAAAAUCAUUGACAAUUUGUGGAAUUUCAUCUGUCCUUAAUCGUCUUGGAGGCGUGAAUUCAGAAACAUCAAUGCCAUUUAAUGGUACCCGCUUCUCAGUAGAAGAGAUUGGAGCUUGCCCAUUUGGCUGAAAUCCUGUAAGAUAAGAAAAUGUAGAUAGAAUCACAAUCUGAAAGAUUUCUAUUACAGGAAUAUCAAGGCAGCUCUCUGAUGCUUCAAUGGGCUAACUUUUCGCUUAUGAUCCGGACGCUUUCAAUGACACAAACUGAAGUCAUAAAAGUGUGUUAGAAACGCACCGGUAUUUGAAACCCUCCCUACAUGCAAAAUCUGACAGAAGAAGAUGCCGCCUUUAGCAUGAACAGCAUCAACAAUGGGUUUCCAUGCUUCAACUUGCUCCUUUGUCCAUAUACCGGGAGUAUCUGUGUACCUUCGCAUAUUAAAGAAACAAAAAUGUUGUCAAACUUUGAAAUGAAGAAAGUACACAUUUAAAUGUAUGUUUUCCAUUUAAAAUUUGACAUAAAAGAAACUUGAAAGAAGCUAAUCUUGGUGAAGUUACCCUUGAGCUGUGUCAGAAACUCCAGUGGCUUCAGUUAUGAGAAGACCCCCGUUAGAUGUUCUCUGGGAGUAAUAUAAGAUCGCAUGCGGCCGAGGAACAUGUCCGUAUGAUCUUUGUCUACCCAUUGGUGCUAAGACAACUCUGCAGAAGGCAAGGAAGUAUUAUGACAAGUUUGAUAGGUGUUAAUAUAACUAGCCCCUUGAAGUAUUAUCAGAUCUUGAACAGAACAAAAUUUAAGUAAUACGACGAAAACGCCAGAAAGGAGAUGUACUUUUCCUAGCCAAGUGCCUCUAAUGAUGAAUUAGGUAAUUUCAGGUCAAGAUCAAGUACUAACUCAGGUGUGAUGAGUGCUUCAGAGUUCUAGGCAUCAUCUAUGCAUAUAUUUGCUUUCAAGAUCUGGGGCUUACAACGAAUUUCAGUAACACCUGUCCAAGUUUAUUUUCUUUAAGAAUUGACUAAUUUAGUUGCUAAAUAUGUUUCCAAAUGAACAAAACCCAACUGCCCAAAUCUCAGCUUCUCUAGCAGAAUACAAAUUAAAAAACGAAAAAAAAAAAAACAUAAAAAUCAAUGCAGAAUGUUGAAGAAUAUGUUGUAGAAAAGGUUGAGCGACUGAGUUUAAGGUACCUAUGAGAAAGAUUGAAGUUUCCAAGUUUGUAUGGGGUAAGGAGAGGGCUUAUGGGACCACCUACUUGAGUUUGAUUAGCCAUUUCAAUUCAACUGGGUUCAGAGCUAGAUGCUACUUUUGUGUUUGGUUUUUUAUUUGAUUUGAUUUAAUCUGCAUGGAUAUUUAUACGGAAUGAGGAUCCUCUUUGGAUUAUUUUUAUAGGGAUUUUAGAGAUCCUCCAAUCACGUAUGUUUAUCGUAUAUUGUGCAGUCAUAAAUUAUUGUAAAUUUUAUUAUUUAAAAUUAAAUAUAGAUAGUACCGAAAGAAAACUGAUCGUACGAUAUACAAUAAACUAACGUGAUUAAAAGAUAUCCGGUUCCUCAUAAAUAGAAUCCGGAGCCUCAUUCAUUUAUACGUUCGGGGAGAGGAGGAAGAGAAACUCAAAAGCAACACUAGCACCAGCACAGUCCCCUUCUCCUCCACCUUCCUCCUGGGAGGCAGAGGCAGUGGUGGGCGGGGGGCUCCUUUUUCAAGGGACACCACCAAUAAUGUCUGCCAAUUUGGACACCACCAACGACCAUUUGACCAGGAAGAAGUACCAAAGUAAAAUUGGCAGUUCUUUAACAAAAUACUCAAGUUUGUAAUAUUUUAAACUAGUGCAUUUUUAAUUGUAAUUAUUUUUGUUUAAGUUCAUUUAUUAUGCUCUAAAUCACAAAAAUAAUAAGCAUUUCAGGAACAUCCACAUGCAUAUGCAUUCAUAUAGUCUAGGUUUGUGUUCAGUGGGCUAUUUAAUUUUGACUUAAAUUUUGAGUUGUAUUGUUCAUUAAAAGAAGAUUAUUGGGUUUAUUUGUAUAAUUAAUGUUAGGAAUACUAAAUUUUUAAACAAAAUUUACAAACCAAAUGAUAUGUUAUUAAUAAAAAAAAAGCAUGUUAAUCAACACUUAAUUAAUAAUUCAAUCAUCAACAGCCACAUCAUUUGGUUUACAAAAUUUAUUUUAAAAAUUUGUCUCCCUAACAUUACCCUUUAUAUUUUGGGAGUUUUAACGAAACACUCCCGGUACUAUUCACUUUUAACGAAAAUGAUAUUUUUACUCUAAAAAGUCACUCCUUGUACUAUUUACUUACAACACAUUUUUGUCAUUUGAUUAAAAUUUAAAGUUUUCAAGCCAUUUUCAUUAGUUUUUUUUUUAUAUUUUAGCUAGCAUCGUAUUCGUGGUGCCGCAUAACCUACCUAACUUUUGUUUUCUACAAAUUCAAUAUGGUGAUAAUGUCCUUGUGGAUUUUCAUCUUUAUCCUCACUUAGUUAUCUAAUUAUAUCUUAAAUGAUAAGUGAUUAGGCCUUAUCAUUUUGUGGCUCACGUGUUUUCAAAGGGAGAAGAGAGUCUAGAAUUUUAUAAUGAGGGGAUCAUAAUUUUGGCCAAAUUUUUUUUUUGGAUUAUUUUGUUGAGUUCUUAAUUGGUACCUACCGGAUUAUGGUGUGUUCUGUCCAUUUUUGUUGAGGCCUUGUCAAGUGAGACAUUUUAUCAAACGUAACAUGCGAACCGUAGGGUCGCACACAAGAAAUAGGGGAUGAAAGACAAUAGAAAGAAAGAAGUAAAUUUACAAAUAACUACACAUAAAGUUGCAUGAAAGAAAUAGCAGAUUGUAAUUUAGUGUUUUUACUCAUUCUUUUAGUUUAUGUAUGUAUGAGUCAUAUACAAAUACAGAUUGAGACUAUAAAACUAUUAAGGUCAUGAGCAGCCAAUAACUCAUGUUGAAUCGGCGACUAAAUAGUGGGAAUCCCUUAUUCGAGCAAAUUUACAACCUACUGUAUAAAAUAUAUUUAUUCGUUGGCAAAUUCAACUAUGAACUAAUUAAUUCCAAAAGUCCUAGCUGGUGGGCGUCAAAAACUACCUGCUAUUUGUUUUGUUUUCUUCCCCCCAACCCACCCUAACCGGACAUCUGUAUCCAAUUAUACGAUAGCCCAGUGCACGUAAUUGACUGCUUAGCUUAGAUGUAGUGUUUCCUUUCCUCCGACCCUCACCGUCACGAGAAGGACUCGAGUGUGGCCACUGUUGGUGGUAGGUUUGGGCGUUGUGUGAGAGGGGGUGAGACGCAAAUAGGGCUGAGUAGACAUAGAAAAAUUAGAUUCGAAAAAAAAAAAAGAGUUUUUAAACAUUAAUCCUUGCAAAAGAUUAAAAUUUAAAAAAAAAUUUAGUGCUAGAUUACAUAUUCAAUUAAUUCCUUGAAGUGUACUUUUAUCAAAAUUUAUAUUCAAUUUUUGUUAUUUAAUGUGUAUUUUUAUUUAAUCUCUCCACAUUAAAUUUUAAUUAUAUUAAUAUGCACAUAUUUAGUUCUUUAAUUAUAAAUGAACAUAAAUGAGAAAGUAUUAAAAGAAAUUUGUGAUACAAAAAUAUAUAAAUACAUAAGUGUACAAAAAUGAUUGUGUCGAAAUAUAUAAAAUUGACUUUUUUGUACCGAAAUAAUUGUACCUACAUAAUUGUACCGAAAUAUAUUAUAAUGAACCUAAAUGUAUGUACUAAAAUGUAUUAUAUUGAAUUAAUGUACAUAAAUGUCAAUACCGAAAUGUAUGUACCAAAAUGUAUGUACAGAAAUGUAUAUGCCUAAAUAUAGUAUAUUGAAUUAAUGUACCUUAAAGUCAAUACUCAAAUUAGAGGUAUUAGGUUCGAAUCUUGUGGAUGGCGAAUUCGAUAUCAAAUUAAGUUGUCCAUUGUGUGGCUUAACCGAACCCCUCUCGCCUUAGUGUAAAAUAUAUCGUUGUACUAAAAAAAAAAAAAACUCAUAUGUGUGUACCAAAAUGUAUGUACCAAAAUGCAUGUAUAUGUUUCUAUCUAUGAGUGAAUGUACCUAUAUGUUUGUAUCGAUGGAUAUACCGAAAUAUUCAAAUGUAUUAAUGUACCUAAAUGAAGAAUAUACAAAAUUGUUAUCAGACUAUAUAUUAAAAAAAAAUAGUUGUUUAAAUGUAGACAUUAAAAUAUAUUAUAAUAAAUGAAAUGAAAAUUAAAUUUAAAUGUAAUUAAUACAUUAAAAUAGGAAUAAAAAGAUAAAUAAAACAUCAAAAUAUAACUAAUAAAUGAGAUGAUUAAAUGUACUAGGGAUUAAAAUUGGAUUUUAAUCUUACACAAGGUUAUAUUCUAAAACUCAUCUUUUUUAAGGAUUAAAAUGAAGUUUUCUAAAAAAAAAAUAGAAAAAUCAGAAGGUGUUGUAUAAUUAGUGGGUGAAUGCCCACUCAAAAGAAUAAAUACUUAGGAAUAGUGUUUGAUACUUUCAAAAGUAUCAUCAUUGUAUUUGGAUGGUUGUAGUUACGGGAGUUGCUCUAUAAAUAGAGCACUCUGUGUGUUAUCUAAAUGUACACUGCGAAAGUAAGCAAAAGAAAUAAUAUCAGUAUCUCCCACCUCCUCUGGAAUACUUUUGUGUUAUAGUUAUAGCGUGAUGUUUUGCACCUCUUUGCUCUUGCCCUUAGCAAAGGUUAUCUAACUUUUGCCAAUUUAUAACACAUUAUCAGCACGACUCUCUAAUCUUAACUAGUUCCCAUCUCCCUUCAUCGAAAAAAAAAAGCUUCCUCCAAGGGUUUUCAUGUUCUUCUUCCUCCUCUACCUCAUCUGCAUGAUAUACCCUUACGAAGAACUGCUACCACCAUGCCUGCUUCUCGUUCUCAAUUUAACAAUAACUUAUAUCUUUGAUUUCUUGUUUGGUGUAGUUCCUGAUUACUAACCCAGUAUUUAUUUAUGUUAAUUUUAUUGUAAUCAAAGAUGGUGCAGUAUAAUCACCCAUCUUGAACUGCAAAUUCAAUUUCACUGCAAUCAAAGAUGGUGCGAUACAAUCGCCCAUCUUGAACUGUAGAUUUAAAUUUUAUCGUAAUUUUAGGUGGUGCAGUAUAAUCGCCUACCCUACCUUGCAUAUUUAAACUACUCUGCAUAUUAAAAUUUUCCUUAUGUUGAAGUGGUGUGGUAUAAUCGCGCAUCUUAUGCUUACUUCAAUGAGAAUGGCGAGGUACAAUUGCCCUUCUCAUUAAUCAUGUAAAUCUUUAGCCUGAAGUUUCGAGUGCUUAUCAUUUUAGCCUGAAGAUCAAAAAUUAAAAAUCUGUAAGAACCAAAAGUUCUAACACUAUAUUCCUCCAGGAAUACAUAUUAUUGCAAGUUCUUACACAUCUCAUCUUUCUUUCAGAAAAGAAAAUGACGAACUUGGCAAAACUUGAUUUUUUGCCCUAAACAUUACUGGGAAGAACCACCUUACCUAGGUAGUGGAUACCAAGAUCCAUUUGGAGGCAGAGAAUCUAAAAGAAACAAAAAAAAGAGGAAAAUAGUGCAUCCUCUCAAGAUCGGGUGAAAGCCAUGAUCUUUAUCCGUCGCCACUUUGAUGAAGGACUAAAGAGCGAGUACCUACCAGUUGAAUAUCCAUUAGCUCUCUGGAAGGCAUUGAGAAACAGAUACAAUCACUAGAAAACGGUGAUUCUUCCAAGAGCUUGUUCUGAGUGGACUCACCUAAGGAUCCAGGAUUUCAAGUCAGUGGCUAAGUACAAUUCUGCAAUGUUUAGAAUUAGCUCCCAGAUGAAGCUCUGUGGGGAAACCAUCACUGAGGAGGAUAUACUGGAAAAGACGUUCAACACCUUUCAUGCCUCCAACAUGCUCCUGUAGUAACAGUAUAGAGAACGAGGCUUCACUGAAUACAACCAGCUGAUAUCUGUGCACCUGGUAGUCAAACAUUAUUCCUAGAAAUGAAUGAUGUUUCCCCCGAAAUGAAUGCCACAUCCUCUAGUGGCAAUAAUCAUAAACGAGGACAUGGCCACAAGCGAGGCCGGUGGAAUGGGGAAGGCAAGAAUCAUGGUAUCCAGUUUCACAACCAGAUUCAAAGGCAAAAUUUAGGCUCAAGCUUUAAAAAUGUAAAUCGUCACUAAGGCAAAGCUCAUGUGAACAAUGCUUCUAGAAACUCUGAAGGAGCUUGCCAUAGGUGUGGUGGCAAUGGACAUUGGGCCCGUACAUGUCGUACCCCAAAAUAUCUGGUGGAUCUAUAUCAAGCCUCUUUUAAGGAAAAGGGUGUCGAGACCAAUUUCCUCGACCAGGCUAGACCAAUGGAUUUACUUGAUCCAGUGCUCAACUUAUUAGGGCAGUUGAACACAACCCACCUAGAUGCUUUAUACUUCAUUGUGGAAAGAGGGAAUGAAGUGUACCGGUCUGAUUGAAUUUAUGUUUAAUGUAUUUUUAUUCUGAAUUUGUAGUUUAAAACUCGCAUUUCAAUUCAAUAAAAGUGGCAUUUCAAUUUCUUUUUAUUAUGAAUAAAUUGUGUUUUACUGUGAUCCCAUUUACUCAAAAAGUAUGGAUAAAAACUAUGGUUAUUCUCAAAACAUGAGAAAUGGUAGAGAUAUUUGUCUUGCAGACAGCGCAACCACGCAUACAAUACUGUGAUUGAAAAUAUUUCUCAAGCUUAAUGCUUACAAAAGUAAGGGUAACAACAAUAUCAGACCAAUCAGAUAUAAUUGAAGGCUCAGGGAAAGCCCAGAUUAUGAUACAAAAUGGAACAAUAUUGUCCAUACAAAAUGCGUUGUAUGCUACUCGAUCUACUCGAAAUUUGUUGAGUUUCAAAGGCAUACGAUUAAAUGGAUACCACAUUGAAAAGAAAAGUGCAGAAAAUGUGGAGUAUCUAUGCCUUACCUUUAAUGAUACCCAUAAAUGUAUAUUGGAGAAGUUGCGUGGUUUGUUGAGUAGAUUAUAUUAUACAUACAUAAAGACAAUUGAAUCACAUACUGUCAUGAACCAGAAGUUAAUUGAUUCAAAAGUUUACAUGCUUUAGCAUGACCGUUUAGGCCAUCCAGAAUCCACUAUAUGUGUAGGAUCAUUACCAACUCUAAUGGACAUCCAUUAUUGAGAAGACACAUUGCUAUCUCAAAUGAUAACCCUUGCAAAGCUUGUUCUCAAGGGAAGUUGGUAAGUAGACCAUCACAACUAAAGGUUGAUGCUGAAUCCCCAUCAUUUUUGCAAAGAAUUCAAGGGGAUAUUUGUGGGCCUAUUCAACCAUCUUGUGGACCAUUUUGAUAUUUUAUGGUUUUGGUUGAUGCAUCUACUUGAUGGUCAUAUGUUUGUCUCUUGUCUACUCAAAAUGUAGCUUUUGCGAGAGUUCUUGCUUAGAUAAUUAAGUUGCGAGCACAGUUCCCAGAUUACCCCAUUAAGUCAAUUCAACUUGACAACAUUGGUGAAUUUACAUCCCAAACCUUUGAUGAUUACUGCAUGACAUUGGGCAUUGAUGUUGAACACCUUGUUCCUCAUGUCUAUGCUCAAAAUGGUUUAGCAAAAGCAUUGAUCAAGCAGCUUCAAUUAAUAGCUCGCAUUCUGCUCAUGAAAACAAAGUUGCCAGUUUCUGCAUGGGGACAUGCCAAUACAGUUUGUCAAUAUAUGAGUGGUCCAACAAAUAUACAUUUUGGAAUGGUUGAGUGGUGCAACAUAUAUACAUUUUGGAAUGGUUAAACGAAUUUGGCGAUAUUUACAGGGAAAAUUCAAGUGUAGAUUGAAUUUUACUACAGCUUUUCCUUUGUCUUUAAUUGCAUAUAGUGACUCUGACUGGGCAGUAGAUUUGAACACUCGACGAUCUAUCACUGGCUAUGUAGUGUACUUUGGGGAUAAUCCUAUUUCUUGGCAAUCCAGAAAGCAAGCAUCGGUGUCUAGGAGCUCUACUGAGAUUGAAUAUCGAGCUUUGGCAAAUACAAUUGCUGAUGUUGCAUGGAUUCGCCUCAUACUCAAAGAUCUUCAUGAGUUCUUAUCUAUACCUCCUGCCAUCUAUUGUGAUAAUCAAUUUGCAAUUUCCUUGAGUUUAAAUCCUGUUCAACAUUCUCAGAUUAAGCACUUGGAAACAGAUGUUCACUUUAUUCGAGAAUGAGUUCGGAAGGGUGAUUUGGUUGUACAAUACAUUCCAACUUAAAAUCAAGUGGUUGAUGUUCUUACCAAAGGACUUCAUGGUCCUUACUUUCUUAAACAUUGUUUCAAUCUUAGACUCGGUUACCCUAACUAAGAUUAAAGGGGGGAGGGUAUUGGAUAAGCAUGCAAUAUUGGUAGAUUAAUUGCCAUUUCAGCAUUGCUAAAUGUGUUGUGUCCAGUAGACCUGGCAUUUUGGACCUGACCUAACUCGGCCCGUUAAUAUUAGUAUUUGGGUGGAUGCUUAAUGGGUCGGAUCGCUAACGGUUGAACCCAUUAACAACCCGUUAAAUAACAGGUCACUUUGGGUCAACCUGUUAGCACCCAUUAUAAAUUAUAACCACACCUUAUCUUUUUCCUAUUUUCCUAUCUUUUUUUUUUCUCAUCGAUAAAUAAUCUACUACUUCAUAGAUUCAUUCAUUUGAUUAGUUCAUGAAAAUAUCACCGCAAGCAUUUCCGCCGCCAAAACGCUAGCCCUUAACGGGGGCCUUCAUAUCGCCCAAGCUCUCCGACCAGACCCUCCUCCGUUCCCUCCACCAUUUCCCUAAGAAAUGUCCUCCCUCGAGCCGCUCCAAUUCCUCCUACGCCGCACCUCCCGCUCUGUGAUCUGCAGGUUAAUCUUUAUCUCCAUCCUCUUCGAAGGCAUCAUCUGCAGCUCCUUGUAUGCAGGAAGAGUUCCAGAACCAGACGGAGGAGAAAUCUAAGUCGCAGCUCUUUGUCUGUUUACUAUAUAUCCAAGUCAGUACCUUUUUCACUAUUAGCACCCUUUUAUACAUCCUUUCAGUUAAUAUGUGUAAUUGUAUUGGAAUGCCAAAAAAAAAAAACACCAUUGUUAACAAGUGUUAACGGGUGACCCAUUAGAUUAACAGGUUCGAGUUCGAAUGACCCGUUAGCUUAAUGGGUCGGAUUGAACUCGACUCAAACUCGAUAAACCUGACCCGUCAUUUGUAUAAAUAACAUUUUCCCUCUAUUUCUAAACUAAGUCGGUAUUGUAAUAUCUGUUUUCCAAGAGAGAGAAAUACAAUUGAGAAUAGUUUUCUUCUUCCUUAAGCUUUUUUGUGGUUCUUAUUUCUGGAAUUCUUGAGCUUUUCCAUGGAUGUUAAGAGAGGGGUGGUUAGUUGUACUAAAUUAAAGUAGAGUUUAUAUUUCGUAAUUUUUUAUUUAUUUUGUUUUAUUAGAUUUGUGAUUCCCCAAAAUCAUCCAAUUAUGCACAAGUUCUCUUUCAUGCUAAAUUGAUAAGUUUUUAACUUUCACAACAUGCCUUACUUAAGCAAGCCAUAAUUUGCCUUACUCACGGCAUCCUUGAGCCACCGAUCUAAUUGAGAUAUUUACUAAGAUACAUUAAUUGUUUCAAGGUAUCCUAGGACAUGGUGUUCGAACAAACUAGAAGAAGCAAGAGUUUCAUUGAGGCGCAAAAUCCAACUCGAUCAAAAGAUCCCCAAUGAAAACCAAUUCAAAUUCACCCAAAUCUUUUUCAAUUUAUUAGACAAAUUGCAAAAUUUCUCAAUCCGUAAAAAAAUACAUUAAGAAAUCACUCCAAGUUCACCAAUAUCGCUUAUUCCUAAAAAGAAUCACAAAAUUCCGACAAGAUCUGCACAAAAAGAAAAUUGGGAUAAUUUGGAGGGAGGAUGGUGCAAUUUUACUCGACCUGAGAAGACCUAGGAAAUUUGGAAAAAUAACCGAAUUUUAGACCCUAUAUAGAAUUAUAGCCAUUAUUUUAAUUUUAUGAUAACUAUAACUAAAACUUGAUGUAAAAGUAUUAAUAUACUCUUAUUUUAUUAGGUUUUCACAACAACCAAAACACACAUGACACACUUGAUCGAUAGGAUGAUCUGGUCUAGGCUCCCAUAUCGAUUGCCAGUCUUGCCCUGCCAUCCCAAUCACAACAUGAAUAGGUCCCAUGCUCCCACAAGUAUAGUUUUCCAACUAACAAAACCUUUCAUAUUUGUGUAUGUUACAUUGUUCUUCACAAGCAGAGGCUACAUUGUUCUUCACAAACAGAGGCUCUAAAUGUCCAAACGCUCCAGCAUUUUCGCCUUCGUUGGAGCAUCACCUCUCUUGUUUCUUCUUGUGUACAUCGGCCUAUGUCUUUGCACGACCACAAAUGGCGUCUUCCUCCUAUCCACCGCCUCCAAAUCCCACUUUAUUAAUUCCAAUUGCUUGCUUCCUUCAACAAAAUUGGCUUCCGUUGGAAUGUACACAACAUUUAUCGCCUCAACGUCAAACGGACGGUAAAGAUUUUGCGUAACUAGGGCACUUGUUCCAGUCAGUUUAGAUGAAUUUCCAGGCAUCUUGAACUUAAGACUGUAGGGCACCCACUCCGGUUUCCAUGGCUACAUUGGCCAAUCAUACUUGUUAUUGAGUUUUUAUCAAUAAUAACCAAAAUUUAACACCUAAUUUCAUAAAUAUCACAUUUUAUAACUUCUUUAAAAAAUAACAGAAACCCCACUUAAAUAGACUUAAAUACCCUCCCUUGCUAUUCAAACAACCAAAAGCUUAAAUGCCCUUAUUUGGAAAGCAAGAGAUAGCUUGGUAUGGGAAGGUUUUAGUGCAUAUCCUAUUGCUUUAAUUCACAACACCUUCAGUUGGAUGCAUGGUUUCCAGGGAGGCCAAUGAAGAACUAGCGGAGUUAGUAAAACUAAACAAUCAUGGUGGAUGCCUCCUAAUGAACACCUAAUAUUCUUCAUUGAAAUAUGUAGCAUUCAUGGUCAAGAGUGUUUAUCAAAUAUAGCCUAAUAUUAGCCCCUAAUUUCAAAAUGUCAGUUUUCUAUAAAAACUUUCAAAUAUAUUCAAAAUCUCCCUUAAAUAGACACAAAUACCCUUAAUUCAUACAAAUAACUAGUUGUUGAAUAAAAGAUUCUUGUGCAAUAAUCAAGUUGAGCUUUCCCUAAUAUUUUUCUCAUUUUCUUAUUAGUACAAUUAAUUGACAAUUUGUAGACCAAAAUAAGAAGAAUAAAAACACAAAGAAAGAAAAUUUUCUAUAUCGUAAACCCUAAUUUUUCUAAUAUGCACUAAAUGAAUUUCAUAUAGCUUUCCUCUAAUAGAUCAGCAAAUGGUAUUAGGUUUGUCAAUCUUCCCUUGACAAAAGAAACAAAAUUUUUGUAAUAUGCACCAAAAGAAUUUCUAUUCUGUAAACCUUAAAAAUAUGUUUUUGCACUUUCUAAGAACACAAUAGAUCUCUCGAUUCACUACCACAGUCCAUGAUAACUUUCAAAACAGAAUCUGGACAAGAACAACACCCUUAAUGUAACAUCCUGAAAUUUCUAAUUCGGAAGCCAAACACACAGGUAGGCCACAAUAAAAAUAAUGGUUAAUUAUAAUUCUAACUAACCACAAAAAAAAAAAAAAAUCAUUUUGUUUAGUUUAUGGCUGCAUCUAACAUCCCGGUUAGACUGCCUACGUACCCUAAACGAAGGGAUCAAGUCAUUUGUAGUUCACAUUACGCUUCUAAAACAACAUACUAAAAUUUCAUUAUGAUCCAACGGUCGGAUCUCCGCCAAUCACGAAAUCAAGUGGCGGUCGACGUUUUAUUUUACGAACUUACAAAUCCAAUUCAGGAAGAUCCAUACGUUAGAUUACUGAUCUGUAAGUUCCUAAGGUCCUCAAAUAUUACAUAUUAUAAUGUAUCAAAUUUUAGUGAUGAUCCAACGGCCGGAUCAUCGAUAUGUAUAUGGACCAAGCCACAUAUCGUAGUGAAUUUAGGUUCAAACGAUCAACCUACAUCAUACAAAUAUCAAAAUUGAAUUCAGGACAUCUAAUUUAGCCUAAAAAUAGCAUUGACAACCUUCUGGCCACACGCUGCUGUGGGUGGCGGUCGGCCGCCCCGACUCGCCGGAAAAUUUAACUAUUUCCAAACAUUACCAAAUUUUUUAGGAAUGUACAACUCAAGGAGAGGAACAUUUUUCAUACUUGGGCCAAAGUCCAAUUUGUCCUGUAAAUACCUGAAUUUGGCCACAAACUGUCGGAACCCUAGAAUUUGGGUGGCCUCGAUCCGCCACUUCCAGUGUUCUGCCGCCCCAACCAAGGCUUGGUGACACGCCCCGACCCGGAAUGUCCAUUAGGACUCCGAACCGAGCUGUGCUGGCCAACAUCUGGAAGAUGACAAAGUCAUAAAGUGUAGUGAUGUGGAAAAUGUGAAUAAAUUUAAACCUAAAAGUGCCUAAAGAUAAGAGUGCGUUGUGAGUGGGAAUGAACCCAUUUCACACGCGACGUCAGAGCAUAAGUAAAGUAUAGUAGGGUGGGUAAAGAUCAUACCCUCAAAGGUAGCCACCUAUACUAAGAUUCGCCAAGAAUCCUCGUCAAUACGAACUUUCAGCAGCUAAAACCUUGAGGGGCGAAAAACAAGGGUGAAUGGGCCUGAAAAUAAAGUUUUAAUAAAAACCUUUUGAAAAUGUUAUAACCCCUCAUUGUAAAAUCUGUAUAAUUUCCCAGAAAAUAACAUACGUAUAUAGAAAUCAGGCUUGAGAGCAAUGAAAACCAAAGUAUGUGCCAUGUCAAGUAUCUUAGUAACAAAUAUGUAAGCCAAGUGCUGUGAAUUAAUAUAAAAUAGUAUGUCAGCCGGAGUCACCUAACGUGACCUGUAUGAUUGAACCUAUAGCUCAAAAGCCAAUUCAUGCACACGAGUCGGAACCACCUAUUGUGGUCUGUACGAUAGGCUAGGUGUAAUAAGUACGCUCAAGUGCUACGAUCACAUAAAGGCUGUGCGAUGAAUCGCGGGUCACCUAUGAGUCGGAACCACCUAUUGUGGCCUGUAUGACAGGCUGGCACCAAACUUGGAUCCAAGAUGAGCAUGCGGUGCGGGAGGUGAACGAUCAUGUGAAGGAUGUGCCCUGGCCUCGAGCGGGAGCACUAACACCGGUGUGCAGGAUAAUGAGCUUUAAAUGUAUCUACGUAUAACCAUACACAAUUCAAAUAAGACCAUCAUAGUGCACUCACCUGAUACUUACCUGUGCCUCUACAGCAUCAUUCAAUAUAAAUAUAAUUCAUACUAAUGCAACAUUUAAAGUGCAUGAACCAAUUCAAAAGCAUUUGUGGGAAUUGUCAUUCAUUCAUAUAUACUAUAAAAAGCAAAAGACCCACUCACCUAGAGUCCACGCUAUCCCUAGCAUGAAUAUCGAGGCGUCACGAACGAUUUUCGUUAUAACUCCGUUAUCCAGCAAGGUUGGGAAUUGGACUCAUUCGUUAUAACUCCGUUUCAUGAACGAUUUUCGCCUACACGCUCGUGAGAUCGAGCUUUGUCCAAAUAUGUCAAGACACAUGAUAAAAUAUACGAGGAUAAAAUACGUCCUCAUAAAAUUACGUUUUGCCACGUAGGGCAAUUUUUCAUCAUUUCCACUUAUCGAUAAAAAUUUCCACAUAAUUACUAUAUUUUAAAAUUUUCCCAGGGUAUUACACUUAAUAAUGCAAAGGUGUGAAAAUUAAAUACGAAGCACGUAUAUCCCAAAGGAAAAACGUUACAAAAAAUUGACACUUCAUUAUUCCAUAAAUAUUCAAUUGAAGGAUGAAACUACAAAAACUAAAAGAAAACGUAGAGGAGGAAAAAUGUAGAAAAAACUAACCAUCUACUAGGUCUCCACCAACCGUGGAUGCUUUUGUUAGGUCUCCACCAUUUUUUAGGUUUAAUCGUGAGAACUCUUCAUCUAAUAGGGUUUUAGUAUUUUAAUUUAUUAUGUUUAAAGUUUAAGAGUACUUGUGUCUAUUUGAGUGAUAUUUUGGACUUAUUUGAAAUUUUUUAUAAAAACUAACAUUUUUUGAAUUAUGAGUUAAUACUUGGCUAUAUUUGAUAAAUACCGAUUGUUAUUGCCAAUACAAACAUGGUAUGAAGUCUUGAAUAUAUACAUAACAUGACAUGAAUAAUAUAUUAGUAAUUUUACAUCAAAUUUUGAUUAUAAUUAUCAUAAAAUUAAAACGGUAGCUAUAAUAGAGUACAAAUUUGAUUAUUUUUUCAAAGUUUCUAGAAGACCUCGCGGGAGACGAUGUUUUGGGGCACUAGUCCUCUUCAUCUUCUUCCCGCAACGGAGCUCUACUCGAUUGCAUUGCAGUGCAGGUUGCUCACCAAUUUGGGGAUUGCAUUUCGUUGUUGGAUCGCACUAAGGUUCAAGUUCGUGCUCUUUCGAAUGUGCCGAAGGCUACUCUGGUCACAAUUGAGCAUCCUACUGAGGAUGAUUGGGAGGUUGUGAAGCUAAUUCUGAGCUUGCAAGGGCUGCAAUUUUGAAUCAGGUGCUCCGAGUGUUGUCAAUUCGUGAUCUUUUUGGUUGUUUGUAAUCUGUACAUUUGUAUAUUAGUAUUACCGUGUUGUUCGGUUGAUGAAUGCAGGUGAGGAUUCUUCAUGAAGAAAUGAAGUUUCCCUUGUGGUUGAACGGCCGCACUACCAUUACAUUUCAUGCAGCUUCAACCUUCCCGAAAAAAGCGGUGGGUAAGAUGAUGUAUGCUUCGUCCGAAUUCAAUUAUUCAAUGAAUUCUCAGAUUAGAAAUCAAUGAGCCCCGCGGCUUAAUGCUUGUACUUUAUAAUGAUAUCUUGGUCUACUUGUGGAUAUUACCAGUGCAACUGGUGCCAGGGACUGAAGUUGCAGUUGUUUCAUAGAGAGGCAAGACAGUCGGCCCACAUGGAGAUCGUUCCAUUCUCUCUCCAAAUCGAUGGAAUCAUAUUUCAAGGAGGCAAGAUCUUUCUGAUUCAGUUGCUAUUCACUUCGUCUUUAUUUGAGAACUUGUCUGCAUUCAUAUGCGUAUAUUCUACCCAAUGUGAUUGGAUUACUGUUUAGCUAUAAUUCAUAUAGGAUUACAGGCUCGAAUGCUAUUCGUUGGAACUGACAAAUGCUUUUGGUUCUUGUUCCUAUAUUUGGAUUUAAUCUUCUAAUUAUACAUUCAUGAUGCCUUUUAUCACACUGUUUCUUUCACAAUUAAUCAAAAAAGUUGGUGUCUUCCUGUGGAUUUUCCAUCCCUUCCUGUAUUAAGUGGCUAAUGGGGUAUGCUAAGCUUGCCACUUAACAAGAAAAUGUUAAGCAAAAUCAUUUAUAACCUUUCGUUGACAAAACUGAUUGUUUUAAUGAGCCUGCUCUCAUACCUGCUGGGGUAUAUUUAAAUGGAUGCAAUGGUGUUUUGAAGAAUGACAUUCCAUUGCUUUCAGUUUCUCCCUGCUGCUUUAAAAUAUUGAAAGACAAAGCUGCUGAAAGAAAUGGUCUAGAUGUUCUCAAUAGGCACAAACUUUGUGAUAAGAAAAACAUGUUUCUGACGACUGGCACAAGCACCUAUGUAGUUGUUGCAGAUUGGCCCCCAUGAGAAAGUUGUUACUGCUUUUCCAUAUGAAUAUUCUCGACAAGAGGAUGAAGAGGCGGCUUAGCAGUCUGACGAGUUAAAGGGAGUCUCAGAUUGGAAGUGAAAGGGCAUAAGUCUCAGAUUGAGGAAAAGGUACUGGAAUCAUCACAUGGAUCCCACAAAAACAAAACUAAGAAUGCUGAUCAACCAAUUGAAAUCUUAUGUGCAUGGAAGUUUUCCAGUGAAUCUCAACAUGCUGCCAGAAAUGCAUAUGAGCUUGAAGGUGGUCGAUCCUAAGAUGGCUGAUCCUGUGACCAUUAAUUCAGUUAGGGAGAGAACAUUUGGAAAAGACAUCAGUUCUGAUGCAUCACCUUUGUGUUGGAUGGAAACAAUUCCUUCUGACGUUUCAAACAGUAGGUAUUUGGAUUUCCUUGUGAAGCUGUUUCCUGUUCUGGCACCUUUUUUAUGUUCACCAAUUCUUAUAUGAAAUUUUGAUGGUCUGUUGGAAGUUCAAUGAGGCCGCUAUGUUGUUACUUAAGCUGGGCACAAAGCACAGGUGAAUACACACACAGAUGGACAAUCUAACAAUGAGAACAUAAAAAUGUUCAAGCUUUUGUGAUGUAUGUUUUAUUGAUUUGUUGUUAUCAGUUAGAAUAUGGCAGUAUCUCAGGAUGGACAUUGGAGUUACAAAGAAAAAAAGGAACUUUUGAUUUUUGACUUUCUUAUCUUGCAAAUAAACGCCACUAAUUUAGUAUUGUAUCCGCUCUUAAUUAUGUGCAUUACAAUAAGUGUUCUGUAUCUUUUUAAUGAAGUUUCACAGUACUGUGCAUGAUAUCUGUCAUUGACAAAGUUCGUCGAUGAGGUUCUUAAAUUGACUUCCUACUUGUUUGCUAGUGUUAUUUGCUGCAUGUGUCUCUAUGAGAAUAAUUAAUUAUUUUUACCCUUAUCUCUAAAGGAUUCCGUAGUGUUCCCUAAUACAAGAUGUUUUCAAAUGUAGGAAUGUUGGUGUUGUUAACUCCUGCUUCUGGGGCUUGGUUCAGUUCAUGUGACCUUCCUCCCCCCGGACACGUUCUGCUAUAUGGAGCUCCUGUGAGUUCAUCAUAUUUUCACAUUUAAUUUUUCCACUGGUUCAUCAUAGCUCUCGAUACCAAUUGUUGAUUUUAAUCCCCCUUAGUUGAUCUUGUUUACCGAUGCAAACUUAUAAGAUGAUGCUAUGCGAAGUAUAUAACAAUAAAGAAAACACGCCACACACAAACGCAAAGAAUUAGCGAGUUUCGGCAAACUUCCCCUUGCUUGAGAUCUCUCGAUCACUCCUGUCUCUCUACUCUUGUAUUCUCUCUGUUGUUCGUGUUAAUAAACAACCCCCAACAAGCCUAUUUAUAGUACAUAGACCAAUGAUUACAUGCCUUACAAGUAUAGAAUUCCUAAAUCCUUUUAGAAUAGGGAAAACUAACGUAUUCCCUUUGAGGAGAGAAAUCACAACACUUUCAACCCCUUUAUUUUAAAUAAAAAGGGUAUGUGUUUGUUCAAACCAGAAUUGGAAGAAGUUGGAUAAAUGUGAGCCUAUGCUGUCGUGUUUGGUAUUAUAAUGCAUGAAUGACAUAGCUUUUAAUCUAUUGUACUAACGUGAUGAAGUGCGAUAACUCUACUGUUUAUGUCCUUUAGUCCAGCAAAGAAUUCUAUUGUUUCUUUGACGCUGUUUGCGAUGUUGUGAUGAUAUCUUAGAAGAUAUAGCUUCCAAAUGUGGUGGCUAUGAUUAAUAUGAUCUGGUAUUUUUCCUGUUUUUAAAAUUACUUCUUUGGGGGAGGGGAGUUGUGCAGCGCUAUGUAGAAGUCACUUUUAUAUGCUUUACAGGCUGUUAUAUUACUCCACUGUUGCAUCCUUAUAUUCCUACCUUCGAACUUUUAAUUCUUGAUAAAUGAAUGCUUAUGAAGGCGACACCACAUGAUAAUGUUUUGGCAAAAGAGAAUCCCUUUCAGUGCUUCAAGCAUGACAUUUUCUGCCUAUUUUUUGACUUCCAUAUUUAAAAUGUUUUUGUCAGUAUUCUGAUCAUCUAGAAUUAUUGUAGAGAUAUAGUUUUGAUAUUGAUUAGCUUAACAAUCUACCUUUUGAUGAAUAUUCUGUUGUAUGGACCUCCUGGUUGUGGAAAGACGCACAUAAUUGGUUCGGCUGCUGCAGCCUGUCCACUAAGAUUUAUAUGCAUAUAGUAGCGACACACACCAGAGAAUAUGCAUAUAGUAGCGAUUUACAACCAGGGUAGAAUUGGCGGUAAAGGGUGGGUGAGAACAGGUUUCCAAUAAAAUUUUAUUGGGACAAUUUUUAAUUUGUUAGAAUAACAACAGUCCAAUGAUUUUGUUCUUGACUUGAAUACAGCAUAAAGAUCCAUUACAGGCUUUGCAUGGUAGUCGUCAGUUCCUGUACGAUCAAGACCAUAUCCAUCUAAGGACUUGGUGAAUAAAUACAUUGGUGCUUCCGACCAAGCUGUAAGUGGUGGUUUAUGUCGAUCUUGGUCCUCCCAUGGAAUCGAAAGUCCUGUUUGUGGAUUGUUUCGAUCAUAUUUGCAUCGUCUUGAUUGAGUUCUGAGUAUAUGCCAUCUUUUCUAAUUAUAGGUUUUCCCAUUGUCUACUUAUCUAAUGUAAAAGAGACUUUAUUUUCAUGUUAAGCAGUAGAAAGUUAGAAACAAAUAUGCAUGCAUGCAUAAUGCAUUCAGGAUCAGUUCUCUCUCCUCCUUUGGCUCCUAGUUUCCUGCAUCAUUAUACCAUAAGAAACAUUGUUAUCAUACAAACAAACCUAAAGCAAACAAAAACAAACCAAAUAAUUUCUUUCAUUCCACUCACCAGCACCGCCUCCUCCUCGCGCUUUCUUCCCCGCCCCUUCACAGCAGCCAACGCCCUUUUUUGAAAAGAAAAAACGAGGGAACAAUUAGAUAAUGACUUCAAGUCUACAAGUACAUAUAUUGUAACUGCAAAAAUAGACAACAAACCAAUCCAACCCAGGAAGAUCCUCCUUCAAACAACUUGCAUCGACCAAGUCAUCAAGCUUGUUUGCAUAAUCACGCCUGCAAAAUAACAAGACGACCAUAAAUUCACCUUCGCAUAAAACUACAGCAAAAUGCAUCCCAUAUUACUCUACGUGUCACAACGUCUACGUGAUAAAUAAUUGCAAGAUUCCUUACAUGGCAAACACUUGGAAGAUUUUCUCGUCGGGAAUGACUUCAUCACUGAAAUAGUAUGUUGCUUCGGCUACAACAUCAGCACGAAUGGAUGGAUUCUCAGGAAAGCCCUCGAUCGACACCUUGAAGACUGCGACACGGCAACAGCAGAAACCCAGCUUGUCAAAGCCGGAGCACACGAUGCACAUAAGGUCUUCCUCGCCAAACUGGGUGAUGAAAGAAGUGCAGUUGUUUAUAUGGGGACGGAAUAUCUUCCGGAGCCCAUCCACCUCCUGAGAGUCGAAGGAAAGGCCACCGCAACCCGAUCGAUAACUACAGACACACCCUAGUUGGGGAAAAAGGAGAAAAUCCUUAUACUGUGCUAAACCUCCCCGGGCAUACAUUCCGCCCAUGAUGCCACAAUCUUCGUGCCAUUUUUCUGAACUAGUGUCAAACUGAUAGCGUUGGCCAGUCAUCCGGUCUCGAACAAUGAGAUUCUUAUCCCAUGUGUAGCAGCAAUCCAUGAAUACACCCUCAAUCUUAACAUCAACGAUGAAUGGAGGAUUCGGUAGAACUUUCCAAAGAAGAAGGGAAGGAUGGAAGACCUCAAACAGGGCGGGUGAGGUUUCUUGGACGUCCUUUCCUCUGUACUCUGUAGACAAGACAUAAAUCUUGUCGUCAAUGGUGGCCACGAAGGGUUGGAGCUUCGGACCACACAUGCGGGGAAGGUUAGACUUGCACAUAGGAUACAACAUCGAGGUUGGCCCAAUCGGGUGGGGCUUUAUAAGCCUUCUUCAACGCUUCGAAAUGAGGGCGGAUAUCAUCCAAAGCCGGAUGAUUGUAGAUAUGUGGAGAUUCCCACAGGGGUUUAGGAAAGGAAGGGGGUUGAAGACUAAAUUGUCCUCCAACAAUAUAAGGCUUGGAGUCGACCAUGACAUAUCUCAUGCCCCAUGGAAGAGAGCGUGGGCGGGUUGUGCUUGUGCGGCUGCCCUCGUUGUCGCUGUCAUGGUCGGGAUAAAAUCCGUUGUGCAACAGUUUGAACUCGGGCUUUGGUGGCCUGCGAGACUUGUGCAGUUUAGACCACUCCAUCAAUUUGACAAUAUCCAAAGCCAAUAGUUGCCUGCCCAUUUGCAUAUGCAAUAUCCAACUCUUCCCAUCCUCGGGCAUUGUCAUAUUCAAUAAUUUAGCCUGUUUGAACAAAAACCGGCAUCAAUCAGACACUGACAGUUUGUUUAGUCAUGAGUGUAAGUAAGUGAGUAACCACGCUAAAAAAGAAAACGACCCAUAACAAUAUCACAGGUACAUGCACCGAGUAAUCAAAGUAUUCCAGUUGCAUAAGGAAAGGGAGAUGGAAGCCGAAAGGUGAAGGGGGUUUGGGAUUCAAGAACCUUUAUGCGUUUAAUCUCGCUUUACAAGCAAAGCAAGGAUGGAGGUUAAUACAAAAUCCUACUUCGCUUGUAUCCCGAAUUUUCAAAGCCAAGUACCACCCUUAAACGGAGUCCGGGUUUGGAUCUGGGUUCCUACCAAAUUAUCAAUUUAUAUUUGAGUGAAGAGUUGUAUAAUAUUUGGUUUAAAACUGAAGUUAUAGAAGAAACUGUUUGAAGAUAUAACCCAAAAACUCAAGUAAUUCAAAUCACAAAAUUCCAAAAACUCUACCAGUACCCAAAUUGCAGAUACCCAUGUAAGUGAAAUAAAACAACCAUGUCAAGCAUCUCAGUAGAAAAAUUUACCUGUAUUUAGGAAGGAGGCAAGGAUUUGAGCGCGGGGAGGAGAAAGAGAAACAGAGAGAAACAGAGAGAAGAGAGAACGGCUGGUUGACAAUUAGGGUUGGGGUAUACUUUGUAUUUAUACGGGUCGGUAAGAGAGAGAGCUGGAGGAGGCGAUGCUUCCGUGCGAAAGAGAGUAAUGUGCGGUGUGGGUCGACUAAGGGGAGGAGAGAGAGAGGCGGUGAGGGUUAAAGCGGUUAAGGGGAGAAAGAGAGAGAAAGUGGGGUGUGGGUAGGGUUGGCUUCGAUUCAAAACGGUUCGGUUUUUUGUCAAAAUCGAAAUCAAAUCAAAAUUUUGGUUCGGUUUAUUUUUUUUUCGGUUUGGUUUUUUUCGGUUUCGGUUUAUUUUUUUUUCGGUUUGGUUUUUUUCGGUUUCGGUUUUAUUUUUAUUUUUUAAUGAUGUAAAUGGAAGAAACCUACCUAUCAACCUCCCAGUUCUCAUAUGUUCUCAUAUAUCAGAGAAUUGAGUGCCUUAAAAUCUGGAAUAUAUUCAAGUAAUUCAACUACUUAUGAUCAAGCAAAUCGAUUUCAAAUUUUCAAAACUUAAGCAAAUACAGAAACAUAUAUUCUUCAAGGAAAUGUACAUCGCCAAGAUUCAAAAUUCUAAAAAUUUAAAAUUUAAAAAAUCAUGAAAUAAUUCAACAAAUUAGUUGAUCGAUGCAGAUCGAAACAAAAAAAAUGCAAAUGGGUUCGUCUAAAUGCCAUAGUCGGACUCCAAUAUUGCAUGCCCAGUGCCCACAUUCAAAUUCAUAGUCAAGUCCACAAUAGAUCUAGAAAAUUCCAAAACAUAUUCAGAGAAAAAUACAAACUUUUUCACUUAAAAUUACAUAAAUUUCAAAUGGGUAACCAUAAAUUAAAAACCCAUGAACUGACAAAUAAAUAAAACCCACAACCUUUGAUGCAGUGAUAUUGCCAUGAUCGUCGCAAGCUCUUACAAUUCCUCUUUUCGUCGGGUCUUGUCGGGUCUCGAAAGGGGUGAGGGAAAAUCAUGGUUUGGAAGAAGGAACCCACGAGGAGGACAGGAGAAGACUGGAGAGAGAGUGAUUUGGAGGAAGAGAGGAAUGAGAGAGAGAGAGAGAGAGAGAUAGACUGAGGAAACAAAGGCAGAGAGCAACCGACGGAAUAGAGAGAAGUGUUUAGGAUCUGAAAUGAAAUGGGAGUGAGACGGCUAGGGUUUGUAAAGUUAAGAAAUUUUAUAAAGCAUUAAACAUAAGAAACCUAUAAAUAAAUUACUGGUACAAUUAUAAGAACACAAAGCCUACAGUCAAGUUGGCUUGCAGCAACUAACCCCAACAUGCAGGGAAAGGGUUCAAACCCCGACGCUAACAUGUUUUCUUUUAGUAUUUAUAUAUGAUUUUUUUUUCUAUCCGGUUUGGUUUCUGGACCUCAAAAACCGAAACCGAACCAGCCAGAUUCAGUUCUAUUCGGUUUGGCAGUUUCGGUUCGGUUUUUUUCUGCCUCAGUUCGGUUUGGUUUUCGGUUUUUUGAACCCACCCCUAGGUGUGGGUGGGUUAUGGGGAGAAAUUUAUAUAUACUAAAAGCCUGUAGAUUAUCACUGUUCAUAUUGUCAGAUAUAGCACUGUUCAUCAACAGUGAAAGAGCAAACUUGGCUUCACACCAAAUACACGUGAGCGUGAGCAUUGAACAAAGUCAAGAUGAGCCUAAACCCGCCCCUUGAACAUCAGUCUUGGAUAGGCUGAACUGUUCAAAACCCAGAAUUUCGGCACUCGAUCGCAUUGAUGGUCAUAACUGAACCUCCAUCUUCAAAAGGCUUAACACGCCAACACCCCAAAGCUUUGUUUUCGAAAGGUUGUCAAAACCUAAGAAACAAAGUAAUGCAGCUAGCUCUCCUCCGCAAUGAUCGGUUUUGGAAAUAUUUGAAUAAACCAAGAAGCCUUCUAGAAAGAGGAAGACAACGCCAAAGAAGGAAAAGCUCAACAAUCUAGCAAGGAUGAAACGCCAAGAAACCUUGGAAGUUAACACAAAAUGACCACUGAAGGUAAAGAGGCGCACCAUCAUCCAUAAUGGCCAAUCUUCACACUAACAAGCCCAACAGGACAACACCGAAGAGGAAGUCCAAGACGUCUUCCACAUCACAAUCCAAGAAGAUAAAGAAAAAGAAGUCCCCGAGGAAAACGUCACUGCUGCACCACCAUAGCUUGAGGAUGAGGGGCAAGCCAUGGUUGAUCAUCUCAAGGAUCUCAACUUAGGCAUAAGUGAGGAAGCAAAGCCUAUCUUUGUAAGUGCAUUACUAAGUGCGGACGAGAUCGAUGAGUAUUACCAACUAUUCUUGGAGUACAAAGACGUAUUUGCUUGGACCUACAAAGAAAUGCAUGAACUUGACCCUACCAUCAUCGUGCAUCGUCUUCCAGUCAAGGCUGGAACACGACCAGUAAAGCGAACUCAAAGACAAUAUCAAUCUGAACUCAUCCCACGAAUUGAGGUCGAGAUUGACAAGCUAAUCGAAGCAGGCUUCAUUCGAGAUGUACAAUACCCUAAGUGGAUCUCCAACAUCGUCAUUGUCCUUAAGAAAUCUAGACAAAUAUGUGUUUGCGUAGACUUCCAAGAUUUCAAUGAUGUUUGUCCAAAUGAUAACUUUCCCUUGCCAAUCAUCGAAAUCAUGGUGGAUGCGACCAUUGGCCACGAGGCAUUAUCAUUCAUGGAUGGCUCAUUUGGGUACAAUAAAAUCCACAUGGCUCUUGAAGAUGAGGAACUAACAGCCUUUCGCACUCUAAAAGGUAUCUACUACUACAAGGUAAUGCCCUUUGGCUUGAAGAACGCUGAAGCCACAUAUCAACGCGCCAUGAAGAAGAUCUUCAACGACAUGCUACACAAAAAUGUAGAGUGUUACGUACAUGACGUAGUUAUCAAGACUAAGAAAAUAUCCGAUCACUUGAAGGAUUUACGAAUGGUGUUCGACAAACUAUGACACUACAACCUCAAAAUGAACACAUUGAAAUGUGCAUUUAGCGUCACCUCUGGGAAGUUCCUCGGCUUCAUUGUCAAGCACUAUGGCAUUGAAGUAAACCAAUCAAAGAUUAAGGCCAUUAAAAGCAUGCCCGAGCCAAGGAAUCUACAUGAGCUGAAAAGUCUACAAAGAUGGCUUGCCUUCAUCAAACGCUUCAUCUCCAACCUCGCUGGACGCUGUCAACCCUUCAGUCGACUCUUGAAGAAGGAUGUUCCGUUCAUAUGGGCUGACGCUUGCUGCAAUGCCUUCGAAAGCAUAAAAAGGUACAGUGCUAGACCAAUGGAUUUACCUGAUCCAGUGCUCAACUUAUUAGGGCAGUUGAACACAGCCCACCUAGAUGCUUUAUACUUCAUUGUGGAAAGAGGGAAUGAAGUGUACCGGUCCGAUUGAAUCAUUUAUGUUUAAUGUAUUUUUAUUCUGAACUUGUAGUUUAAAACUCGCAUUUCAAUUCAAUAAAAGUGGCAUUUCAAUUUCCUUUUAUUAUGAAUAAAUUGUGUUUUACUGUGAUCCCAUUUACUCAGAAAGUAUGGAUAAAAACUAUGGUUAUUCUCAAAACAUGAGAAAUGGUGGAGAUAUUUGUCUUGCAGACAGCGCAACCACGCAUACAAUACUUUGUGAUUGAAAAUAUUUCUCAAGCUUAAUGCUUACAAAAGUAAGGGUAACAACAAUAUCAGACCAAUCAGAUGUAAUUGAAGGCUCAGGGAAAGCCCAGAUUAUGUUACAAAAUGGAACAAUAUUGUCCAUACAAAAUGCGUUGUAUGCUACUCGAUCUACUCGAAAUUUGUUGAGUUUCAAAGGCAUAUGAUUAAAUGGAUACCACAUUGAAAAGAAAAGUGCAGAAAAUGUGGAGUAUCUAUGCCUUACCUUUAAUGAUACCCAGAAAUGUAUAUUGGAGAAGUUGCGUGGUUUGUUGAGUAGAUUAUAUUAUACAUACAUAAAGACAAUUGAAUCACAUACUGUCAUGAACCAGAAGUUAAUUGAUUCAAAAGUUUACAUGCUUUAGCAUGACCGUUUAGGCCAUCCAGAAUCCACUAUAUGUGUAGGAUCAUUACCAACUCUAAUGGACAUCCAUUAUUGAGAAGACACAUUGUUAUCUCAAAUGAUAACCCUUGCAAAGCUUGUUCUCAAGGGAAGUUGGUAAUUAGACCAUCACAACUAAAGGUUGAUGCUGAAUCCCCAUCAUUUUUGCAAAGAAUUCAAGGGGAUAUUUGUGGGCCUAUUCAACCAUCUUGUCUUAAGAGCUCCCAUGCUUGGAAAGCCGUUUAUCCUAUACAUUGUUGCACAAGAAGGAUCCAUUGGAGCAUUUUUAGCACAAGAAAAUGAAGACCAAAAGGAAAAAGCACUCUACUACCUAAUUAGAACCAUCACUGAUGUCAAGCUCAACUACACACCAAUCGAGAAAAUGUGCAUUGCCUUAGUCUUUGCCAUCCAAAAGCUUAGACACUACAUGCAUGCUUACACCAUCCACUUGGUUGCCAAAGCUAACCUGGUCAAAUACAUCAUGUCCAAGCCAAUUUUGACAUGGCGACUAUCCAAAUGGGCAUUGCUUCUCAAUCAAUAUGAGAUCAUCUACAUUCCAGCUAAAGUCAUCAAGGGACAAGCGCUAGUAGACUUCCUUGCCAAUCAUUCAAUCCAGCCGAUUGGAAAAUCUCAGACGACUUGCCUAGUGAUGAGGUGUUUUACGUCGACAUCUUCCUGACAUAGACAAUGUUCUUCGACAGAUCCACACGAGCAGACGGAGCGGGGGCAGGAGUAGUAUAUAUUGUUGGAAAUGUGCCCUAAAACCAAUCAUAUAAUGAUACUUUAUGGACAUUUAACAUGUUAAACUAAUCUAGUUUAAUAUAAAGGGCAAAGAUUAUUGUUUUAAGCCGUCUCAUAUAAAUGUUAUAUGCUUAAACGAUAAGUCCAAAGAAUAUGCAAUUGGGAGAAUGUGAUCUAAAGAAGUUAGAUUCAUGAGACGAUUCUCUUUCGUAUACAUAUCCUAAACGUUCCUGAUCAUAGGAUUGCCAAUUGGGCAUUGACAGUCCGUUAAGAUCAGUACAUGUUAUGUCUUCUCUUAGGGAGAGUGACUGGUCUUGAGUCAUUGGUGGGACUGACACUAAGACAAGCAUGUAGGUGCUCAAUAGAGAAUGAGUCCACUGAACACGAUCAACAAGGAGUUCUCAUACUCAUGUCACAUGAGAACUCAUGGUUGGGACAAUGCAAAGUAGUCAUUUCACCUGAGGCAUCAUAGUUGUCUUGUGGUUAGGUCUUUGAUCUUUGACUAUGUCAAAGUCACUCCAUUAGAGGGGUUAAGCCAUUUAGCCAUAGAGGCAAGUGAAUGCGCAACAAGGGAUCUCUAACCUUCAAACCGUUUAAGGGAAAAUACUCUAUGAUAUGAUUAAGAAUCUCUGGCCAGAGUAUGAAUGAGAUUUAGGAAGUCGUUCCAAAUCACAUUCAAGGUAAUCAUAUAAGUAAGAGAAUCACAUUGGAUAGUAGACAUGAAUAAACUAUCAAACCAAACAAUGUGGUUAAGAGUAUUGUAUUAGAGAAAUACCGUAUUGCAUUGUAAUCUUAAACUAAAUAGGUUCUUCACCUCUUCUGAUUAGCUUGGGUAACCAUGACAUACUGCUAGGUGUCACUCAUGGUUUGUGGAAGCCCUGAACGUGUAUUACUAAAGGGUGAAUUGAAAGUAAGUUUCAAUUCACAAUCGAUUUGAAGAGUUCUAAUCGCCCACUGCCUCGCUAAAAGGAACCUAAUAGAUCGUACACUGAGUAAGGUAGAGAUUGAAGAAACAACGGAGAUGAUUAAGGAUAAUUAAAUGGUUUAAUUAUUUAUGGCUAGAAUUAAUUAAUAUGUUAAUUAAUCAAACGAAUAUGUUCGUUAUAGACCUUGGGUUAGUUUUGGGCCGCAAGGCCCAAUGGGAUUUGAAUAUCAAGCCCAUUAACUCAAGUUGUAUGACAAAUUGAAAAUACAAAGGGCUUGAAAGCCCAAUGAACCCUUAAUGGCCGGCUAUAUAGAGAGGGGUAGUGAACUUGGCUUAAUUGCAAGUUUGCCACUCCAUUGUAAGGUGGUAUAAAGGUAACCUUAUAGCCAUUUCAUCCUUAGGGUUUUCAUUUCAAGAAAAGAUGAGAACACAAGCUCCCUUUUCUCUCUAAGAACCCGGCCACCCUAGGAAGGUUUUACUAGCAUCUAAAUCUUCCUAGGUCACUCAUCUCCUCAUCACUGCUCUCAUUGGUGUGUAGAAUCCAUUUCACCAUCCUCCUCCAAGAAAUCCAUGGAGCAAAGAAGUAAGGAAUGAAGGCCCUAUCAUCAAGGGCAACUUUGUUUGCUAUAACUUUCCAACAACCUUGGUGGCUCCAGUGCUGCUAGGAAUGAUGUUGAAGGAAAAGGCACGUCUACCUUUUCGGUCAUUUUGUCGUUGAUAAACUUGGCAAAUGGAGCAAGGCAAUUGGUAGUGCAACCAGCAUUGGAAAGAAUGUUGUUGUUUGGCUUGUAUUCCUUUUUGUUGAUAAACAUGGAAACAUCCUUGCUGGUUGCAAAGAUGAUAAACUGGCAAAAUACCCGAAGUCGAGCAAACUGGAAAAGAAGGAUAAAAGAUAAACAAACUUGGACAACUAUUCUUUUUUUUUUUUGUCUUUUUCUUGUUGCCUCUUUUCAUAUAAUAUAAUAUAAUAAUAUAUAUAGCCAUUUCGGGCAAAGUGCCUUUUCUUUGUCUCUUUUAAUAUAAUAUAAUAUAGUAUAAUAUAUAUAGCCCUUUUCGGGCAAAGUGAAAGACAAGAUAGGGAGAAAGAGAAAGGAAGGAAAAGAAAUAAAAAAUAAAAAAAUAAAAGGAAGGAGGGAGAGACCCACCUUCGGGCAAAAGAAAAUAGAAGAGAUGAGAAAAAGAAAAAAGAGAGACAAAGAGAAAUAAUAAACUAAAAACAAGAAAGAAAGAGAAGUUCCUUUCAGCCAAAAAGGGGACAGAAGAGAUAAGAAAAAAAGAAAAGGGAAAAGGACAAGACAAAGAGAAAGAGAAAGAAAUAAGAAAAAGAAAGAAAGAGAGAUCCUCUUUCGGGCAAAAAGGGGAACAGAAGAGACCCUCUAGUCAUCUGUGCUUUUUUAUUGAUGCCACUUCCUUUAGCCGCCCUUUAACAUCACCAGUAGAUACAUCUUCUCCCUUAUAUGUCCCAAUGUUUUCAUAUGUUGCUGUACUUCCACCAUUUAUGCCAUCAAGCUAGUCUUGGGAUUCUGUUGGCUCAUUCGAUGAUUUUUCUUUCUUUUUCUUCCUUUUUGAAUUUUUACUCUCUCUAGUGGCAUCCUUCUUCUUGUCUACAUCUCCAUUUUGAUUAUCUACUUUCUUCUCUUGGGCAACACCACUGGGAUCAUCUUGGCCACUAGUCUUGGUUUUGGUAGGGUAUCCCAGCUCAGCAAGAAUUGCUUCAAGUUCUUCAAGCCCCUUUUUAGAAAGCUCCCUUUAUGUAUCCUUGGAGGCUGGAGAAGGUUCAGGGAGUUUACUGUGAGAAUUGGUAUGGGCCAUUCAGAGAUGGGGAUCAGUUAGGUGAAUGUGCUAUUCAUGAUUCUGCCUUUUGCUUCUACGGCUGUAUUGGAAGCUUCAGAAGUCCUCGGAACUUGGCGAGGUCCCAGUGCAGUUGCCAGUUUCUGUGGUACUCAAAUUAAUGUUCUUUAAGAACUUUUUAGACAACAGCGAGUAAAGCUCCGUAAAAAAUGAAAGUGGUCUCGUAUUGUUUCCCAAGCAGCUGUGGUGUUCAGUGAAGGAAAUUAAAGAUGGUGAUACAUACAACGAGGUAGGAUGGCUGUUAGAUCAUAGACGUGCCAUUACAUUAAGAUGCACCUUCUCAAGCAUAGCAACGCCAAAGGAAAUCCCGGUAGCAAACGAAACUUAAAAACAAACGAUAGCCUCAGAGCAGAUGGCACUAGAUGUGUGAAAUUGUAACAACCCGUCCCGGGAUUUAAUGUACAUAAAAGAUAUUUUCGUAUUUUCACCAAGUUUGGGAAUUUAUUUUCCUCUUAAAAUUUGUUUUUGGGUCUUAAAUGGUGAGCCAGGGACCCACCCUGAUUUCUGUCCCCCGCAUCCCAUCUCUCUCUUCUCUCUUUUCCCGUAUCUCUCUCCAUUUUCUUUGCAACUCUCUCCCUCUCACCCGUGUUCUCCUUCCUUGCACACCCUCAUCUCCCACAUCAUCAACACCACCAGUUUUCCCUCUCUAUCUCUCCCGCUGCUGCAAGUCACGACAUAAUCCUGAGGAAGAGCUCCAGCGAGUCUCCGUCACACUCGACAGGGGUAGGUCUUGAAAAAACACUCCAAAUACUUCUCUUUUCAUCCUUAUAGUUCUUUUCUGACCCCGUGGUUAUGUUUUUGGACGUCAAACCAUGAAGAAACACGUCGGGGAAACUUCCUGGAUUUCCGACGAGAAACCGACAGCUUUCGAGGCCAUUUCCGGCCAAACCAAGACGAAUUGGCAGGCGUGCAAGGUAUCAAUCUCUUCGUCUCUUUGAGUACUACAACUUUCCUUUUUGUUUCACUCAAUUGCGUUGAGUAUUGAAGAAGUUAUACUCAUUUGAAUCUUACCCAGUUUCCGGCAACCUCCGAGGCUUUCGAGGCAUUUUCCGGGCAAACCACGGUGAGUUAGAAUCGUACAAGGUAUCAUUUUCUUCGUCUCUUCGAGGGCUAGAACUUUCAUUUUUGAAUCACUUGAUUUCGUUGAGUCGUGAUAAAGUUAUGGCCGUUUAAAAGUUGUGCAUUUUCCGACCAAAUUUCCGACCUUCUUCUUCGGCAAAACCAGGCCUUUUAGGCCAUUAGAACCGCCUCGGGCCUUAGCCGUUUUAGGCCAGCCCAGUACCCUAGCUGCAUGAUUUUUAUUUUUAGUUUAGGUUUUAAAAACCCAAAAGAACACGGGCCUUAUACUGAAGGGCUUUGGGCCCGUAAUCAAAACCCAGUCCAUUCUUUUAAUUGUUUUAAAGGCCUUAUAGUCUUGGGCCAUUAUUAUUUAUUUGAGGAUUGAAGCCUAGCCCUUUUUGGCCUUAAGGCCUUCGGGCCAUUAGUGUGUGAAUGUGUGUUGUGGGGGUAUAUGGGCGUGCAGCCCUGUGUGUGUGUGUGUGUGCGUGUGUAUAUGCAUGCAUAUGCAUGUCGUGUGUGUGUGUGUGUAGUUGUGGUGCGUGUGUGUGUUUGGGCUUAGGCCCAAACCCCAUUUCUUCACCCUAAACCAUUUUAACCCAAAAACCUUAGAAUUCCAAAACCCAAUAGAUCCUAAUCCUAUUUAACCUAAACUUAAACUCUAAUCCGGAUUUCAAGCCUAAAACCCGUUAGACCUAAUUUGACCGUUGACCCCCGGUCAACGUUGACUUUAAGGUUGACUUUACGGGUUUUCGUCCAGGACCCUUUUUAGGGUAAUUCGACGUUCUGAAUCCGUGUCCGUUUUCCCAAAUUCAAUCGUUUAAGUAGAGUUUGACUAAAUGUGCUAUUUAUGUGCUUAGGGGCAAUUAUCGUGACGUUUUCGUCUUUGCUAGUGGCACAACUUUUGGCAACUAAGUACUAUGAGUGGACCCCUGCUAAAAUUACAUGAUUUUAUAGUUUAAUUGCAUAAAUGAUUAGCAUGCCUACGAGUUUAUGAUUUGAGUUAUGUGAAGCCUGUUGAUUUAAUAUGUUGAUUAUCGUCUCGUGUUUUGGUGAGGAAUUAAUUGUUAGCCUAUUUUGAGCUAUAUUUUGAUAUAUCGUAUUUUCUAUAAAAAUCAUGAACUGGUAGACUAUCUGAUGGAUGACGAUAGGAUGCUAGAACAUGUUUUUGAAACCCCUCUUUAUAGUAUAAACGAUUAUCGGUAUUUAUACUAUGAAGUGGUUAUUUAUGAGAGGUGUAACUAUUUGUGCGUACCUAGUGGACACCAUGCCGCCUGGGGCGAGGAUCUGGUGUUGGCAUUUAGGCCGGGAGAAAUAAUCCCUAGCGAAAGGCUGAGGGACACGGUGACAAGCAUUGGGCCGGAAGGGAGUUAUCUUUGGCUACGGGUACAGAGACUUAGGUGUAGGCAUUGGGCCGGGAGUUAUAUUUAUUCGGUGAUCCUUCUAGCAACACACCGCGCUUACGAGACGAUGCACGCGAUGAAUUAUAUGAUGUUUUUCCGCGAUAUGACUUUUGAGAUAUUUUUGGCAUGCUAGGAUUUUUAUUAAAUCCAUCACUUAUUAUGUUAGUAGUUUCUUUAUAUAUAUAAACUGUGGGGGUUAGUAUGUUGAUGACUGUUUUAUUAUUAUUAUAUAUAUGAACUUGGUCCACUCACCUUUGUUUUGAGCCCCCAUUCAGGACUUAGAAUCAAGGCACUUAAUCCCGGCGUCAAGGCACUUCCGCAACAACAUCUUUGGAUCCUCUCGAUGUAGGACCCACUUCUUUAUUCAUUCAAUUUUAUUUUAAAUCUUUGUAGUGAUUAGGUUUAGUUGUAUGCUCUGAGCACGUUCCUAAAAUUAUUAAUUCAUUGUAUUUUUAAAUUCAUAACUCUUAUUUACUUCUUAUUCUUAGCUUUUAUAUCAAUUAAUAGCUUUCGUCACCCUCGGGUGUCGGCCAGCACAUGUCUAUCCUGGUAUUCAGGGAAUACCAGGGUUGGGACGUGUCAGAAAUUAUUCUGGAUGUAUCAUACCCUUCUCAGCAUCUUUUUCAGUCACUCUCUUAGAUGUUUUCGUCCAUUCCUUUGUGGUUGUAAUUUUGGCUUCCACUAGGCAAAUGCAAACAAAGCCCCGUUGGCCAUUCGAGCGAACUGCACACUUUCUUCAGCCAGUGGCGAAUGCUCAAAGUGGUUGAGGAUGAUGGUUAAAGGGAAACGGCUGGCUCCGAAUCUGCAGCUGCUAUGUUGGCUGUCUGUUGGGAGGUAACGACGGGCAUCUGCUAUGUUGUUGGUUGAAUGCUACAAGUUGUAGCCAAUGGAGCCAAUGGGAUAGCAGAGGCAGAACGCAGUGGAGACCGUGGGGUGGUUCGGGGCUGUGGGACGAAGCACCUCAACUCCUCAGUCAUCUUCAUCGUUGACAAAGUCGCUGUCUUUACCAAUGACCUUGCCGAUAUCUACGUGCAAGCUUAAGCUCUCUUUCACGGCUACCAUUACCGACGUGCCCACCACCUCCUCAAUGCCUCCCAGGUCGUCUUCUGUAUCUUUUGAUUUUGUAACCUCGCUACCAAGUGCUUGGAUGAGUUGAUAUGUUGUGACAGCUCUCUUUUUGGGACAAGUAUCUCGGCCAUAGAUACAUUGUUAUUUGGAAUAAACACAACCUUCGAUUAACUAUUGACAUCAAGAUCAUUGUUGACCACAGCACCGACAUCGUUUCCCACUCCGGAGAGUAGUGGUCGAAAACAUGUUGAGAAAAAUCAUGAACAUAUGGAUUGUUCAUGAUCUAACUCCAUAUAAGGGUCCCACUGGGCAUGCCAAAAUGUUUGCUCCCUAAAUUCGCCAUGGGCCUCUCGGGCAUGUCGAGAAUUUACUCAAACAUGAAAUUGGUGGGUGUGAGCGUGCCACUACUAGAUGCCGCUAGUAGACGGGAUCUGAAUGAUUGAGGUUGCGCCUGAAUUCGACUUCAAACUAAGAGAUCGUGCCAUUAAGUGGGAGUGGCUCAAAUCAAUGUUCUUUCUUUGCCUUAAAGAUAAGGACUUUACUUAUAUGGAGAAAUGUAACAACAAUUAAAUCACAAGAUUGCUAAAAGUGUGAAUGACAAAGGAAAAUAAAUGACUAGUAUUGUAGAUUGCUUGUAAUUUAAAUGACUAAAAAGGAGUUUUACAUAAACUACAAAUGAGAUCGAUACUACUAGUGAGCAGCAGAGCUAAUAAACAAGGAAAGCAAUGGAUGCUUGGCUUAAGCUAAAUGUCUACAAGGAAGCUGAUGAGCUGAUUUGAGUAUAAUUGAUUGAUUGGUUGUUUGAGUGUCCAUAAUCCUUAUGCCUCUACUCCUUUAUAUAGCAAUCUGAAAGAGCCCUUUUGCUAAGAACCUUGAACUUGCCCAAAUGCAUUCAGUUUGCCAGCUUGCAUGUGGAAUAAUAUUAUAAAGGCCAACUUGCAUUCCCAACUAGGGGUGGGCAAACGGGUAGAGGAACCGCGGGUCGGGGCGGGUAAUGGAGGUUUGGGGUGGGUACGGGCCGGGUCCUAUUUUUUUUGGGAACAAACGAGGGGGGCCGGGCCGGGCCUUUGUUUUUUACGGGGCGGGCCGGUUCUUAAACCUUAGAAAAACGGGGUCCCGGACCGACCCGUUUCUAAUUAUAAUCAACGGUCGAGAUUGAAUGAUAACCUAUCAUGCAAUCUGAACCGAUAAUUUCUAACUAGGGCUCCAGAAUCAGUUUCAGAUUUUCAGUCUCUUUCUCACAGUCUCAAAAUCCCACCUCUCUACCAUCCCUCGAACCCCUACUCUGACGACAUUCCAGAGAACGCCCAUCACCGCCGCCGCGACCAACACAACGGCACCACCACCACCCAUCCAACCAUCCUCCGACCUCGACGACAUCCGUUACUUUGCCGGCUACCGUAAGUCUACUUCUCCGAAUUUUAUUUUUGUUGAUGCGGAGGAUUUGAUGAAUGCAUGAAUAAUAGGAUUUGAUUAGAGCCUAAAUCUUUAGGUGGGAGUAAUUUGAUGAAUGCAUGAACAUUUGGGUGAAGGAGUUAUGGAUCUGUUUGGAUAAUUUUUAUGUAUGGCUUUUCCCUGGAAUUAAGGGAAGAUCUAUGAUGAUUUCUCAAGUCCGAUGAAACACUUGUUGUUUCUCGUUCUCUCUGUUUUCGGUUUUAUUUGUCGUCCUCAGAACAUUUAGGUGAAGGACUUGAGAAGCUUCAAAUAAUCAAUGUGUUUUAGCGCUGAGUACCAUUUAUGUGUUUCGUAAGACUAGAGGUCAUUAGAUUAUCUUCAAUGUCAGUAAUAUGAUAUUUGAAAACGUAAUAGAUUGUCCCUCCCUGCGCUCUGAUCACUCUUCGCAAGAGAGGGCUUCUUUGUGAUGGUUGUAUAUAUGUAAAUUAUGCUUAUUCUAGUUUUCAGAUUUGACUAUGUGUGUGUGUUGUGUGUGUAUGACGCUUGUUGUUUUCCUGUGCACAACACUUAUAUCAGGAUCGCUUUUGUGUAUUACAUAUGCAGAUUCUGUUUUGUGGUCCUUAAAUGAGGUUGUGCUUUUCACUUUUCAGUCAAUGAGGAAGUUUCAGUAGUGUCGGCCAUUUUGUUAUAAAUAUAAUAAGUAGGUCGGACCAGAUUUUAGAACCUCAAUAGGCUAAGCUUAAUUUGUAUAUGAAUAUUGCAGAGGGAAAAGGAAGGAUAAGUUGUGGGUUUGGUAUGCCAUGGUCGGUUUAUAUAGAGGUCCUGAUGUGGUUGGAAUUGAACAGGUGUAUUACUUAAUCAUGCAGUAACUUUUCAACUUGCUCCAUUUCCUUUUUUGUUUUGUGGAAAUAGAAAGCAAGUUGCUUUCCUUGUCUGCAAACAAGUAGCUCACGAUUACCUGCCUACUUCAAUACCAUUAUCGAAUAAUUCCAAAUAUUUCUGAGUUUAUUUUUUAUUUGUUUCAUUGAAUUUUGGGUACGAUUGUUGGAAAAUAAGUUUUUGAAGAGUGUUGGAAAAUAAUUAAAUUAGGACACUGUUUUUUUUUUCCUAAGUUAGGAAGUUGGUUUGUUUUUACGUUUGGGCUUUUUUGAUAUUUUAUGUACAUGUGUUUAAGAGGUUGCAGUCUGUUGUAUACUUGCUCCUUAACUGUAUUUAAGCUUGCCUCAAUUGUAUCACUUUUUUUUUUCAAGGCACGAGUGCUCCUUAACAGCUCGGUACAAAGAUAUCAUAUCUCAAGUGCUAGACACAUAUCCGCUGGUGAUUCGUCAUAAAGAUAUCAUAUCUGUGAUUUUUUCCAUACUGGAAUCUGUGUAAAGUCUGUAAACUGGAAUGUGCAGUUUUUUUCAUCUUCAUUCCGCUUUUCAAACUGCAAUCUGUGCUACUGCAUUUUUUUUUUUGCACAGAUUCUGUGCAGCAAACAUGAAAAUAACUAUCUCAAGAAAAUAAUAGUAGUCAAGUAAUAAAAUUGAAAAGAAGCAAAGCAUCAAACUUAUUAGUAAUCAUUCUUACAGCAUGUACAUAAUCAAAUAUUUCUGCUACUGUAAACUCUGUUAUACCAUUCAUAGUGUACGUUUUCCCACUGCUUGUUUGACCAUAUGCAGUUUUUUCAUCUUCAUUCUGCUUUUCAAACUGCAAUUUGUGCUACUGCAGGCUUUUUUUUGCACAGAUUCUGUGCAGCAAACAUUUUUAAACAGCAAAAAAAAAAAAAAAAGGACUCGUGUACCCGGACCGAACCGGCCCGUUUCAAGCUGGCCGGGUAAGGUCCGGUUCCUAUUUUCAGAAUUGUAAUGCCCGGCCCGGCUCGCCCCGUCUCCUUUAAUUUAGGGUCCGGUCCGGUCCCUUCAAAAAUGGGACCGGCCCGGCCCGUGCCUAGCCCUAUUCCCAACACAUGUUUCUAGCACAUGUCUCCACCACUUGCAACUAAUAAUUAAAAGAAGCAAGGUGGCUUGUUUCCUCCAUUGUCCAUUUCCAUGUAUGCAUAUUAUCUUCCAAUCCAAAAGCAAGCAUUUGUUUUGAUUAAACAAAGCUCUUGGCAAACCUCCACCACUCAAACAAAAGGGAAAAACAAUAUUAUAAUGUCAAACUACCCCACUUGCAACCAAAUAUCCUUCCAAGUUAUUCUUCUUGCACAACAAUCCUCCAAAUACCAUAUUUAGACCAAAUGGCCCAAAUGAGUAAAAAUGGGUACAUUUUAGGUGCAAACAGUUUCCUCAUAUAAUAGGGAAUCAACUCCUCAUUCUAAUUGAAUCCUAGAACAACAUGGAUUGAUAAUCCGUACUCAUUAAGACUUUCUAUCAAACUUGAGACGAAUAACCGAUUCUCCAGACUCAUACUCAUGCUCAUAUUCUUAUUUUUCCAAGUUCCAAGGAAUUCAAAGAAGUUAUGAAAUGACACUUUUAUAACAAUUGCAGGUCUUACAAGUUAACCACAAAUGAUUGGUACAAGGUUAAGGCUCAUAUUCAUGCCCUUGGCAAGUGUAUGCUUCUAAUGACAAACACUUCUAAUGACCGAUCUGAUAGGCAAUCUUCUUUAUAUGUUAAAACAUUUGUUCCAAAUCAUACUAGUAGAAAAGAUGAAAACAAUACAAGUAGUGUGACCAGUAGUUAGUUGGCUGAGAGAUGAGCUUAUGAUUGGAGAUUAAUCCUAAAAUGGAUGUUAAGACAAUGAAAGUUACAGUGAGGGAUAAUCCGUUAUAAUCCCUUUCCAAAUGAGAGGAUUGUGAGGGAUAAGUUCGUUUCGUUCCAAUGCCCUUCUAAUCAAGGCAUUCUCUCUCACAACAAAGACAUAGUCCUCGUGUCAUCACUGGUCUAAUAGAUGUUUUAUGUGUGAAAAAGUGCAUCACCCAUUCUAAUCCUUUGAAGAUGAAAAAUCAUUGACCUCUAAGACGGGCAAGCUUGGAUCAAUAGCUGCAACAACUUGAGAUUAAAAGGCACAAAUAGGAUCAAUUGGUUGUACUUUAGAUAGGGAUAAGAAUUGAGUUUCUUCUUUCGCAAAUGUUACUUAUUUACCUUUUGACAACAGUUCAUUCCCGCUGUAAUACGGUACAACACUGAACCGAGAGUACAACUUUUCCGGCCUCCUAGUCCGGAACCCUCCCAAACAUUGGACACUACAUGAUGCAGCACGAGCUACCAAGGAAUACAAACGUAAACCCUCAAAGGACAAAGUUUUCCGGAAUCUACUGGAGUUCUGAGAAAACCGAAAGGUUUAUUUUAUAAUAAUUGAAUGAUGAUUACAUAGCAAUUGUAAGUCCAUAAGGCUUAAAUAGACAUAACUCGACCCUUGGGAAGCUCAAGGGUUUCUUAGGGAAAGUAAAAGAAGAUCGGACGAUAAACGAAAGGUUCGAAUUUUUAUUACAAACUUUAAAAUGCGGUUUUGGAAGUCUAAACGACCUAGAAAUGGCAAAAAUAAAUCAUACGUCACGGCAAAGUAGCGUGUUUGAACCGGGACAUCACGCUCUUUCUGAAAAAUAUCAUGAGCCCAAAAUGGAGCUCGGACGCCAAAUUUAUAAAUUCCCGCUGCAUCCUUUUUUAUCCUUCAGUCCAUUUCAUCUUCAAUCCACUCGAUCAUCUGUUCUACAUUGCUAUAAUACUAUAUAAUGCAAUAAAAUACAACGCCGUGCAAUACAAUAUAGUUGAAAAACAAUCUAUCUAAAAUAGUAGACUCAAUCGGAUGAAUCAGAGGAGCCCGUGUUCAAGCUUCCAUGUGUUGCGGUAAACUUAAGUAGUGGCUUCAAGAAAUGGAUAAUCAAUGUAACCAACGACGGGAUCAGCUAUGUAGAAUGUCUCUCUGUUGUACUUAUUUAGAGGAGCAUUAAGCUCAAAUCUCUUUGGCAAAUCCGGAUUCGCCAAGAAAAUACGGCCAUACGCAAUAAGAUCUGCACGGCCCUCAGCCACAGCAUCGUUCCCAUCUUCCUUCUCAUAACCACCAGCAGCAAUGAAGGUACCAUUAAAAGCCUUUCUCAUGGGUACAAGACUCUGGGGAAAUCACUCUUUUCUGCAUCUGUCUGCAUCCUCGGCUCAACCAUAUGGCAAUACAGGAUCCCAUAUUUGUUCAAUGAAUUGGCCAGAUAAAGGCCCAAUGCUUCCGGACCUGAAUCCCCUGAUUCCGAAUAGUUGGCAAAUGGAGAUAAUCUAAUUCCAACUUUAUCCCCUCCUAUCUCGUUAACAACAGCUUCAACGACUUCCAGAGCAAAUCGACAACGAUUCUCCAUAGAUCCGCCAUAUUGGUCUGUUCGGUCAUUCACUUCAUCUUUCAGAAACUGAUCAAUAAGGUAUCCAUGGGCCCCAUGAAUUUCCACUCCAUCAAAGCCUGUAUAUCAGACAAACAAUUUCAGUGCACCAAAUAUUAUUUGAAAUCUAGCAUGAACUAUUGUCACACAUCUAGAUCUAGUCAAACUGGAAAUUAAAUUAUGCCUUUAAUUACAUUCGGAUUCUGGAAGAGAUGGUUCGUUUGCAUAUGUUGAAAGCAAUUUUGAGUUCUCGCAAAUUUUAUUUCGCACUUAAGCAAAGACAAAUUACCCGCUUCCAUAGCAUUUCUUGAUGCAAGUCUGAAAUCAUUGACUAUUUGUGGGAUUUCAUCUGUCCUUAAUCGCCUUGGAGGAGUAUAUUCAAUAAUAUCAAUGCCACUAGAUGGUAGUUGGGGGCUUAGUGGCUCGUCAGUAGAAGAGAUUGGAGCUUGCCCAUUCGGCUGAGAUCCUGUAAGAAAAUAUAGAUAGAAUCACAAUGUGAAAGAUUUCUAGUACAGGAAUAUUAAGGCAGCGUUCUAAUGCUUCAAUGGGUUAACUUUUCACUUAUGAUCUGAACGCUUUCAACGACAAAGUGAAGUCAUAUAAGUGUAUGUUAGAAACGCACUGGUAUUUGAAACCCUUCCAACAUGCCAAAUCUGACAGAAGAAGAUGCCUCCUUUAGCAUGAACAGCAUCAACAAUGGGUUUCCAUGCUUCAACUUGCUCCUUUGUCCAUAUACCGGGAGUGUCUGGGUACCUUCUUGUAUUAAAGAAACAAAAUGUUAUCAAACUUUGAAAUGAAGGAAGUAUACAAUUAAAUGUAUGUUUUCCAUUUAAAAUUUAACAUAAAAGAAACUUGAAAAAAGCUAAUGUUUGUGAAGUUACCCUUGAGCGGUGUCAGAAAUUCCAGUGGCUUCAGAUAUGAGAAGACCCCCGUUAGAUGUUCUCUGAGAGUAAUAUAAGAUGGCAUGCGGCUGAGGAACAUUUCUGUAGGAUCUUUGUCUAGUCAAUGGUGCUAAGACAACUCAGAAGGCAAGGAAGAAGUAUAUUAUCAGAAUGCACCUAUACUGCAUAGCCUAUGACAAGUUUGACAGGAAGUAUUAUCAGAUCUUGCUAAACAGCAAGAUUUAAGUAAUACGACGAAAUAUCCAGAAAGGAGACAUACUUUUCCUAGUUUAUUUGGUUUCAACAUCUCGGGCUUACAGCGGAUUUCAGUAACACCUGUCCUAGUUACAACGUAAAUAUACAAUGAGCGUAUUCUGCACGAGCUCCUAGGAAUUCGACAUUCAAACAAUCUUGAACACAAAGCAAGUAAUUCAUAGCGGUCGACAUCAAUACAAACCAACGCAAAAGUUGCAGCAGAAACUCGCAAACGAAACCCUGGUUAUCCAACCAAUCAACUAAACCAAUUCCUUGCUUUACAAGUAACGUGAACAAGCAAAUGUUACAUAAUAAACCAUCCAAUGAAAGUUGCUGCUUUUAUUUCUGAAAAUUCAGGAUUCUUGCAUAGGCAAAAAAACAUUUGUCAAUCACAAAAACUGCCCAGUAACCUGCAAGUUGCCCAAAAAAUAAGCAGUAAUUUCAUUUUUCUUGUAAGAAAACCGGGAUUUUCUGCAACCCUGUUUCCAAAUGAACAAAACCCAACAGCCCAAAUCUCAACUACUCCAGCAGAAUAAGUCAACAAAAUCAAUGCAGAAUGUAGAAGAAUAUAAACUGUAGAAAAGGUUGAGCCCGUGAGUUAAGUUACCUAUGAGAAAGAUUGAAGUUUCCAAGUUUGUAAGGAGCAAGGAGAGGGCUUGUGGGACCACCUACUUGAGCUUGAUUAGUGGUAGCCAUUUCAAUUCAACUGGUUUCAGAGCUCGAUCCUUAUUUUUCACUUGAUUUGGUUUGAUAUUGUGCUUCAUUGGUUCUUUGAUAUGUUAAAUACUAUGAAUUGCGGUAUUAUGUGAAACAUAAUGAUUUAUAUGAUGGAUGAAAUAGAAACCUUGAUUGUCAUGCGGGUUGUUAUGUAGUUUGAAUCGAAUAAUUCAUGCUCUUCAAGUCCAAAUGUUUGAUUGAGGACUGUUAUGCAUUUUGGCUUGAACAGACUGUGUUAUAUGUCGAGUUAUAGCGAAAGUGAACUACGAAUGGCUUGAUCCCUUUUGAGGGUAUGUAGGCAGUCUAACGAGAAGGUUAGAUGCAGCCAUAAAGUAUAAGGAAAAAUUAUCAUGAAAUUCGAAUCUUGAGUUGUGCAUUGUCCAUAUCCCGGAGGCGGGGUAUGUGAGUGAUACGGGUAUUUGGUAACGUCACGUGUCGAUCCUGGAUGUAUUUCGGGAUCGGAGCAUGACAACAUUAAGAUCAAGUGAGUAUACUUCUGGAUACUUCCCCAGAGUUUGACAUAACUUCCAAAUGAGAACUACAAGCAUUGCAUAUGAAUAGUUAGGCAGAAUAAUUCCUCGGACAAGCUUAUGGAAGGUUGACUUUGGUAGUGAUGUCAUGUAGAGGUCGGCAAGGUUAUCUAGGAUUGGCUUGCAUGACUUCAAUCACCUGAUGCUUUACUGAUGUAGAUGUAGAUGAAAUAUGUCUUGGCGUUGACUUUGUUGAUGUAUCAUGUCUUGGACGGGUUGAUACAUGCGGCAUAGUCUUCAUGGAUCAUCAUCGAGACUAAACGAUGGAUGAUAACAACAAGUACUUUGAAUAUGCUCAACAACAACUCCUAACCAUGUCUUACGUGUGGCAUAGUGAAGUGAGAUAUAUGAUGCUUUAUUGCAGUGACGGAAAACAAUUAUGCUUAUGUACCUUUGUUCAGUUUCGAUCCUUGCAUAUUCGCUUCCUCCUAAACCCAAAACCACUUAGACUUUCUUAACUUUUGGAAUCUACUACAUAUGUUACCUUCCAUCUUUUUGCCGUAAAAACAUGCUGCCACUCACAUGGAGGGAUAUUUUUCGUCAAUCCACUUCCCAGAGCUCACUGCAAUUAAUUUGCACAAAGUCAAUAUGCAUUUUCAGCAAUGUUGGAGUCAAGUCAUGAAGAGACGAGUUUGAUUUUGACAAGGGUUGUUGAAGAAUUGAAGUAAAAAAUGAUUGCUGGCAUCUACAUUUGUAGUUUGGUGGAUGGUGGCUGCAUGUUUUUUUUGGGUUUUUGGUUCUUUAUUACAUAGACUUACUAAAAAUUCAAAUUAUUUAUUGUUUAACAUCGUAGUAUGUGUUUUGUGUCGGGUUUGUUGUGAUGACUGUAUAGGACAAUUGCUAAAGACAAAUCUUAGUCUAUUAGGUCCUUAUGCAUAGACACUGUUCUAAAAAUUCACGUCUAGCAUAGCACAGUCUAGGUGCUAGGCAAUUGACCACUAUCCCGAUUAAUUAAAAUAGGGCUCCUACACCUGCUUAGGCGCCCGCCCAGACCCAUCUAGGCACCUAGCUAGGUCGCAACUCUCAUUUAGACAGAAAAUGGAUAGAAUUCAUUUUGCAUUUUAUUUGUUUCAAUAUAUUAUAAGAGACUUGUUAGAUAAUUAGAUGGAUAUACAUUAUAUGCUUGUUCCUCAUGUUUUCAUUAUAUUCUAAUACUUUAUAAUCUAUGUCAUUCUAUUUUACAAUUUAUGUAUAUAAGUGAAAUUAUCUAUUUUUUAAGUAUAAAUAGACACCUAUUUAUACGAUGUAUAAUAAAUUUUAGUCAUAUUCACCUAGGCGUUAGACCACAACCGCUGCCUGACUAGCGCUAAACCCCAACCCGCCAUCCAACUAGUGCUUAAUAUCUUUUAGAACCUUGUGCAAAAAAUUUCAUGACCCCCAUUUUUUAGUAUCGUAGCUUCACUUUGGGAAGAAAUUUUUCAUUGUGACGAGAACACAAGUGGUACACCACGUGUUUUAAUAGAAGUGGUGGGAAAUUUUAUUUUUAAGUUAUUAACUUUUUAGCACACAUAUCCUACCAUUUGUAUAAUGACACGUGGUGUCCCAUCCCCUAUACUAGUCACACUGAAAAAUCUCUCCACUUUGGGAGGUUAAAGUGAAAGCAUGCCUUAAAUAACCAAAAAGAGAUUAAUGCAAUUUCAACAUUGAUUGUAAUAGAGGAGCAGUUAGCAUCAUACUAAUAUUGGAGUAGAGAGACUUGUAACAGAGAAAGCUCAACCAAAUAUCUUACAAACUAAUUUGGUGGAUGUGGAUGUGCCAGAACAUGAAGCAUAGAAAAGCCUGGCGAAGCUGAUCAUGUACGUAGAUUACGCGCAAAAUGUAGAAGUUGUCAACAAGAAAGAUGUACAGAAUGAAAUUGGAGUAGAAGAACUAGAGAGCCGGAUGGGUAGAACUUGGAAGAACUUAGAAGCCUAUAUGGGAACUCAUCUAGUGAUGAAGAACCGGAUUCAAUGAGAAGGAAUAGGAGGAUGAAGAAACGACCCAAGUUUAAACAUCAUAGAAAAGAAACUGAUGUCAGUACCAUAGAGUUUGAUUUGGGGAUGUCUUUUCUUGUUAGACUAAACAUAUAAACCAAGAUCAUGUAACAUGAAUCACAGCCAUCCAAACACGAACUGUAGUUCAUAACUAUUGUAUAGAGUAGAAAUCCUACCUGCAGAUGCACCAGAAGAAGAAGCCAUGGUCAAUCUCGACAGCAAAACUAGUAAACCUUCUCCUCUUUCCAGAUUCAAAAUGCUCAAACUAAUAAUAGGUUUUAGUCCGAGACACAGCGUAAUAUCUGUAAGAGUAGUUCACUAUAUAUAUAGAACAUAAUCCUAGCCAAAACCAAUAAGGAUUUUCCUAUUAAAAUCCAUACAGAAAACUGAAAUUGUUUACAAUAGGUGAAUCAGUUCCCCGUUCUAUUUGAAUCCUAGAACAACAUGGAUUAAUAAUCCAUACUCAUUAAGACUUUCUAUCAAACUUGAGACGAAUCACCAAUUCUCUAGACUCAUGCUCAUAUUCUUACAUUCCCAAGUUCCAAGGAAUUCAAAGAAGCUGUGAAUAGACACUUUUAUAAUAUGCAGGUCUUACAAGUUAACCACAAAUGGUUGGUACAAGGUUAAGGCUCAAAUUCAUGCCCUUGGCAAGUGAUGCUUCUAAUGACCAAUCUGAUAGACAUUCUCCUUUAUAUGUAAAAACAUUUGUUCCAAAUCACACUUGUGGAAAAGAUGAAAACAAUACAAGUGUGACCAGUACUUGGUUGGCUGAGAGAUAUGCGGAUGAUAUGAAGAUCAAUCCUUUUUUUUUUGAAUAAAGGACCGCAUAUAUAUAUAUAUAUAUAUAUAUAUUUGUAUAUAUAUGAAAAUAAAUACUACAAUGGAUGUUAAGACAAUGAAAGCAACAAUGAGGGAUUAUCCAUUCUUACCCUCUCCAAUCCCCUUUGAAUUUUAAGAGUUAUCUAUUCCAAUCUAAACCUAGAGACGAAACGAGGCCAUAUAUUACAAUGACAAAGAUUCUAAAACAGCAUUCGCUCAGAGAAGAAAAAAAGCCAUGCAGUGAGAACAUCUAAGGGAAACGAGUUGAUCCUCAAAAGCCGCAUCUGCUCCAAAUAUCUUAGGCAAACGGUCAGCUGACAAAUUGCGGUCAAUGGCUUCAACAUCUUGAGAAUAAAAGGCACAGCUAGGAUCAAUUGGUUGUAUUUUAUAUAGGGAUAAGAAUUGAGUUUCCUCUUUCACAAAUGUUACUUAUUCAUUACGGCCAUUAUACUGUCAGUAUAACUUUUCCGGCCUCUAAGUCCGGAACCCUCCCAAACAUUGGACACUACAAUACUAGAUAAUGCAAUAAGAUACAACAGUACAAUACAAUAUAGUUGAAAACAAUCCAUCUAAGAUAGUACAGACUCAAUCGGAUGAAUCAAAGGAGCCCUAGUGUUCAAGCUCCCGUCUUUGCGGUAAACUUAAGUGGUGGCUUCAAGAAAUGGAUAAUCAGUGUAACCAAUGACGGGAUCAGGUAUGUAGAAUGUCUCUUUGUUGUACUUGUUUAGAGGAGCAUAAUCUCUUUGGCAAAUCUGGAUUCGCCAAGAAAAUACGGCCAUAAGCAAUAAGAUCUGCACUGCCCUCGGCCACAGCACUGUUUCCAUCUUCCCCGUCAUAACCACCAGCAGCAAUGAAGGUACCAUGGAAAGACUUUCUCAUGGGAAGAAGACUGGUGGGUUUCAUCUUUUUCUCCCAUUGUCUUCAUCCUCGGCUCAACCAUGUGGCAGUACACAAUUCCAUAUUUGUUCAAGGCAUUGGCCAUAUAGAGGCCUAAUUCUUUUGGAUUUGAAUCCCCUGAGUCCAUAUAGUCAGCAAAUGGAGAUAAUCUAAUUCCAACUUUAUCUGCUCCUAUUUCGUUAGCGACAGCUUCAACAACUUCCAGAGGAAGGCGGCAACGAUUCUCUAGAGAUCCACCAUAUUGGUCUGUUCGAUCAUUCACAUGAUCUUUCAGAAACUGAUCAAGAAGGUAGCCAUGCGCCCCAUGAAUUUCAACUCCAUCGAAGCCUAUAUAGCAGAUUAACAAUUUCAACAUACUGACGGUAUUAGAUCCUAAAGCAUUGAAGCAAAUUGAGUUGUUGUAAAUUAUGUUUCAUAUGUAACGUAAAGACAAAUUACCAGCUUCAAUAGAAUUCCUUGCAGCAAGUCUAAAAUCAUUGACAAUUUGUGGAAUUUCAUCUGUCCUUAAUCGUCUUGGAGGCGUGAAUUCAGAAGCAUCGAUGCCAUUUAAUCGUAUCGGCUUGUCAGUAGAAGUUAUUGGAGCUUGCCCAUUUGGUUGAUAACCUGUAAGCAAGGAGAGAAAGAAUUAUAACCUGAAGUCUAACGACAGUAACUAACAUCCACAGCAGCACUCUUUUAAGUGGGAAUCCUUUGUUACAAAUUACUAUAACCACACGUGCUAUAUACUAGUUCUGAAUUCUGAGUUAUGUUAACAUCAAACUUCUUCCCAUCCAAUAAUAAUAAAGGAACUUUAACGAAAAACUCCCGGUAUUGUUCACUUUAAUGAAAAACUACAUUUUUACACUAAAAAGUUAAUCCUGGUAUUAUUCACUUUACCCUUUAUUUUUUCCUUAUCAUUAAAACUCAAAGUUUUCAAGCCAUUUUCAUUAGUUUUCCUUAAUAAUAAUACAAAUGCUUCCGAAACAGCAAGGUCAUAAGAGUGGUGUCUUCUUAUGGGUUAUGUUAAAAACACCAACUCGGAACUUAACAAGUCCAAGUUUUAUCGUCAUUUGAGCAACAAUGUUGUCAAUUAUAAUCACUCGCUCGUUCUGAUGCAUACACCAUUAUGUUAUACAUCAAACUUCUGAAUAGGUCUAAUUAUUCACUCAUGUUAACAAAGCAUUCUAUGGUAAAAGUGAGGUCAUAAAGGUGUAAGUCAGAAACGCACUGCUAUUAGAAACCCUUCCAACAUGCCAAAUCUGACAGAAGAAGACGCCACCUUUAGCAUGAACAGCAUCAACAAUGGGUUUCCAGGCUUCAACUUGCUCCAUUGUCCAUAUACCAGGUGUGUUCGGGUACCUUCGUAUAUUAAAGAACCAAAAAUUUCAUCAAACUUUGAAACGAAAUAAACGCCCUCAAAUGCUUGUUAGUCUAUGAAUCUACUGUUGUUGAAAUUACCCUUGAGCUGUGUCGGAAACUCCAGUGGCUUCAGCUAUGAGAAGACCCCCAUUCGAAGUUCUCUGAGAGUAAUAUAAGAUAGCAUGUGGUUGAGGAACAUUGUUGUAUGAUCUCUGUCUGGUCAAUGGUGCUAAAACAAUUCUGGAAAGGAAAAAGAAAUUGUAAAUUAUAAAUACAGAGUGAUCAAGACGGAAUGUGGGUGAGGAACAUUAUCGAAUGACCUGUAACUACUAAUUGUUGUAUGAUCUCUGUCCUAGUUACAAUGUAAAUAUACAAUAAGCGUAUUCUGCACGAGCUCCUAGGAAUUUGACAAUCAAACAAUCUUGAACACAAAGCAAGUAAUUCAUAGCGGUCGACAUCAAUACAAACCAACGAGCAGAAACUCGCAAACGAAACCCUGGUUAUCCAACCAAUCAACUAAACCAAUUCCUUGCUUUACAAGUAACGUGAACAAGCAAAUGUUACAUAAUAAACCAUCCAAUGAAAGUUGCUGCUUUUAUUUCUGAAAAUUCAGGAUUCUUGCAUAGGCAAAAAAACAUUUGACAAUCACAAAAACUGCCCAGUAACCUGCAAGUUGCCCAAAAAAUAAGCAGUAAUUUCAUUUUUCUUGUAAGAAAACCGGGAUUUUCUGCAACCCUGUUUCCAAAUGAACAAAACCCAACAGCCCAAAUCUCAACUGCUCCAGCAGAAUAAGUCAACAAAAUCAAUGCAGAAUGUAGAAGAAUAUAAACUGUAGAAAAGGUUGAGCCCGUGAGUUAAGUUACCUAUGAGAAAGAUUGAAGUUUCCAAGUUUGUAAGGAGCAAGGAGAGGGCUUGUGGGACCACCUACUUGAGCUUGAUUAGUGGUAGCCAUUUCAAUUCAACUGGUUUCAGAGCUUGAUCCUUAUUUUUUAUUUGAUUUGAUUUGAUAUGCUCUCAUAUUGGUGUAAGAAUCCUAUGUGAACUCAACUAGUUAUAGAUAAAGGAGAAAUAAUAUGUUGGUAAUACAAAUUAAUAAGAGUUUGGAUACGUGGAAAGCUACAUCAUAUAAUGAGGGGUAUACUUUCAUCGUGCAUUUGAAAAGAAAGCACUAAUCACAACCACCUCUACACUAUUGGGACUUGAAGCAACGGGAAAAUAACCGACCCUCCACGAUAGAUGGGAGUUGGCUGUCGUUGCUUCUAUAAGCGCAAGAGUUCCCUGCUCACAAGGAAGCACGUUCUGCAAUUAGGGUUCUAUCACCAUUGGAAUAUAAGGUCUUGAGUGAGUAGAAGAAUUCUUGAGUGUGUUAACAGUAAUCAUGGCUGCACCAGGUAAGUCUUUCUUGUCUAAUUUCAUAUCGUGACCUAGUAUGCAUGCGAAUAACUAAGGUUAUUCCAACAAUUGGGAUAUUUAUACCGUUCGGGGAGAGGAGGAAGAGGAACUAUAAAACAACACUAGCACUAGCUGGGGAGGCAGAGGCAGUGGUAGGCCGGGCGGCUCCUUUUGAAAUGUUUGAUGACGUUUGUAAUUACGUAAUCAUGUUUUUUUUUUUUUUUCUUUUCUAACGUAGGAAGUAUGGUAUUGGUAUCUGAUUGGACUAUCUCCAAAGAAAAUAUUAAAUUUUAGGCAUAAAAUUUCAAUUUAAAAGUUUAUGUGGCACUUUAAUCUUUUUUGAAAUUUUGUUAUUCACCGAUGUGUCAAAUUUAAAUUAUUAUUUAUCACAUUAAUUUACUUCUAAUAAUUGUAGUAAGUUUUUUAAAACAGAAAAUAAUAAUAAAAACGAGAAAAAGAAUUUAGUAAUCACUUAAAAUAGAUUUGAAGUUGUUGUCAGAUUUGAUAGCUACCACCUUUGUUAAUCCAUAUCAUAUCACAUAGGAAUUGGUAUUUCACUUGAAAAACACUAAUACAAUCUUUAUUAACUGUUAUUGCUAAUAUGGACUUUUCAUCUCUGAUACCACAUGAAAGGGUAGCACAUUUUUAGCAUUUUGAUCAAAUAAUCUAUCAAAGCAGAGCCGAUGGCCCAAAAAUAUAUCCUCAAAUUAAAAGGGUUAAAAUUUGUGCUCACUUUGCACUUGACAAAUCCCAAAAUAGAAAAAUUUCUUCCAACUGAAAGGAGAUGUCAAAUGUGAUGCGGAAUGCCAUGUGGGAUAGAAAAACAACACAAUUUCUUCCAACCGAAAUGUUAUUAGUUGACAUGGAUUGACUGCAUCGCCUUUGACUGUCUUUUUUGGUAGCAUAAGGCUUGAGGGUCAAAUGCUUUUAUUUUUAUUUUUUUUAACGAACGACAUUAUCUACACUAAGGGGGAGGAGAUGAGUUUAUCCUUAUAAUGGGUAGCAUUAAUAUGGUUCAAAUUAGUCUUUGGCAAGAAUCGAAUAUAAGAUUUCUCACUUACAAGUAAAAAAGAAUACCACUAGACCGUAUUACUAAGUGUCGCUUUUAAUUUUUUUUUUUAAUGCAUGAAUACCAUUGCCAACCAAUAAGAUGGAAAAAAAAAUCAUUUUUAAUAGUUAAUGCAGUGCCACUUAAUACAAGGAUCUCGUGGUAUUUCUCUUCAUUUGUAAGUGAGAGGUCUUAAGUUUGAUUCUUACCAAAUGCGAAGUUGAGCCAUAUUAUUGCUAGCCCAUUAUGAGGCUUAAGCCCACUUUCUCAUCUCCUUAGUGUAGAUAAUAUCGUUUGUUCAAAAAAAAAAAGACACAACCAUGUAGCCCAGUGUAUUAAGAGUGCUGAUAAACUUACUUCAUUGUCUUAUCUCUUACUCAUUUUUUAAUAUAAAAAAAAUUGGAUACUAAUCUAAUCUCUUGUAAAAUGACAUCUAAGGACCAAGCAAAAAUUAAAAAAAGAAAAUAGGACUCUCUUCUUUGUUCACCAUCUUUCUGCAACUACCUAAAUCCCUUCAAAUAAUUUUUUUUUUUUUUUUUUUUUUUUGUGUUCCACAAAAAAAAAAUUCUUUUUUGUUGCCCUAGCUUAAUUAUAUAUAAUAGUUGUUCAAAACACUUUACUAAUAUAAUAAUUAUUUAAAAUUUUGAAAAAUAAAAUGUGAGACCAGAAGAAGGAAUUGGGCUUGGAGAGAUGGAAUUGGGUGUCCCGAAUUUGAAAAUGGGGCAUGAGGAUGAAAUUUUGAGAAUGUUGCAUGCAGCUUGGUCGUGAGAAUUGGAAGGGGAGGAAAGGGGACUGCGUUGGGGGUCUGGAUAGAGGGAAGGAAGGAGAGUUGCAAUCAGCUGGAGAACUGGUAAGUGACCGAAUUAUGGGAUUCUUACUAGAAUUAAAAUCUGGAAGGGGAGGCUUUGAAAUUCGCGGUGGGUGGAGUCUACCUGGAAUUUCAACGCUCUAAUAUUUAUUUUUUUUCAAAAAUUAAAAAAUAACUUAGAUAUAUACAUUAGAGGUUAUUUUAAGAAUAAUAGUGGACAAAAUAGUAUUUUUAUUUUUUAACUUUUUUAGUGGAUGAAAUUAUAAUGUGAGUAAGAAAAUAAGACUUAGGGUGGAUCUUGCAACACUCUAUAUUAAUAAAGUAUAUAUUUAACAUAUUCAUUGUAAAGAAAAAAAAUUUAACAUCUCUAUUUGAUUGGCCACGUCAACCAGUAAAUUUAAUUUUGACAAUAAUUAUAUUACACGUUCAUUGAAGAUGCUGUUAUCAAAUCAUCAUACAAUGCGCUAGUUGAGAAUAGAUGGCUGCCAAUGUGGACGGCACCAACGACCAACGACCAUUUGACAAUAAUUUGGAUGCCUUACUUUUAUCCAAAUAAUUGCAUCCUAUUGUAAAAUCGACGGCGUGUUCAGUGAAAUAAAUAAACAAGACACAAAAUUUACGAGGUUCCUCUGCAGUCAGUGUGACUGGAGUACAUCCUCGGGACAGCAGUGGUGCUUUCAUUAUAAUCUGAAAUAAUAAGAGUACAAAGAUAACUCUCUCUAUUAUCUCCUCUCCUCUUCCUUUCUUUUCUCUCUUCCUCUUCCUCUCUUUUCUCUCUUCCUUUCUUCCUUCCUAUCUCUCCCGUGAGUCUCCCACAUUCAUCUCCCAAUCUUUUUUUUUUGUGUUCCAUAAGACUUGCUUUUAUAGAAGCAAAUCACAAGCAACAUAGUGAAAGGCUUACUAUAUGCAUGUGAGUAUUUACUAUACACAUUACUAUACACAUGUGGUACUUUACUAUACACAUUACUAUACACAUGUGGGCAAACAUACCCACUAUUUACAACACUCCCCCUUAGAUGCCCACAUAUCAAUAUCAGUUUUUGGAUGCUCCCCCUGACGAGUAUCUCCCCCUGAUUUCAACUUCUUUAGGCUAAUCAUUGAUCAUUAUGCUUCAGUCUCUUAGCAAAAAGAGUUGCCGAAAUAGUUACUUUACUUGUUGUUAACUUUCCACAGGCUUGUUCUUGAACUGGGCUGGAGGGCCUCAAAGGUCUGAAUUUACUUCUUUUAUCUGGAGCUAAAUUUAAUUCAAGGGUGAUGGACACUUGAUCUUGAAUCAAACUUGUGAUUUCUUCAAAGACCUUCGAGGCUUGAUCUUGAAUGAAGUUGUACCGUGAGGAGUUUCACGUGACAAGUGAUCUUCGACUUUGUCGGGGAUGAAUCAGCACGUGUUUGUUGCGCUUGUCUCCACAUGCUUCAAUAUAUCAUUUUCACUUGCCUUACUUGUUACCCUUGCAUAAGUGGUAUUUUACCUGGGUUUCCCCCUACAUGUGUGGCAUCUUCUCUUGUAGGAUUUGUCCCCUGAUGCAGGAGUGGAAUGCAAACCCUUGCAUUUGAAUGGUUCAUCACUUCUUGGUGACUGGAGACCCAGCUCCAACAACAGUUGAAGAUGACUACUCUUGCUCUCGUCCCUGAAGAUAUGAGAUAAUCUUGCUCUGGUGUGACUUGUUUGAAGAUGUAUUCUCGGAGAGGAAGAAAACUGAGUAUUUCGAGAUGCUGUGUUGAAGAUGCAUUCUCGGAGAUGAGGAAGAGUUGGACAUGCUUGCAGGUCUGCCUUGUUAUGGAGAACGGAGGUCGACAUAUAUAGAGAUUUCCCAAUAGCAAGUGGUGGUGCUGUGCCUUUACUCUUGUCAGCAACUGUGGUGUAAUUAGAACAAUAAGAUUUACGCGUUUUCAACUUUGUCAGAGAUCUUUGACAAAGUUGCAUGCAAUAUCCGAAAAAGCUGAGAUUGCGUCUGAAAAAUGCCAACGAACUUUAUUCAGGAAAUCUGGCUUUUGAAAUUCGAAGAACGGUGCCUCUUUGAUCUCUGAACAAGUGGCUAUGUUGCCUCUUUUUUUAUAGAGACAUCAGUUCAAGAGUAUGCUCAGAAAGUUGCUGCCUGUAGAAAUUUCGCCCAUCUUGCACUUCUGAAAUUUUAUUUGACCUCUUUUUUCCUUCAUCAUUUUUGAAAAUGACUUGCUCAUCUAACAUUUGCUUAAAUUUGAAUCUUAGGAGUGAUACAGACGAGCAGCGUCAGGAUAAAAUAUGGCGCCCGUCCUUCUUAUCUUCUAAUGGUUCUCUUACGGUUGGGGACUCUGUGAUGAAGAAUAACAUAACCGCUACUGUGGUAGUUAGGAAUCUUCUCACUCCAAAGGAUAACAGGAUCCUUUCAAAACGAUCUAAUGAGUCGACCGUUCAAGACUCAUUGGCUCUUAGUGUUCAGUGUGCUAGCUCUGUUUCCAAUAUGGGCCAACACCUACUUGCUCAAACUCACCAAGUUGAAUCAUUGAUGGCUGAGGUGGCAAGUCUUAAACAAGAGAUUAGAUGGCUCAAGCACGAGAAUAGACUGUUACACGUGCUUGCAAAUAAUAACUCGACGAGCAUGAAAAGAAAGCUCGAUCAGCUGCGAGAAUCCGAAAGUCGGAUUCAAAGUGAUUACCAGAGGUUCGUUGCUAGAUUCCGAAAGCAACUGAUGUCUUCCCCUUCUGGUGUUUUGCCAAGUACUGGGAUGCCACAUGAUCAAUCUCCAGUGCCUCCCCCUUCUGGGGUACUUUCGAGUACUGAAGCUUCACAUGAGCAAUCUUUGUGAAGGCUCAAUCCUGUUUGUUUGUUUUAACUCAUGUGUAUGUACAUAUCUGUAAUUUCUUGGAGAUAUUAAUAGAUAAGCUUUAUUUCAUUCAAUGUAUUGUGCCAAAUACAAUAAAGCAUAUACUUCACUAAGAUGUGGUACUUCUGGACCAAAUAUUAAUUUAUCUUUACCCUUAUGAAAAUAAAUGAUUAUUCUUAGUGUCUUCAUCAUUUGAGUAUUCAACUCAUAAUCUUCAAUCCAUACGGUUCUUUUAAUAUCAUAAACAUCAUGGAUAAGAUUCGUGUUGGUAGAUUGUUCGAUCUGCAACCCGUGACAAUAAUUCUCUCAACACUUUAUAAUCUUUCUUGACUCUUCAGGAGUCUCAAUUUAAUAUCAUCAAGUCUUCAAGAGUUCUAAUUUAAUGUCAUUGACUCUUGCAAGAGAUUUUCGUAUGUUGCAACAAUAUCAUAAUGAUAGUACUCACUAAGACAAUUUAUACCAUCCAUUGAUAUUGAGUACAUAUUUUAUGAUUUACCCUUCGGGGGCUUACUUCAAGCAAUUUGAAUCCUUCAGGGAUUUUCUACACUUCAUGACACAUUUUUCUUUGGAAUUUAUACAGAGCAAUUUGCUCCCAUGUAUACUUGAGGGAUUUACUUAUGGAGAUAUGAUGUGGGCGACUCACAACCCUUCGUAUAUAAUUCUCUAUUUAUAUGAACUCGUUUACAAGAGUAUAAUUUCAGGUUUCAAUUAGUAACCUUGUGUCAUAUCAUGUGAGUGUAUUACACUGUAUUACAAAUGCCCAUAUGUAACCUCCUUGGUUCAACAUCUUCUGGCUAUUUGUAUUGUAUUCAAAUAUAUAGGUCCAUUUUUCCACGUUCUUACAAAAUUGUAAUGGAAUUGCCUUUCUCCAUUUUUGGCCAAUAAUUUUCCUUUUGUCGACGAACAAAAGAACGUAAUUCAAUAUUAACACAGCUCAUUGAUGAAUUUAGUAGCUACUUGUAAAAACCAAAAUUACCAUUGGUUAUCAUCAAUCCGUGAUCCCAUAUUCUCAUGUGCAUGCACAUGCAUAAAAGCUUUUCAUUUCUUUGGAUAUCCAUUACCUCUUCAAGGGCAUGACACUAUCUAUUCCAGGAUAGUCAUAAUUUAGAGAAUGUGGAUCAUAACCUCCUCUUGAGCAUUAUUGAGCUUGGAUUUUAAUCUCCACUUCCGGGGAGUUGAGUCAUUGGAACCUAUACGUUUAUCAUGCUACAUGCAUGAGACAUCAAUAUUCCCAUGUCCGUGGAUUGUCCUAUCUGGGACGUGUAUCCAUGCGGCGACUGUCAUGCUUCUGGCAUGCAACAGUUAUGCUUCAGGAAUGUAAUAGUUCAGUAGUGCCAUAUUUCUUCUUUCGAAUAACUGAACCUUUUGAGUCUAAAGGUUUGUCACGCUUCAGGCGUGCAACAGAGAAAUUAUUUACUAGCUCACUAUAUUGUCCAACAGGGACAUUAAUUCUUGUAGGCACAUUUGCAACAAAUAUAUGUCAUUUCAUCACUUUCUUGCAUCAUUAAAUGCAUCUAGCAUUUGAUUGAUAUAUCGUUGCAUCAUUCAAUUAUUCUUACUUCAUUUUUAUGUUGAUUGCUUCGUGAAUCAAAAUAAGACAAAUUCUCUUCAUUCUUCUGGAACGGUCUUUUCUUAUCAUUCUUUUGAAAUGAUAUUUUCUCAUCGUUCUUCUGGAACAAUGUUAUUUUCUCCCCCUAACGGUGGGAAAUUGUCUUAUCAAAAUGACGAUCCGCAAACCACGCGGUAAACAUAUCCUCAAUCAAGGGUUCCAAAUAUUGAAUGAUAGAUGGUGUUCAACAUCAAUGCCUAAUCCGCGAUGAUGCCUCAUUUCAGUACGUUGUGGCAAUGCAAUAGGCACAUAGAUAACAUAACCAAAAACUCGUAAAAGUAUAAUGCUUGGCUGGUUCCCAAACACGAGUUGUACUGAGAAGUAUUGAUGAUUGGUAACAUGUCUCAACCGAAUUAAUAAUGCAUCAUGUAAAGUUUACAUGUCCCCAUGUAGAAAACUGGCAAUUUCGUUUUAAUGAGCAGAGCGCGGGUAAUCAAUUUCAUUCACUUAAUAAAUGCUUCUGCUAAACCAUUUUGAGUAUGGACAUAAGCCUUAUUUAAUAGUCUAUAGACUGAGACUCUUAUGGCUUUUAUUACAAUUAAGUUAAGGCACUGCAGCACUUCAAACUUACGGUACUCAUCUAGGAACUUCAUGUCCUGAUCUUGAGGAUCAAGGGACUUCAUACCUGAUCUUUUUGCGUGAUGGAACUUCAGGUCUAAUCAUUUUUAUAUGAUGAGGAUCAAGAAACUGCAGGUUCUCAUCUGAUCAAUGAACUUUAGGUCCUAUAUAUACUCAUUGUAACAAAAGAUAAGUACAAUAAAUAAAUUAAAGCAAUAGGCGGUAAUUCCAGCCAUAAUGAAUAAAUUGCAUUUAAGUAAAUAAAGUUUGUGACAAGGGCUUUAAUUCAGCACCAUCAAAACUUAAAGCAAUAGGCGAUAAAACCGUCCAUGAUAAAUAAAUUGCUUUAAAGUAAAUAAAGCUUGUGACAAGGGCUUUGAUUCAACACCAUUCACAUAAAUAUCAAAACUUUAAAGCAAAGGGUAAUAAUUCUACCCACUAUAAAUAAAUUGCUUUAAAUAAAUAGAAUUUGUGACAUGGGCUUUAAACAAACACCAUACACAUAAAUAUCAAAGUUUUAAAGCAAAAGGUAAUAAUUCUGCCCACUGUAAAUAAAUUGCUUUAAAUAUAUAGAACUUGUGACAUGGGCUUGAAACCAACACCAUGCACAUAUAUAUCAAAGCUUUAAAGCAAAGGGUAAUAAUUCUACCCACUGUAAAUAAAUUGCUUUAAAUAAAUAGAACUUGUGACAUAGGCUUUAAACCAACACCAUGCACAUAAAUAUCAAAGCUUUAAAGCAAAGGGUAAUAAUUCUACCCACUGUAAAUAAAUUGCUUUAAAUAAAUAGAACUUGUGAUAUGGGCUUUAAACCAACACCAUGCACAUAAAUAUGCCAAAACAGAAAAUGCAAUGAUUAAGUCCUCAUCAUUUGCUUUUUCUUUUUCUUGGUCUACCACUUCUUUUGUUUGAUUCCUUUUAUUUUUAUUUUUAUUUCACAGUUCUGAAGUCAUUUUGGUUACUCAGUAAAUAAUAGUAACAAUAAGUUCCAAUUGGUGUUCCUCCUCCGAUGAGUUUCGAAAAAGUCGAAACGGUUCCCAUAAGUUUUGGAGUCAAGAGUGUUUGCAACUUAUGAGAAGAUCCAACCGUUAGAUUUAGUUCACAUUUUAGUAUGAUAUGGAUAAGAGGAUACCGAACAACUUUCGUGAAGAAACAAUUUCAAUCUGAGCUACCGAAAUGGAGUUUUGGUACUCAUAAGGUGGAUGUCCAGUUUUCUGCGGAAAUUGGAAACUAGUUUGGUAUUUCAGACAUCUGUGAUGAUCGCACCGUUAAAGUGUUUUGAAAAUUUGAUAUGUUCUAAAUACUGAGCAGACGAACAACUUUCAAGAAGAAAGUAUUUCAAUCCGAGGACCGCAAGUUGGAGUUCCAAGGUUGUUUACAUGGCUGUCAAAUUCUUUACGAAUUUUGAGUCUGAACUCUUUUGCUUCUGCAAAGGAUGAUAUACAGUUAUACAACAAUAUAUAUAGUUGCUUCAAGAAAAUCAAUUGUACUGAGAUUUGAAGAUGAAAUGAAAUUUUUUUUGUUAUCUGUGAUAUUCCAGCUGAAGGAGGUGAACAUGAUUUGUGACGCUGUGCUUUCCACUGACAUAAGAGCUUCUCGUGCUGAUAACGUGUUGUAAAAUCGACGGCGUGUGCAGUUGAAUAAAUAAACAAGACACAAAAUUUACAAGGUUCCUCUACAGUCAAUGUGCCUGGAGUACAUCCUCGGGGCAGCAGUGGUGCUUUCAUUAUAAUCUGAAAUAAUAAGAGUACAAAGAUAACUCUCUCUAUUAUCUCCUCUCAUCUUCCUCUCUUUUCUCUCUUCCUCUUCCUCUCUUUUCUCUCUUCCUUUCUUCCUUCCUAUCUCUCCCGUGAGUCUCCCACAUUCAUCUCCCAAUCUUUUUUUUUUUGUGUUCCAUAAGACUUGCUUUUAUAGAAGCAAAUCACAAGCAACAUAGUGAAAGGCUUACUAUAUGCAUGUGAGUAUUUACUAUACACAUUACUAUACACAUGUGGGAAAACAUACCCAUUAUUUACAUCACAUCCAUGCUUUUUGGUUCAAUUAUUUUCUUUUUCUGUUUCAUCCUUUCAUUUGAUUCAUCAUGCUCAACGGGACCGUCAUUGUUACCAAGGGCCAUCAUCACUUUUGGUAGGAUUUUCAUUUGAAACUUGCUUCACCUUGUUACUCUUUUUCAAUUAUUCCAAUUAAAGAGGUAGAUGAUGCUUUAUUGCAGUGAUGGAAAACAAUUAUGCUUAUGUACUCUUGUGCAGUUUCGAUCCUCAUAGAUUCGCUUCCUCCUAAACCCAAAACCACUUAGACUUUCUUAACUUUUGGAAUCUACUACAUAUGUUACCUUCCAUUUUUUUGCCAUAAAAACAUCUUACCACUCACGUGGAGGGAUAUUUUUCGUCAAUCCACUUCCUAAAGCUCGCUACAAUGAAUUUGCACAAAUUCAAAAUGCAUUUUUUUAGCAACGUUGGAGUCAGGUAAUGAAGAGACGGGUUUGAUUUUGAGAAGGGUUGUUGAAAAAUUGAAGUGAAAAAUGAUUAGUGGCAUUUACAUUUGUUGUUUGGUAGAUGGUGGCUGCAUGUGUUUUUUCUGGGUUUUUGGUUCUUUAUUACUUAGACUUACUAAAAAUUCAAAUUAUUUAUUGUUUUGUUGUAGGCAUAAUUUACUGACCAAUUAUGGAGGCCAGAAAGAGAGAGAAGGUGAGGCAUGGAGAGAGAAGAGAGGGAUGUGUAAUUGUGAGAUGGAGAGAAGGUUCUAUUCCACCCCAUUGUGCCUUUAUUUAUAGUAGUAGGGAAGGUUAAUUCCUUACACUUUUAGGAUUACAACUCUAAUAGGAUAUUAACUACUAAGGGAAUAUUCAAAGAUGGCCCUAGAUACACUAUGAUUUAUACAAUCGCAUUCCUAAUCUAAUAGGACUACAACACUCCCCCUUGAGUGUGUAAAUACUCAACUAAAUGGCGCAUUAGGUCUUCAACGAUGAAGUAAGUACAAUUGAUGAAGUUGUCAGCACAAUGAGCGAAUGAGAGUCUCAUAUCAAUGAAAGAAUGCAUAAAAAGUAAAACUCACAAAACCUCGCUAUGGUAAAACCUAAGGUGGGAGAAAAACCCAUAGACUAAGGAGAAAAGUGAGAAGUUGCAUUAAAUCAAAACUAUACGUCUUCUGGACGCAAGUAGAAGAGCUCACAAAGGUAUGAUCAGCCCAGGAUGGGUGCCUCGUCAAAACCUAGUUAGGUAGCAAAAACCCAGUAGGAAAAAUGCUCCUAAUCGUAGGAAAAAAAAAUACAUUAAGAUCAAGUGAGUAUACUUCUGGAUACUCCCUCAGAGUUUGACAGAACUUCCAAAUGAGAACUACAGGCAUUGCAUAUGAAUAGUUAGGCAGACCAGUUCCUUAGACAAGCUUAUGGAAGGUUGACUUCGGUAGUGACGUCAUGUAGAGGUCGGCAAGGUUGUCUAGGAUUGGCUUGCAUGACUUCAAUCACCUGAUGCUUUGCUGAUGUAGAUGUAGAUGCAAUAGGUCUUGGCGUUGACUUUGUUGAUGUAUCAUGUCUUGGUCGGGUUGAUACAUGCGGCAUAGUCUUCAUGGAUCAUCAUCGGGACUCAACGAUGGAUGAUAACAGCAAGUACUUUGAAUAUGCUCAACAAGAACUCCUAACCAUGUCUUACGUGUGGCAUAGUGAAGUGAGAUAUAUGAUGCUUUAUUGCAGUGACGGAAAACAAUUAUUCUUAUGUAGCUUUGUUCAAUUUCGAUCCUUGCAAAUUAGCUUCCUCCUAAACCCAAAACUACUUAGACUUUCUUAACUUUUGGAAUCUACUACAUAUGUUAGCUUCCAUCUUUUUGCAGUAAAAACAUGCUGCCACUCACGUGGAGGGAUAUUUUUCGUCAAUCCACUUCCUAGAGCUCACUGAAUUAAUUUGCAAAAAGUCAAUAUGCAUUUUCCUGCAGCGUUGGAGUCAAGUCAUGAAGAGACGAGUUUGAUUUUGACAAGGGUUGUUGAAGAAUUGAAGUAAAAAAUGAUUGCUGGCAUCUACAUUUGUAGUUUGGUGGAUGGUGGCUGCAUGUUUUUUUUUGGGUUUUUGGUUCUUUAUUACUUAGACUUACUAAAAAUUCAAAUUAUUUAUUGUUUAACAUCGUAAUAUGUGUUUUGUGUCGGGUUUGUUGUGAUGACUGUAUUGGACAAUUGCUAAAGACAAAUCUUAGUCUAUUAGGUCCUUAUGCAUAGACACUGUUCUAAAAAUUCAUGUCUAGCAUAGCGCAGUCUAGGCGCUAGGCAACUGACCACUAUCCCGAUUAGUUGAAAUAGGGCACCUACACCUGCUUAGGCACCCGCCCAGACUAGCCUAGGUACCUUCCUAGGUCGCAACUCUCAUUUAGACAGAAAAUGGAUAGAAUUCAUUUUGCAUUUUAUUUGUUUCAAUAUAUUAUAAGAGACUUGUUAGAUAAUUAAAUGGAUAUACUUUAUAUGCUUGUUCCUCAUGUUUUUAUUAUAUUCUAAUACUUUAUAAUCUAUGUCAUUCUAUUUUACAAUUUAUGUAUUUAAGUGAAAUUAUCUAUUUUUUAAGUAUAAAUAGACACCUAUUUAUAUGAUGUAUAAUAAAUUUCAUUGUGACGAGAACACAAGUGGUACACCACGUGUUUUAAUAGAAGUGGUGGGAAAUUUUAUUUUUUUUAAUUAUUAACUUUUUAGCACACAUAUCCUACCAUUUGUAUAAUGACACGUGGUGCCCCAUCCCCUAUACCGGUCACACUGAAAAAUCUCUCCACUCUGGGAGGUUAAAGUGAAAGCAUGCCUUAAAUAACCAAAAAGAGAUUAAUGCAAUUUCAACAUUGAUUGUAAUAGAGGAGCAGUUAGCAUCAUACUAAUAUUGGAGUAGAGAGACUUGUAACAGAGAAAGCUCAACCAAAUAUCUUACAGAAUGAAAUUGAAGAAGAAGAACCAGAGAGCCUGAUGGGUACAACUUGGGAGAACUUAGAAGCCUAUAUGGGAACUCAUCUAGUGAUGAAGAACCGGAUUCAAUGAGAAGGAAUAGGAGGUAGAAGAAACAACCCAAGUUUAAACAUCAUAGAAAAGAAACUGAUGUCAGUACCAUAGAGUUUGAUUUGGGGAUGUCUUUUCUUAUUAGACUAAACAUAUAAACCAAGAUCAUGUAACAUGAAUCACAGCCACCCAAACACAAACUGUAGUUCAUGACUAUUGUACAGAGUAGAAAUCUUACCUGCAGAUGCACCAGAAGAAGAAGCCACUAUAUAUAGGUCUUAGUCCGAGACAGAGCGUAAUAUCUGUGAGAGGAUAGACCACUAUAUAUAUAGAACAUAAUCCUAGCCAAAACCAAUAAGGAUUUUCCUAUUAAAAUCCAUACAGCAAACUGAAAUUGUUUACAAUAGGUGAAUCAGUUCCUUGUUCUAUUUGAAUCCUAGAACAACAUGGAUUAAUAAUCAGUACUCAUUAAGACUUUCUAUCAAACUUGAGACGAAUCACCAAUUCUCUAGACUCAUGCUCAUAUUCUUGCAUUCCCAAGUUCCAAGGAAUUCAAAGAAGUUGUGAAUAGACACUUUUAUAAUAUGCAGGUCUUACGAGUUAACCACAAAUGGUUGGUACAAGGUUAAGGCUCAAAUUCAUGCCCUUGGCAAGUGAUGCUUCUAAUGACCAAUCUGAUAGACAUUCUCCUUUAUAUGUAAAACAUUUGUUCCAAAUCACACUUGUGGAAAAGAUGAAAACAAUACGAGUGUGACCAGUACUUGGUUGGCUGAGAGAUAUGCUGAUGAUAUGAAGAUCAAUCCCUUUUUUUUUUUAAUAAAGGACGGCAUAUAUAUAUGAAAAUCAAUCCUAAAAUGGAUGUUAAGACAAUGAAAGCUACAAUGAGGGAUUAUCCAUUCUAAUCCCUCUCCAAAUGAUAGGAUUGUGAGUGAUAAGUUUAUUUCAUUCCAAUCCCCUUUGAAUUUUAAGAGUUGCCUAUUCCAAUCUAAACCUAGAGACGAAACGCGGCCAUAUAUUACAAAGACAAAGAUUCUAAAACGGCCUUCGCUCAGAGAAGAAAAAAAAGCCAUGCAGUGAGAACAUCUAAGGGAAACGAGUUGAUCCUCAAUAAACGCCUCAAUAGAAUGACGUAUCUUUGUUAAAGCAUCUGCCACAAAAUUAGCUUAAUCUAAAACAUGAUAGAAGCUGAUAUGAUCAAGCAUCCCAUGUUUGCUGAAAAGAUGAAAGAAGGAUCUUUCCAAGUUUAGGAAGGUGGGAGUUGCCAAAGAGAAACCGAUUUGAGCCGCAUCUGCUCCAAAUAUCUCAGGCAAACGGUCAGCUGACAAAAUGCGGUCAAUGGCUUCAACAUCUUGAGAAUAAAAGGCACAACUAGGAUCAAUUGGUUGUACUUUAUAUAGGGAUAAGAAUUGAGUUUCCUCUUUCACAAAUGUUACUUAUUCAUUACGGCCAUUAUACUGUCAGUAUAACUUUUCCGGCUUCUAAGUUCGGAACCCUCCCAAACAUUGGACACUACAAUACUAGAUAAUGCAAUAAGAUACAACAGUACAAUACAAUAUAGUUGAAAACAAUCCAUCUAAGAUAGUACAGACUCAAUCGGACGAAUCAGGAGCCCUAGUGUUCAAGCUUCCACCUUUGCGGUAAACUUAAGUGGUGGCUUCAAGAAAUGGAUAAUCAGUGUAACCAAUGACGGGAUCAGGUAUGUAGAAUGUCUCUCUGUUGUACUUGUUUAGAGGAGCAUUAAGUUCAAAUCUCUUUGGCAAAUCUGGAUUCGCCAAGAAAAUACGGCCAUAAGCAAUAAGAUCUGCACUGCCCUUGGCCACAGCACUGUUUCCAUCUUCCCUAUCAUAACCACCAGCAGCAAUGAAGGUACCAUGGAAAGACUUUCUCAUGGGAAGAAGACUCUGGUGGGUUUCAUCUUUUUCCCCCAUUGUCUUCAUCCUCGGCUCAACCAUGUGGCAGUACACGAUUCCAUAUUUGUUCAAGGCAUUGGCCAUAUAGAGGCCUAAUUCUUUUGGAUUUGAAUCCCCUGAGUCCAUAUAGUCAGCAAAUGGAGAUAAUCUAAUUCCAACUUUAUCUGCUCCUAUUUCGUUAGCGACAGCUUCAACAACUUCCAGAGGAAGGCGGCAACGAUUCUCUAGAGAUCCACCAUAUUGGUCUGUUCGAUCAUUCACAUGAUCUUUCAGAAACUGAUCAAGAAGGUAGCCAUGCGCCCCAUGAAUUUCAACUCCAUCGAAGCCUAUAUAGCAGAUUAACAAUUUCAACAUACUGACGGUAUUAGAACCUUAAGCAUUGUAGCUGAAUUACCAAACAAAUAAUAUAAAGACAAACUACCGGCUUCAAUAGAAUUCCUUGCAUAAGCUUUGAAGCAAAUUGAGUUGUUGUAAAUUUUCUUUCAUUUUAACGUAAAGACAAAUUACCAGCUUCAAUAGAAUUCCUUGCAGCAAGUCUAAAAUCAUUGACAAUUUGUGGAAUUUCAUCUGUCCUUAAUCGUCUUGGAGGCGUGAAUUCAGAGGCAUCGAUGCCAUUUAAUCGUAUCGGCUUGUCAGUAGAAGAUAUUGGAGCUUGCCCAUUUGGUUGAUAACCUGUAAGCAAGGAGAGAAAGAAUUACAACCUGAAGUCUAACGACAGUAACUAACAUCCACAGCAGCACUCUUUUAAGUGGGAAUCCUUUGUUACAAAUUACUAUAACCACACGUGCUAUAUACUAGUUCUGAAUUCUGAGUUAUGUUAACAUCAAACUUAUUCCCAUCCAAUAAUAAUAAUAACAAUGCUUCCGAAACAGCAAAGUCAUAACAAGUCCAACUCGGAACUUAACAAGUCCAAGUUUUAUCGUCAUUUUGAGCAACAAUGUUGUCAUUUAUAAUCACUCGCUCGUUCUGAUGCAUAUACCAUUAUGUUAUACAUCAAACUUCUUAAUCGGUCUAAUUAUUCACUCAUGUUAACAAAGCAUUCUAUGGUAAAAGUGAGGUCAUAAAGGUGUAAGUCAGAAACGCACCGCUAUUAGAAACCCUUCCAACAUGCCAAAUCUGACAGAAGAAGAGGCCACCUUUAGCAUGAACAGCAUCAACAAUGGGUUUCCAGGCUUCAACUUGCUCCUUUGUCCAUAUACCAGGUGUGUUCGGGUACCUUCGUAUAUUAAAGAACCAAAAAUUUCAUCAAACUUUGAAACGAAAGAAGCACCCUCAAAUGCUUGUUAGUCUAUGAAUCUACUGUUGUUGAAAUUACCCUUGAGCUGUGUUGGAAACUCCAGUGGCUUCAGCUAUGAGAAGACCCCCGUUCGAAGUUCUCUGAGAGUAAUAUAAGAUAGCAUGUGGUUGAGGAACAUUGUUGUAUGAUCUCUGUCUGGUCAAUGGUGCUAAAACAAUUCUGGAAAGGAAAAAGCAAUUGUAAAUUAUAAAUACAGAGUGAUCAAGAUGGAAUGUGGCUGAGGAACAUUAUCGAAUGAUCUGUAUCUAGUCAUCAACGGUGAAAAUACAAUUCUAAACAGGAAAAACAUAUAAUAAACCAUAAAUACAACCUUCAGACUUUGUAGGAAGCAUUAGUUUGCUAAGGCUCCUUCAUAACAAAUUCGUUUUUAGUUUUCUUGUUUUAGUUAAAAAGGAGAAACGAGGGAGGAAGAAGGAAUUUGGGGCGAAAAUGUAUGAAAUAAAAAGUCGAAUUGUAGAUUAUCUGAAUUUGCUAAGGCUCCUUCAUAACAAAUUCGCUUUUAGUUUUCUUGUUUUACUUAAAAAGGAGAAACGAGGGAGGAAUAAGGAAUUUGGGACGAAAAUGUGUGAAAUAAAAACUCUAAUUGUAGACUAUCUGAAUUUGCUUUAUGUUCUUCAUUUUCGGUAUCAUUCCAUGCACAUUUGGUCCCUCAUCCAUCCCUUCCCCUUCCCCUUCCUCCUCCUCCUCCUCUUCUAUCAUGCAUUUUCUCUUUUACUUAAAAUUAAAAACUAAAAAUCAAAUACGAAAUCGUUACCAAACACAACCUAAACAAAGCAAUGUCUUACGAAGUGACCAUGGCCGAAAGGACACAUACUUUUAACAAUCUAUUGCAUCUAUUUUCAACAAUUAAUCAAUGAAAUAACUCAAGUGUACUGUUGUUUUGAUUUAAUUUGUAACAUCUGUACUAUUUUAUAGACAAAGAUACAGUUACUCUUUUUUUUUUUUUAGGUAAACUGGAAUUACACCAGGGCAAAGCCAGAGUACAACAGGAAAACCCACACAGAGGACUAACAUAGCUAAAACCAUUGAAACGACAAACAACAGAAUGAUCCAGGGCCAAGGACCAACACUAGUUCCGACAUUAUGUCACCCUUAAUCAUUCCAACAUAGACUCAACUUAGUGUGGGCAAGGUAGACCAUCCUUGUUCAACUUCUUGUCUCCUUCCCAACAUCUGUACUAUUUUAUACCAACAUGAUUCUCUCCAGAUUCUUUUGGUGAGAAUCUUGUCUGUUCAUCAUAAAUCGUGCGAUCAGUUUUUGUCAACUACUGUUCGUGUUUUAUUUUAAAUAAAAAUAUUUAAAAUAAUUUUUGACCGCACGAUGUACGAUGAACAGACAGGAUAACGGAUUUCCAAGAUUCUCACAAAGAGAAUCCGACGAGUAUCCGGAAUCUAUUUUAUAGACAAAGAUACAGUUACAAACAGUCCUUGUCUCCUUCCCCAAAUCAUUCUUCGUUUUUGUAUAGCUAUAUUUGACACACACACAUAAUAAACCACACAGUACGCUAAACUUGAAUAUAGACAAGCAGUAAUUUCAUCUUCUAUUUUUCUUGUUAGCCAAUAGCCAUCUGCAGACCUAGCUACUCUCUGAAUCCAAGUUCGGAUCUCCUCUCAUAGUUUUUACAACAUUAUAUUAAAAUAACGCCCGAAUAAAAUAAAUUAAACAAUUACACGACAGAGAAAUUUAAGAAGUAAACAAAUAGGAACAAUGUAUGAAAGUUUUAAGUACCUAUGAGAAAGAUUGAAGUUUCCCAAUUUGUAGGGAGUGAGGAGAGGAAUUGUGGGAGGUUGAGCAGCAGCAGACAUCUCAGAAUUCGAGUCGGUCGUCUACCACCUGAUCUUGCACUUGGCGUUUUAUACUGGAUUCUGGGAUGAAGGAAGGAAGGAAUGAAUGAAAACAGGACCCAAUUGGGUCUUUUAUACGUUCGGUAGGAGCUUAAAAGUCCGCCCUGCAGCUUUCCUCCACAAAAGUCAGAGAAGGCCGGGUCCCACAUCUCCCCUCCCUUGUGUGGUGGUGGCGGCGGCGGACGUCGGUGGGUGGAUGAUGGAUCUCUCCAAAGCAUUAAUUAAAUCGAUUAGGUGAAGAGAGGUAGGAAGGUUUGAUGAGGUCUGUAAUUACGUUUACGUGGGUUGAAAAUAAACCAGUUUUAUGAGGUCUGUAAUUACGUUUGCGUGGGUUGAAAGUUCACCAGUUUUCCCCAUGAAAAAGGACGUCUACGCACGUUCAUUUCGAUUUUGCUUUUUCAUCCUGCAUUAUUAGGCCAUGGUUAGAAAAAAUAUAUUAUAAUUUUGUAAAAAAAUUAAUUUUAAAUUAAUAGUGUCAGAUCAUAUUUAUAUACUAUCGCUAACCAAAUGAGCUAAACAUAGCCUCAUCAAUUUCCGAUGGAUAGCUAGACUAAAAUUCUAUGGAGCUCAUCAAGCCAUCAUUUGGCUAAAGGGGCAUUGGGCUGGCCAAAUGUAGCCCCCCUUCUUAGCCCUUUUUGGAGCCCAGCUCCUCUACUGCACUAUUUGAGUCAAAUUCAAUAACUAUGUUUGAAAACAUUUAAUGGAAGUUUAAUUAAAUUAAUCAAUAAAUUUAAUAUAUAAACUUAAAACUAAGUAAUUAUUGAGAGGGUUAUGUUUAGCCACUUCAGUGACGGUAUAAGUAUGAUGCGAUAUUGUUCAGUCAUUUCGGUUAAUGAUGGCCUACGGUUAGAAUUUUGAGGAUAUGUGAGACUAAAUGCAUGUUAGUUACAAAAUUAUGUUUGUUUAGAUCACUUGAAAUAUUUGACAACUUAAUAAAGAAAAACCAACUUAAAAUCCAUGAAUUAGAAAACUCAUUUUCUUUUUUGGUUUUAUUAAGUUGUCAAAUAUUUAAGCUUUUGAAUACAAACUAAUAUAAUCUUGUGGCUAAUAUACAUUUGGUCCUCACAAAUCUUUAAAAUGAAGACCUUACUUGAUCAAUGAAUUUAUGACAAAUUAAAUAGUCUAAAAAUAAAAGGCUCGAAUUAGGGCUAGGUUCAGUUCAAAUCAGUUCAAUUUUUUUUUCAGUUUGGGUUUUUUUUGGUUCCAAUUCGGUUUUUUUCGUGAUUUUUUUUAAAUCUUUUUUUUUUUGUCAAAAAUAUAAAGAAGAGUAAUUUUACUUUUUUUUUUUUCCGAUGAACUAAGAAAUUAAAGAAGGAACUUGAAUUAAAACUAGGGCAACUCGCAAUGAUGGCUGCAUCAACAAAUCAUCCAUAUCUACAAUACGAACAGAAACCUUUGUAAAUCAUAAAGUCCUUAAUGCUGAAUCCUUUAAGAACCAAGACUUGAAAACCCUAAAUCUGCAAUACAAACCCACAAGUAACAAACAAACCCACAACACAAAAAUCGACCAAAUCUGCAAUACAAACCAAACUCCCUCCAUGGCGCCAUGUCGCUGCCUCCGUUUUCCGGCCAAACCAAGGCGAUUUAACAUAAAAAAAAAAGGUACCAUUCUCUUCGUCUCAUCUAGAAGUAUGAUUUUUGUUUUUGAAUCACUUGAUUUCGUUGAGUAUUCAAGAAGUUAUGAACGUUUAAAGUUUACUCAGUUUCUGGCGAGUUUUCAAGUUUUCUAUCUUAUUCUACACUUUCCUAUCUUCAUUUUGAUAUUUUAUGGGUCGAAUUUGGUUAAGAAACGAUUGAGUUAUAAAGCUUUGAAAAUUGCCCAAGAACUCCGGGACACUUAACGGAGUUUUUAACGGAAUGACCAAAAUGAUGGAUGGUGGACAAUCUCAAGGACCACUUUUAUCGAUUUGAAAUGUUAGGGACCAAGGUGAUGAGUUAUGCAAAUCUCAGGGACUAUUUUGACUAUUUAGCCUUUUUUUUUUCAUAAACGAAAAUAAUUUUUUUUAAUGAAGAUAGAAAAGUGUAGAAUAAGAUUAUACCUAUUUGGAAGCCCAAUGGCUGCCGGAGAUAGCCGGAAAAUAGCCUCAAAGUUGACUGGUCCGAGGGAAAAUUGGAAAACUCGCCGGAAACUGGGUAAACUUUAAACGUUCAACUUCUUCAAUACUCAACUAAAUCAAGUGAUUCAAAAACAAAAAUCAUACUUCUCGAUGAGACGAAGAGAAUGGUACCUUUUAAGACGGUUAAAUCGCGGUGGUUUGGCCAUAAAAAGGCUCAAAAGUGUCUAACUCGAGACCAAGACAGCCACUUUGGAACCGUUUUCCGGGCAAACCACGGUGAUUUAGCCGUCAAAAUAGGUACCAUUCUCUUAUUAUCGUUGAGAAGUAUGAUUUUAGUUUUGAAUAACUUGAUUUCGUUGAGUAUUGAAGAAGUUAUGAACAUUUAAAGUUUACUCAGUUUUUGGCGAGUUUUCCAGUUUUCCUUCGGACCAGUCAACUUUGAGGCUAUUUUCUUGCUAUCUCCGGCAGCCAUUGGGCCUCCAAAUAGGUAUAAUCUUAUUCUACACUUUCCUAUCUUCAUUUUGAUAUAUUAUGGGUCGAAUUUGGUUAAGAAACGUUUGAGUUAUGAAGCUUUAAAAAUUGUCCAAAUUUCCAGCCAAGAACUCCAGGACACUUAACGGAGUUUUUAACUAAAUGACCAAAAUGAUGGAUGGUGGACAAUCUCAAGGACUAAUUUUAUCGAUUUGAAAUGUUAGGGACCAAAGUGAUGAGUUAUGCAAAUCUUAGGGACCAUUUUGGCUAUUUAGCCCAAAAAAAAUUGCAAACUUUAAAUGAUAAUAGAACAAAGUAAUACUAAUUUAUAAUAAAGAAGUCAGGUUGUUAAUAGAUGAAUUUGAUUGAAUUUUUAUUGUGUUAGGAAGUGUUAGGAGGAGGAUACAAUUAUCUUACUAGACUACGACACUUGUACAUCAUUAGCAUCGCAAGUACUCAUUUUCCAAAUGUGCAUUACAUUUGAUUUUAAAAAUUUGGUAUUCCUACCAUUAUCCUGAAAACAUAUAUAUUCACAUAUAAACUUUGUUCUUAUUGUGAGGAAACUCCAAAUGUUGAAGCCAUAUUCUUUAAUUGGUCUAUGAUUGAGGAGUGACCGUUGAAAUGUGUAGACUUCAAAAGGAUGUCUAACCUAAUAAUAGUGGUAAUUGUGGUUGAAUCUGAAAUAUUUGACUGCAAAUUCACCGGUUCUUUAGACCUUUCUGAUUCUCUUCGUUAUCUUUACUGGCAUGAUAUCCACUGAAAUCUUUACCGUAAAAUUUUACUCUAGAAAAUCUGGUUGAGCUUCAUAUGCCCGUAUGCAAUUUUAACAUUGAUUGUAUCAACAAGAAAGAUGUAAGACAAUGAAAGCUACAAUGAGGGAUUAUCCAUUCUAUAUAUGAAAAUCAAUCUUAAAAUGGAUGUUAAAAAAUUGAAAGCUACAAUGAGGGAUUAUCCAUUCUAGUCCUUCUCCAAAUGAUAGGAUUGUGAGGGAUAAGUUUGUUUCAUUCCAAUCCCCUUUGAAUUUUAAGAGUUACCUAUUACUUUAGUCUAAAGUAGGGGGAGGUGGCAUUGUGCAAUUUUGGGGUACAUUUCAGUUUACUUACGAAAUUGCCAUUGAGUCUCUCUGUUCCCUCAUUUAACGUUAUUUGCAAAAUUGCCAUUGGGCUUCAGAAAGGGUUUUGGGUCUUUGGGCUGGAAUUUCCGUCCAGAUUGGAAUUUUCGAUUAUUCGAUCCACGCGUUGAUCAUCGCUGGAUCGCCAGCUGUGUGGUAUUUGGUGAGGGGAUGGGUUACGUGUCCAUCAUUGUCGGAAGGUUUCCUUCGACUGCAACUUCUCGACUUUUCGUUCUGUUUCAACUUCUCUCUCACAAGCCUCUGCUUCAGUCGCUCUUGAUCUUCGCCUUUUCUAAGGCGUUUGAGGGACAAAAACCGAAAGCCAAACCACCACCACAAACGAAGUCACAAAUAGGGAUGGGCAACGGUUAUGGCGGACGGGUAACCGCGAUUAUUUACCCAUAACCAUUUAUACUUAUAUCCGCAUAAUUGUUUACCCGUUGGGUAAUUGCCCAAACAGUUAUACCCAUACUCAUAACCAUUUAUAAACGGUUAACCAUACCCAUAACAGCAUACCCAUUUAACCAUAACCGUUUAAUACCAGUUUACUCAUUUACUCUUUUUAACCUGUUUAAUUUUUAUUUAUUUUUUAUCAUUACCUCUUUUUUCACCCUUCUACAUGUUUUUUAACAACUUGAAAAUUAAAAAAAAAAUGUCAUAAUUUUUUUUUGGCAAUUAAACACCGUUAUAAGCACAUUCAUCUUACAUUUCCGUAUUAAAAUUUUUUAAAUCCUUAUCUCAUUCUAAUAAUUGAAAUAAUUUCCGGCAAAGACACAACGGUGUGCACUCGUACGUGGAUUAUUUAUAUGCUCAGCAAGCACCCUUAUAUGCAAGAAAAGGUUGUAACGGAAGUUUGAGAAGCAGCAAAUCUGAAAGAUGACUCAAGCAUUGUUGAACUUGCAGACAAUCUUAAUGAAGAUGCCCUUAAUAAAAUGCAGUAUGUCUUAGUAGCUUUGACUGAGACACAAAGGCUCUACCCUGUAAUUCCACUGGAAAUUUGACUAACAUCUUAACUAAAUCUAAUGCAUGCAUACUGCAAGGGAAAUGAUUUCAGUGCGCUCCCAUUUAUUUUUCUCACUUAAAUUUCUUUUGAUUUAUUCAAUUUAAGAAUAGAAAUACUCCAUGGAUCAUCGUUUAUUACUUUUUAAUUAAUUAAAACACUGCUAUAUAAACCACAUUAUAGUCAAUAGUAUUGAUCUAAGUUUUGUUUGAUAGAGAACAUGAUUUGUGUUAAUUUUAUAUAUAUAAAAUAAAUAGAUAAACGGUUACUCAUUUAUAACCAUGAUUAAUACUCAUAAUCAACUAUUUAUAUUUUACGGAUGAACGAUUAUACCUAUAACCGUUUAUUUAUUUAAACGGUUACCCAAAUGAUCGUGUAACCGCGGAUCAUCCCUAGUUACGAACGCCACUCUCACUCACCCUCCACCGUUACACACGCACCCAAUCAUAAUUCUGAAAUCCAAACACAACCCAGAUGUUAAUCCUUCAGAGAAUGGCAAUGGCCACUUCUUCUUCCUUCCUCUUAAUCCCUCUCCUCAAUACUCUUCUUUGCUUUCCCCAGUUAAACACCAAGCUCCGAGUUCAGGUCUCUGUCCUUGUACGGCGGUAGAACUGGAGACUCCACCUCCUCGGCGAUGGCCACAGAGGCUCAGGUCUCGACCCAAGACGACAAAUUGAAGGAUGCCCAGAUGGAGGUAGCUGAUAAACCUGAGACAGUCGUGCUUCCAACCAACGAGUCCUCCGAAAGCCUCAUCAUAAUUCGACACACGGUAUUUAUUGAAAUUUCAUUGCUUUGGAUUGGAUUUAUGAUUGUUUUAUGUUAAAUUGAAGUAGGGUGCUUUCCUGUUGAAUUUUUUGAAUUUUUAGAUUCUUAGGAGCUUCCCCUUUUUGAAAGUUUGAUGCUUUUAAUUAACUAUUUUCAAUUCUGCGUUACUAAUUGUCACCUGAUUCUAUUGUGAAGAAUGAGGAAGUGAGGAUGAAGAAAAUAAGAACCUAACUUUUCGGUAAUUUGAAAUUUGAUCGAAUAGGACAUGGAAAAAUGGGUGUACAUCAGUAGAUAAGCUGGGAAAAUUUUCAAGACUUGGAUUGUCUGCCCUCUAAUUUUGGUGCCCUCCCAGUGCCCUCUUGUUUUUGUGGUCAUGGUUAAGCCACAUCAACAUUUUAUAGUACUAUUUCUUUUUGUUUUAUUAUUUUUAUAAAAAAAUGAUAUAAAAUAUUGACGUGGCUUAACCGUGACCACACAAAACAGGAGGGCACCGAAAUGGGAGGGCAGACAAUCCAAGUCCAAAUUUUCAUCCUGUUUUUGGGAAUGUGAGAAGAUACAUGGGUUUCUGUAUUUUGAUAAAGUGUUGAGGUCGAGCUAUGUUCAUUUUUUUCUAAAUUUCCAUGUAGUUUGGUAUUAAUGGCGUCUUUUCCGCUGUUAUGGUGAUGAACUAUUUAUGUGUUUGACUGCAGUGUGCACACGUGAUGGCCCUGGCUGUUCAAAAGCUCUUCCCGGAUGCAAAAGUGACAAUUGGUCAGUGGAUAGAAAAUGGGUUCUAUUAUGAUUUUGAUAUGGAGCCUUUGACAGACAAAGAGUUGAAGAGAAUCAAGAAGGAGAUGGUAAGUGGAAUUUCUUUAUAAGUUAUCAUGUUUGUAUCAAAGUUUUGGAACCAUGAAACUAUUGAAAACUAUUCAUGAUCAUUUCUUUUGUGAUUUGUAGGAUCUCAUCAUUGGUAGAAACUUACCACUCAUAAGAGAAGAAGUUUCAAGAUAUGCUCACAAAAGAAUAACUGCGCUCAACGAAGCAUACAAAUUGGAAAUUUUGGAUAGUAUUAAAGAAGAUCCCAUUACCAUAUAUCAUAUUGGUAAGGGUUUCACUAUUUUCAGGCUCAAUAUAGUUUGGAAGGUGAUGAUUUAAUGUGCAGGAACUGUGCGUAAAUGAUAUUUUUAUUAGCUACACAAGUGAAAUGUACAGUGUUUGUGUCGAGUCUUAAGAUGGAAAUUUAAGGGAAUAAAAAAGAGAGGGCGGGGGUGUGCUCAGGGAAAACAAUGUUGUUGGUGCUCUUUAAAAAUGAGUUAUUGAUAUGCAAAUUGAAAAGGAGACUAAUUUGAAGGUGGGAGGAACCUUUUGGUCAAGCUAACCAAUUAUACUUAUGUUUAUACAUAUGCAUGCUUGUACUGGGAUUUGAUUGUGUUUUGAACUAGCAUCCUGUCAUAUUAGACUGUCUUUAUGUCAUAAUUCCUCAUAGUAUGCCGAAUUCUUCUUAUGUGAUGAAUGGUAGGAAGCAUGUGCAGGGCCCCAUGUUGAAAAAACUGGAAAUAUUAACGGAAAAGCUGUCGAACUUGAGUCUAUUGCUGGUGCUUGCUGGAGAGGAGAUGAAAAAAACCAAUGCUGCAGAGGAUCUAUGGCACUGCAUGGGAGAGUGAAGAUCAAUUGAAGGCAUAUCUUCAUUUCAAAGAGGAAGCUAAACGUCGAGAUCACAGGGGCUUUGAUCAAGUUCUUGACCUGUUUUCUAUACAGGUACUCAGAAUUGCCCUGAAUCUCUUUCUGCUGCUUACGCAGAUUUAUCAGUUAGCAAUCCCAUUAUUUGUAAUUAUGAGGAUUCUUGCAUUAACUCUGCCUGUGUAAGUUUAUCUUACAUUGCCGGUCCCAAGUCCGGGUAAAGGAGGAGGGGGAGGGCGUCAGGUAGUCGACAGCCGGCACUCCACAGUUACGUCGAAUCCUUAUGAAAAUGAAUCCAGAACGAAAUCGCGCUAAAGCUAGGGCGUCACCCGUAAGUGGCGCGCUGUGUGGCCCGAGCACAGUGAUAAGUGAGCAAGGGUCGCUGUAUCUCCAUCGGCACCCGGAUGCAGUGUUAAAUGAGCAAGGGGGCCAUAGAAACUUCUUUUCGAACGACUCCACUCAAAGUUGUUUGGGAGCAUAUACUCCUAUCAACUUUACACAGGACACACAAAAGAAGUACUUUGAUCCUAUUGGACGGGGGAGGGUGAAGAAGCUAGGACAAAAGGGUAGAGUUCAAGAGAGUAGAAUGCGUUUAGGAACGUGGAAUAUAGAAACCUUAACGGGAAAAUCUAUAGAAGUAGUGGAAGUUAUGGUGAGGAGAAGGAUAAAUAUUAUGUGCCUACAAGAAACUAAGUGGGUUGGUCUUAAGGCAAAGGAUCUAGAAAACUUAGGGUUUAAACUUUGGUAUUCGGGCACAAGUAGAACGAGAAACGGUGUUGGCAUCAUCUGUGGACAAGACCUUGACACAAGAUGUUGUAGAUGUCAAGAGGGUAGGAGAUAGAAUCAUGGCAAUCAAGAUUGUAAUAGGACAAGAACUCAUCAAUGUCAUUAGUGCGUACGCACCUCAAGUAGGGUUGGAUACGAGUUCGAAGGAGAAAUUUUGGGAAUACCUUGGAGACUUGGUGCUGGGAAUACCUUGGAGACUUGGUGCAAGGAAUUGCCCAGACGGAGAAGUUAUUUAUAGAGGAGAUUUAAAUGGACACGUGGGCAGGGAGACAGGCAACUAUAGAGGUUUUCAUGGUGGCCAUGGUUUUGGGGAGAGAAACGAGGAUGGGGAAGCUAUCUUGGAUUUUGCAAUGGCAUAUGAUCUCUUCUUAGCCAACACAUUCUUUAAGAAGAGAGAAGAACAUGUGAUCACCUACAAGAGUGGGUUGUCAAAAACACAAAUAGAUUUUCUUCUAAUGAGGAUAUGAGAUCGUAUAACUUGUAAGGAUUGCAAAGUUAUACCGGGAGAGAGCUUGGCUAAUUAACAUCGCUUGUUGGUGAUGGAUGUACAUAUCAAAAGAGUGAGAAAAAAGAACAAGACUUGGAAGUGCCCAAGGCCUAGAUGGUGGAAUCUAAAAGGAGAAAAACAAGCCAUUUUCAAAGAGAAAGUAAUCACCCAGUGUGGGUGGGAUAGAGAGGGGGAAGCUAGCUAAAUGUGGGAUUCCAUGGCUAGUUGUAUCCGAAAAGUAGCAAAAGAGGUAUUAGGAGAGUCCAAGGGCUUUGCCCCACACCAAAAGGAAUCUUGGUGGUGGAAUGAGGAGGUACAAACAAAGGUGAAGGCUAAGAAGGAAUGUUGUAAAGCCUUAUACAAGGACAGGACCGAUGAAAAUAGUGAAAGGUAUAGAAGAGCGAAGCAAGAGGCUAAGAAAGCUGUGAGAGAAGCUAAGUUAGCGGCUUAUGACGACAUGUAUAAGCGACUAGAUACCAAAGAAGGAGAGUUGGAUAUCUAUAAACUAGCUAGAGCAAGGGAAAAGAAGAUAAGGGACCUAAACCAAGUGAGGUGCAUCAAGGAUGAGGAUGGAAAGGUUCUUGCUACAGAGAAUGCGGUCAAAGACAGAUGGAGAGGUUAUUUUCAUAAUCUUUUCAAUGAAGGACAUGAAAGGAGUACUUCUUUAGGGGAGUUGAGUAAUUCAGAAGAGUGUAGAAACUACUCAUUUUAUCGUCGAAUCAGGAAGGAAAAAGUGGUUGUAGCUUUGAAGAAAAUGAAGCAUAGAAAAACAGUGGGCCCAGAUGAUAUAUCGAUCGAAGUGUGGAAAGUCUUGGGAGAGACAAGUAUAGCAUGGCUCACUGACCUUUUCAAUAGGAUUUUGAAAACGAAGAAGAUGCCAACUGAGUGGUGAAAGAGCACUUUGGUGCCUAUAUACAAGAAUAAGGGCGACGUACAAAAUUGCAUGAAUUAUAGGGGUAUUAAGCUAAUGAGCCAUACAAUGAAGCUCUGGGAGAGAGUCAUUGAGCAUAGAUUGAGGUAAGAGACACGGGUUUCGGACAACCAAUUCGGGUUCAUGCCAGGGCGCUCAACCAUGGAGGCAAUCUAUCUCUUACGAAGAUUGAUGGAAAGAUAUAGAGAUGGGAAAAAGGAUUUACACAUGGUCUUUAUAGAUUUGGAAAAAGCUUAUGAUAGGGUCCCAAGAGACAUUCUUUGGAGGAUUUUAGAGAAGGAAGAAGUACGAGCAGCAUAUAUCCAAGCUAUAAAGGAUAUGUAUGAAGGAGCAAAGACUGCCGUAAGAACUCAUGAAUGACAAACCGAAAGCUUCUCCAUAACUGUAGGAUUACAUCAAGGCUCAUCCUUAAGUCCUUACCUUUUUGCGUUGGUAAUGGAUGAGUUAACAGGACAUAUUCAAGAUGAUAUUCCUUGGUGUAUGCUUUCCGCAGAUGAUAUAGUGUUGAUAGAUGAAACUCAGGAAGGGGUAAAUGCGAAGCUUAACCUUUGGAGAGAAAUGUUGGAAUCUAAAGGUCUUCGCCUAAGCCGAUCAAAGAAAGAAUAUAUGGAGUGCAAGUUCAGUGCAAAUGGAGGCCAAAAUGAGUUAGGGGUGAGGAUCGGAGAUCAGGAAAUACCAAAGAGCGAUCGUUUUCGCUACUUAGGAUCUAUCUUGCAAAAGAACGGAGAAUUAGAUGGAGAUCUCAACCAUAGAAUACAAGCUGGAUGGAUGAAGUGGAAGAGUGCAUCCGGCGUGUUGUGUGACCGUCGUAUGCCACUGAAGCUCAAGGAAAAAUUUUAUAGGACAACAAUAAGGUCGGCGAUGCUGUAUGGCACAGAAUGUUGGGCGGUGAAGCAUCAACACGUACACAAAAUGGGUGUAGCGGAGAUGAGGAUGCUUCGUUGGAUGUGUGGGCACACGAGAAAUGAUAAGAUUAGGAAUGAGGAUAUCCGAGGUAAAGUAGGAGUAGCCGAAAUUGUACGAAAAUUGAGAGAAAAUUGGUUACAGUGGUUUGGACAUGUGCAAAGAAGGCCUACUGACGCUCCGGUUAGAAUAUGCGACUACAGGACAGAGGUUUAGGGCCGAAGGGGUAGAGGAAGACCUAGGAAAACUUUGGAAGAGACUCUAAGAAAAGACUUAGAGUAUUUGGAUCUAACGGAGGACAUGACACAGGACUGAGCACAAUGGCAUUCUAAGAUUCAUAUAGCCGACCCCACUCAGUGAAGAAGGCUUUGGUGUAUUUAACACAAUACGUUGAAAUGAAGCAAAACUUAUUUAUUGAUAUCUCCGAUAAGUUACAAAUAUGUACAUAUACAUGAGUCAAAAUAAACAAACAAGAGGGAGCCUUCACAAAGGUUGCUUAGGAGAAGUCUCAGCAGUUGGUAGAGCCCCAGAAAGAGAAGGCACCGGAGGGGUAUCAUUCGAAGCCUCAGUACUGGACAGAACCCUAGAAGGAGGAGGCAUCGAAGGUUGAUCAUUUGGAGCUUCAGUACGCGGUACAGCCCCAGAAGACGAAGGCAAUAAAUGCCUUUGGAACAAACCCACAAACCGCUGAUGAUCAAGUAAAACCUGACCAUCAGAUUCCUUCAUCUGGUCAAGCUUCCUCUUCAUGUUUGUAGCAUAGUCAUGUGCGAGCCGGUGCAACUGUUUAUUCUCAUGCUUGAGCCCUCUAAUCUCUUAUUUGAAACUCAUCACUUCAGCCGCCAAUGAUUCAACUUGGCAGGUUCGAGCAAAUAGGCGCUGGGCCAUAUUAGACACAGAACCUGCACACUGAACACUUAGAGCCAGAUAAUCCUUAACAGCCAACUCAUCAGACCGUUUGCAAAGUAAUCUGUUAUAUUUGGGAGUGAGAAAGUUCCUGGCCACCACCGCAGCAGUCAUAUCAUUCUUCAUCACGGAAUCCCCAACGGUAAGCGGACCAGUAGGGGAUAAGAAAGAUGGACGCCAUAUGUUGUCUGGAGAAGGCGUGGCUGCCUCUUCAACGAGGUUCAAGUCAAAACGACGGUCGGAGGGGCCAGAAAUUUUCAAAGGUGUUGAAGAGAGAAGUGGUCGGACAAAUCAAGAUCUUAGAAGUGCAAGAAUGGAGCUUCUACUGGUGAAGAUUCAAGUGUGCUUUGGAACUUAAUGUCAGCCUCUAUAAAAAUCUGCACUCGACGGAGCUUCAGAAAUCGAAGAGGCGCCUGCCCAGAAAUCGAAGAGGCAUUUGCUUUCUCAAAAGUUGGGCUGCUCAAAGACCACGAGGGUCGAUCUCAGAAAUCGAAGAGGCGUUUGCUUUCUCAAAAGCUGGGCUGCUCAAAGACCACGAAGGCCGAUCUCAGAAAUCGAAGAGGCACUUGCUUUCUCAAAAGCUGGGUUGCUUAGAGACCACGAAGGCCGAUCUCAGAAAUCGAAGAGGCACCUGCUUUUUUCAGCCUUGUCAGCACCUGUCACAUGCACACUCAGCUUUGCUGAAAUUACGGGCAUUCUGUUGAAUAUUUCUGGUGAAGUAGAAAGCACGUGAAUCUUAUUGUUCAAUCAUCCACUUUCCACACGCACCAUCAGCUCAUGGGUACCAUAGAUAACUUUGCCAAAGAUCUCUGACAAAGUUUAGACACGUGAAGCUUGCAGCUCCCACUACAUCGCUAUGAUCAAGAAGGGUAAAAGAAUAGCAAAGAAACAGCACUAACAAAGUUUAGAUACAUAAAUUUUGAAGGUCUAGCUACCAUAUUAUUACCUACAAGGGUAAAGGAACAGCACCGCUGCUGGAUAAUCGGAAAGUCCUUGUAUGUCAACCUAUGUGCUCUGUGGCAAGGUAGACUAGCAAACAUGCCCAAACUUUACUUACAUUCGAGAAAACACUCCCAACAAGAUUGCUUGCUCCAAAAUCGAAGAGGCACCGUCCUCUGAAUCUCGAGAGCCAGACUCCCAACAUGAUUACUUUCUCAAAAUUGAAGAGACACCGCUCUCCGAAUCUCGAGAGCUAGACUCCCAGCAGGAUUGCUCUCUCAAAAAUCGAAGAGGCACCGUUUUCCGAAUCUCGAGAGCCAGAUCUCCGACAAGAUUACUUGUACGAAAACCGAAAAGGCACCGCUUUCUCAACUUCAAGAGCCAGAUCUCCUUGGAUAAAGCUUGUCUGUAAUCUUCACACGCAACAUCAGCUUUCCAGAUACCACAGACCACUUUUUCAAAGUGCUCUGACACACGUGAAGCUAGCAACUCCCACUACCGUGCUAUGACCAAGCAGGGUAAAGGAAUAGUAUUACUACUUGUUGUUAGGGAAACUCCUAUAUAUGUCGACCUCCAUCCUCAACGGACAGGCAGACCUGCAAAAAUGCUCAACACUUCCUCAUAUCCGAGAGGGCACUCCCAACGAAGCCUCUCGAAAUACUCAGCUUUCUUUCCCCCCGAUAAUACCUCUGCAAACAAGCUACACCAGAGCAAGAAUAUCUCAUAUCAUCAGGGUUAAAAGCAAGAGUAUCCCAUAUCAUGCUUUUUCCCUGUCUUUUCCUUUGGCCUUGUUCUUACCUGCAAGACAAGGAGAAAGAGAGCAAUCAGUCAGCACUUGGAAUCAAGCUUCCAGUCAGGAACUGACUGCCUGGAACCCCUUACCUGAUUACUUACCUGGCAUUGCUCUCGAGUACCCAUCUUCAAAAUCUUAUGCUUCCAGAGAAGAUACCACAUCUGCCUGAGGAACAGAUAGGGAAAGUGAGAAGGAUACAAGGAAGCAUGUGGAGACAAACGUAACAGAACACGUGCCGAUACAUCCACUACUUUGUCAACAGCAAAAGUAUCUCAUAUCAGCAGGGUCGAACGUACUCUAGAUUUGAUGGACGUGUUUUGACCCUCAAAUUCUUCAGUCGGCCUUAUACUCUGGAAGAAACCAGAAAAUCCUCCAGCCCAGUUCAAGAAUAAGCCUGUGUAAAGUUACUUAUUCAAAAGCAAAAGUAUCUCAUAUCAUCUAUUCUCCUUUUCUUCUCUUUAUCCUUCAUGCUGCCUGCAAGAUAGGGAGAAUGAGAACAAUCAGCCGGAACUCGAAAUCAAACUUCUGAUCUGGGACUAAUUGCUUGGAGCUCUGAUUGCUUACCUUGUCUGUCACCUUUUUCAGCAUAUCCCCUAGCUCGGUGACUUGGGGGACUCCUACUACAUGGUUUGUAUCGCGCUUGACCAAGCCUGAAACUACAAGUAAGCUUCAAGUGAAUUUGAUACAUUACCUUGUGCAUCUCCACCAGUUAAAGAUACCACCCCUUGAUGGAGGAAGCGUACUUCCAGAGAAGAUGCCACAUCUACCUAUGAGACAGUUAAGGCAAGUGAAGACGAGAGCAUGCACCUAUGUGAUUUGUACUAAAUCAUUCACUUGUACUCACUAAAGGAGAGCUUGAACCUAUGUACUUGCGUAAACUCUUCACAAUUAAUGAGAACUCCUCUACUCCGUGGACGUAGCCAAUCUGGGCGAACCACGUACAUCUUGUGUUUGCUUUCUUGUCUCUAUCCAUUUACAUACUUAUCCACAUUAAUGACCAGAGCAAUCUAGCGAAGAUCACAAACUUAAUACUCUCUGUUGUACCAAAGUCCUCACUGAUUUUGUGCAUCAACAAUCCUUAAGUCUUUACAUUUUUGCGUUGGUAAUGGAUGAGUUAAUAGGACAUAUUCAAGAUGAUAUUCCUUGGUGUAUGCUUUUCGCAGAUGAUAUAGUGUUGAUAGAUGAAACUCAUACGGGGUAAAUGCGAAACUUAACUUUUGGAGAGAAGUGUUGGAAUCUAAAGGUCUUCGCCUAAGCCGAUCAAAGACAGAAUAUAUGAAGUGCAUGUUCAUUACAAAUGGAGGCCAAAAUGAGUUAUGGGUGAGGAUCGGAGAUCAGGAAAUACCAAAGAGCGACCGUUUUCGCUACCUAGGAUCUAUAUUGCAAAAGAAUGGAGAAUUAGAUGGAGAUCUCAACCAUAGAAUACAAGCUGGAUGGAUGAAGUGGAAUAGUGCUUCUGGCGUGUUGUGUAACCGUCGUAGGCCACUAAAGCUCAAGGAAAAAUUUUAUAGGACGGUAAUAAGGCCGACGAUGCUGUAUGGCACAGAAUGUUGGGCAGUGAAGCAUCAACACGUACACAAAAUGGGUUUAGACAUGUACAAAGAAGGCCUACUGACGCUCCGGUUCGAAGAUGGGACUACGAGAUAGAGGUUCAGGGCCGAAGGGGUAGAGGUAAACCUAGGAAAACUUUGGAAGAGACCCUAAGAAAAGACUUAGAGUACUUUGAUCUAACGGAGGAUAUGACACAAAAUUGCGCACAAUGGCGUUCUAGGAUUCAUAUAGCCGACCUCACUUAGUGGGAAAAGGCUUUGUUGUUGUUGUUGUAUGAGGAUUCUUGCAUUGAACAUUUUCAUUGUUGAAUUUUCACAGAAUGAUGCUGGUGGUGGUUUAGUGUUCUGGCAUCCAAAGGGUGCUAUUGUGAGGCAUGUAAUGGAAGAUUUGUGGAAAAAGAUUCACAUAGAACGUGGUUACAAUCUGCUUAUACUCCACAUGUUGCAAAGGCGAACCUUUGGCAGAUAAGUGGUCAUCUGGAUUACUACAAGGAGAAUAUGUAUGAUCAAAUGAAUGUUGAGGAUGAACUUUAUCAGCUUCGACCGAUGAACUGCCCCUAUCAUAUCUUGGUUUACAGAAAGAAGCCUUACUCAUAUCAUGAAUUUCCUAUUCAAGUUGUUGAGUUGGGAACCGUUUAUAGAUACGAAUUAUCUGGAAGCUUGCAUGGUCUUUUUCGUGUAAGAGGUUUUACUCAGGUACAGUGUUAGUAUUUGCAAACUAUUAGUCUAUAAUCCUUGGUGUAUGAAGUGUUUUUUUUUUUUUUAACCUCAGGACUUGUUGCAGGAUGAUGCCCACAUAUUUUUUCAAGAAGAUCAGAUCAAAGAUGAAAUUAAGGGUGUCCUAGAUCUUACCGAAUAACUUUUGUUGCAAUUCGGCUUCAGCAAAUAUGAGGUCAAUCUCUCUUCGAGGCCAGAGAAAGCUGUUGGAGAUGGUGAUAUAUGGGUGAAAGGCAACAUCUGCCCUUACUCCUUAGAGAUGCUUUGGAUGAUAAAGGUUGGAGCUAUCAAAUUGAUGAAGGUGGUGGUGCCUUUUAUGGUCCAAAGAUUGAUCUUAAGAUUGAGGAUGCCCUUGGAAGGAGGUGGCAGUGCUCAACUAUACAAGUUAAUCCUGAACUCAUGACGGGAUAAUUCUAAUGUACGCUUUGUUUUUUAAUUGGUAGUCUCUAUGUCUAUCUCCGUAUCACUUUGUAAAAUGUUCAUUGGAGAUUUGAGCAUCUUUUUUUAAUUGAGCGAAUUACAUGGAUUUGUUUGCUAGAGUAAAGCCACUUAUUAUUGUUAUUUUAAAUUGUUUGAUCUUUUGUACUUCCCAAAUUGUACAAGUUGAUUUUCCAUUAUGGCUUUCGCCAAUACAAGCUCAUGUUUUACCAGUUACUGACUCUCAGGUUUGUAAAGCAGUUGCACGUUUAAUGUUUCAAUUAACUCAAGGACCCUCAACACACCUGCACGACGGUUACCUGGGCUAUGACCCCUGACUCUCCUCCCAGUGAUUCGACUCCUUUGUCGACUCCGAGUCGCUCAAGGACUCCACCACCGAUUCCCCAAUCUUCCACGGCUCCACCAUAGACGACGCUUUCGAACGGCCAGGGCUUUGAUGGAGGGUUUGGCGGGUCCGACGAUCCCAUUUUGCCGGUUCCGUCUGAGAUACUGCCUGAGGAGGGCUUCGCUCUCAGAAAAUGGAGGAGGUAGGAUCUCGAAUUCUAAUUGUUUUCAAUUGAACCGAUAGUUCUGUAUAGCAAUUAAAUUUUGACUCUUUUGUGCAAUUUAGUUGAAAGUUGUUGGUUUUGAUUUGGCUUGAUCUUUCUGUUGAUGAGAAAUUAGGUGGAAAUUGUUGUUUUGAUUUCGAUAGUUUUCAAGAAUUGCAUGCUUAGUGAUCAGCAAUCGUCUGGCUUUAUCGGGUAAGGAGAUAAAGCAAUUAAAUUUCAAAAUUUGGAUUUACAGUUCGUAUUUUGAGCCUGAAUUCAUGAAAACAAACAUAACCCAUUAUUUAUUAGCGAUUAAUGAUCUGAUUAAUUUAGUUUUUAAUCAUAAUCAAUAGCAUGUAGCUUUAAUGGAAGUGGGGUUUGGGAAAUUGGCUAGCACCCAUUUUGCUUUUUGUUUGUCUGCUUUCCAUUUCUCCUCUCUCUUGCCAUCUUCUUUGUAUUUUGGCUACUUCUCUCUCCCGCACUCCCUUUUUAACUCUUGGUUCUGUGGUUCUCCGGCUGCCGUUAGGUUUUUGUGGUCGAACAACGAUGGAAUCCGAGGAUGAUGACUACUACAGCAACGACAAUGACUCCUAGAAAUUUUUAUUUUGAAUUCGGAAUUGGUUUGAUUGAAGCCCCCUAAUUGAUUGUAUUUAGGUUGGAUUUUUAUGCAUCAGGAAUUUCAAUUGAAGCCUCCUAAUUGGAUAAUGUUUUUCCCAUGUUAGGCUUCUCUGAUUGAGGUGAUACAGAUACCAAAUUGGAGCGGUGCUGUUAGUGGAGGAAUCUGGUAGAAACGAUGAGUUUGUAGAUUGAAUUUGUAUAUGAUGAUAAUAAAAAAUGAUAUGUUGUUUUCGUAAUUCUUUUUGCUUUCAAAGUUUAUUGCUUGGUUGUGUUCGUAACCUCUGGGUUCUUACGGUUCUUUGUCUCUCUUACUUCAGAUUCUUUGUGUUUUUUAUCAUUCGUUUGUGAAGAAAUGGGUCGUACGUAGUGGUAAGGCUCUGAGGAAGGCACUUGCCACCAAGGUGCGUUUCGUUUGGGUUUCUGAUGUCUAGAAAAUUAGAAUUGAUAAUUGCAAGCAAUUUUUUCCGAGAAACAAUCAGAUUAUUGAAUCUAAGUUGCUAAUUGUUUUAAUUUUGUAUAUGCUGCAAUUAAAUCAGCACCCGCAACUGAAGGUGUCAAGAAGCCUGACUGCUACCGCCUUGGAAUCGUCAUUUUUCGGUAAGUUUUCAACACAAUAUAGUUCAAAUCCUCUGAAUCAUGUUCUUGAAUUUUACUAUAUGUAUCGUGUUCUUUGCAUUUCGUUAUCUGAAAUUUGUUCUUUGAAUUUGGUUACCAGAAUCGUGCCUAAUGUUUGAUGUGGCCAGUGGCUUUGUAUGGUUGGCUGGUGUGAUUUGGGAGUGUUUUUAGUUAAUGGCAGACAUAGGACAAAGGUGUGGGGCAGCGAAGUCAAGUGGGAUUAGGAAUUUAGGAUAGUAGACUGUUUGCUAAUUUAUGGGAUUAGAAGUCUUCCUUUAUUUUUUCUCUUCAUGUAACAACAACAACAACAACAAAGCCUUUUCCCACUAAGUGGGGUCGGCUAUAUGAAUCCUAGAACGCCAUUACGCUCGGUUUUGCACAUGUCCAAACCCAUUUUGUGUACGUGUUGAUGCUUCACCACCCAACAUUCUGUGCCAUACAUCAUCGCCGGCCUUAUUGCCGUCCUAUAAAAUUUUCCCUUGAACUUCAGUGGCCUACGACGGUCACACAACACGCCGGAUGCACUCUUCCACUUCAUCCAUCCAGCUUGUCUUCUAUGGUUGAGAUCUCCAUCUAAUUCUCCGUUCUUUUGCAAGAUAGAUCCUAGGUAGCGAAAACGGUCGCUCUUUGGUAUUACAUGAUUUUCGAUCCUCGCCCCUAACUCAUUUUGGCCUCCAUUUGCACUGAGCUUGCACUCCAUAUAUUCUAUCUUUGAUCGACUUAGGCGAAGACCUUUAGAUUCCAACACUUGUCUCCAAAGGUUAAGCUUCGCAUUGACCCCUCAUGAGUUUCAUCUAUCAACACUAUAUCAUUUGCGAGAAGCAUACACCAAGGAAUAUCAUCUUGAAUAUGUCCGGUUAACUCAUCCAUUACCAACGUAAAAGGGUAAGGACUUAAGGAUUGUUGAUGCACAAAAUCAGUGAGGACUUUGGUACAACAGAAAGUAUUAAGUUAUUGCUCUGGUCAUUAGUGUGGAUAAGUAUGUAAAAGGAUAGAGAUAGGAAAGCAAACAUAAAAUGUACGUAGUUCACCCAGAAAGUAACUUUCCACAGGCUUAUUCUUGAACUGGGCUGGAGGGAUUUCUGGUUUCCUCCAGAGUAUAAGGCCGAUUGAAGAAUUUGAGGGUCAAAACAAGUCCAUCAAAUCUAGAGUACGUUCGACCCUGCUGAUAUGAGAUACUUUUGCUGUUGACAAAGUAGUGGAUGUAUCGGCACGCGUUCUGUUACGCUUGUCUCCAUAUGCUUCCUUGUAUCCUUCUCACUGUCCUUAUCGGUUCCUCAGGCAGAUGUGGUAUCUUCUCUGGAAGCAUAAGAUGUUGAAGAUGAGUACUCGAGAGCAGUGCCAGGUAAGUAAUCAGGUAAGGGUUCCAGGCAGUCAGUUCCUGACUGGAAGCUUGAUUCCAAGUGCUGACUGAUUGCUCUCUUUCUCCUUGUCUUUUGCAGGUAAGAACAAGGCCAAAGGAAAAGACAGGGAAAAAACAUGAUAUGGGAUACUCUUGCUUUUAACCCUGAUGAUAUGAGAUAUUCUUGCUUUGGUGUAGCUUGUUUGCAGAGGUAUUAUCGGAGGGAAAGAAAGCUGAGUAUUUCGAGAGACUUCUUUGGGAGUGCCCUCUCAGAUAUGAGGAAGGGUUGAGCAUUUUUGCAGGUCUGCCUGUCCGUUGAAGAUGAAGGUCGACAUAUAUAGGAGUCUCCCUAACAACAAGUAGUAAUGCUAUUCCUUUACCUUGCUUGGUCAUAGCACGGUAGUGGGAGCUGCCAGCUUCAUGUGUGUCAGAGCACUUUGAAAAAGUGGUAUGUGGUAUCUGGAAAGCUGAUGUUGCGUGUGAAGAUUAGACACAAGCUUUAUCCAAGGAGAUCUGGCUCUCGAAGUUGAGAAAGCGGUGCCUCUUCGGUUUUCAAACAAGCAAUCCUGCGGGGAUCUGGCUCUCAAUAUUCGGAGAACGGUGCCUCUUCGAUUUUUGAGAGAGCAAUCCUGCUGGGAGUCUGGCUCUCGAGAUUCGGAGAGCGAUGUCUCUUCGAUUUUGAGAAAUUAAUCAUGUUGGGAGUCUGGCUCUCAAGAUUCGGAGAACAGUGCCUCUUCAAUUUUAGAGCAAGCAAUCUUGUUGGGAGUGUUUUCUCGAAUGUGAGUAAAGGCAGGGCAUGUUUGCUAGUCUACCUUGCCACGGAGCACAGAGGUUGACACACAGGGACUUUCUAAUUAUCCAGCAGUGGUGCUGUUCCUUUACCCUUGUGGAUAAUAAUAUGAUAGCUAGACAUUCAAAAUUUAUGUGUCUAAACUUUGUUAGUGCUGUUUCUUUGCUAUUCUUUUACCCUUCUUGAUCAUAGCGAUGUAGUGGGAGCUGCAAGCUUCACGUGUUUAAACUUUGUCAAAGAUCUUUGACAAAGUUAUCUGUGGUACCCCUGAGCUGAUGGUGCGUGUGAAAAGUGGAUGAUUGAAUAGUAAGAUUCAUGUGCUUUUUACUUCACCAGAAAUCUUCAACAGAAUGCCCGUAAUUUCAGCAAAGCUGAGUGUGCAUGUGACAGGUGCUGACAAGGCUGAAAAAAGUAGGUGCCUCUUCGAUUUCUAAGAUCGACCCUCGUGGUCUCUAAGCAACCUAGCUUUUGAGAAAGCAAGCCUCUUCGAUUUCUAAGAUCGGUCUUCGCGGUCUUUUAGCAGCUCAGCUUUUAAGAAAGCAAACGCCUCUUCGAUUUCUGAGAUCGGCCCUCAUGGUCUCUGAGCAGCCUAGCUUUUGAGAAAGCAAACGCCUCUUCGAUUUCUGGGCAGACGCCUCUUCGAUUUUUUAAGCUCCGUCGAGUGCAGAUUUUUAUAGCGGCUGGCAUUAAGUUUCAAAGCACACUUGAAUCUUCACCAGGAGAAGCUCCCUUCUUGCACUUCUAAAAUCUUGAUUUGUCCGACCUCUUCUCUCUUCAACACCUUUGAAAAUGUCUGGCCCAUCCGACCGUCGUUUUGACUUGAACCUUGUUGAAGAGGCAGCCACGCCUUCUCUAGACAACAUAUGGCGCCCAUCCUUCUUAUCCCCUACUGGUCAUCUUACCGUUGGGGAUUCCGUGAUGAAGAAUGAUAUGACCGCUACGGUGGUGACCAUGAACCUUCUCACUCCCAAAGAUAACAGACUAUUUUCCAAACGGUCUAAUGAAUUGGCUGUUAAGGAUUCUCUGGCUCUGAGUAUUCAGUGUGCAGGUUCUGUGUCUAAUAUGGCCCAACGCCUAUUUGCUCUAACCCGCCAAGUUGAAUCAUUGGCAGCUGAAAUGAUGAGUCUCAAACAAGAAAUUAGAGGGCUCAAGCAUGAGAAUAAACAGUUGCACCGGCUCGCACAUAACUAUGCUAUAAACAUGAAGUGGAAGCUUAACCAGAUGAAGGAAUCUGAUGGUCAGGUUUUACUUGAUCAUCAGCGGUUUGUGGGUUUGUUCCAAAGGCAUUUAUUGCCUUCGUCUUCUGGGGCUGUACCGCAUAAUGAAGCUCCAAAUGAUCAACCUCCGAUGCCUCCUCCUUCUAGGGUUCUGUCCAAUACUGAGGCUCCUAAUGAUCCCCCUCCGAUGCCUUCUCUUUCUAGAGCUCUACCAACUGCUGAGACUUCUCCUAAGCAACCUUUAUGAAGGCUCCCUCUUGUUUGUUUAUUUUGACUCAUGUAUAUGUACAUAUUUGUAACUUAUCGGAGAUAUCAAUAACUAAGCUUUGCUUCAUUUCCAACGUAUUGUGUUAAAUACACCAAAGCCUUCUUCAUUGAGUGGAGUCCGCUAUAUGAAUCUUAGAACGCCAUUGUGCUCGGUCCUGUGUCAUGUCCUCCGUUAGAUCCAAAUACUCUAAGUCUUUUCUUAGAGACUCUUCCAAAGUUUUCCUAGGUCUUCCUCUACCCCUUCGGCCCUGAACCUCUGUCCCGUAGUAACAUCUUCUAACCGGAGCGUCAGUAGGCCUUUUUUGCACAUGUCCAAACCACCGUAACCGAUUUUCUCUCAACUUUCCUACAAUUUCGGCUACUCCUACUUUACCUCGGAUAUCCUCAUUCCUAAUCUUAUCCUUUCUCGUGUGCCCACACAUCCAACGAAGCAUCCUCAUCUCCGCUACACCCAUUUUGUGUACGUGUUAAUGCUUCACCGCCCAACAUUCUGUGCCAUACAGCAUCGCCGACCUUAUUGUCGUCCUAUAAAAUUUUCCCUUGAGCUUCAGUGGCAUACGGCGGUCACACAACACGCCGGAUGCACUCUUCCACUUCAUCCAUCUAGCUUGUAUUCUAUGGUUGAGAUCUCCAUCUAAUUCUCCGUUCUUUUGCAAGAUAGAUUCUAAGUAGCGAAAACGAUCGCUCUUUGGUAUUUCCUGAUCUCCGAUCCUCACCCCUAACUCAUUUUGGCCUCCAUUUGCACUAAACUUGCACUUCAUAUAUUCUGUCUUUGAUCGGCUUAGGCGAAGACCUUUAGAUUCCAACAGUUGUCUCCAAAGGUUAAGCUUCGCAUUUACCCCUUCCUGAGUUUCAUCUAUCAAUACUAUAUCGUCUGCGAAAAGCAUACACCAAGGAAUAUCAUCUUGAAUAUGUCAUGUUAACUCAUCCAUUACCAACGCAAAAAGGUAAGGACUUAAGGAUGAGCCUUGAUGUAAUCCUACAAUUAUGGAGAAGCUUUCGGUUUGUCAUUCAUGAGUUCUUACGGCAGUCUUUGCUCCUUCAUACAUAUCCUUUAUAGCUUGGAUAUAUGCUACUCGUACUCCUUCAUUCUCUAAAAUCCUCAAAAGAAUGUCUCUUGGGACCCUAUCAUAAGCUUUUUCCAAAUCUAUAAAGACCAUGUGUAAAUCCUUUUUCCCAUCUCUAUAUCUUUCCAUCAAUCUUCGUAAGAGAUAGAUUGCCUCCAUGGUUGAGCGCCCUGGCAUGAACCCGAAUUGGUUGUCCGAAACCCGUGUCACUUACCUCAAUCUAUGCUCAAUGACUCUCUCCCAAAGCUUCAUUGUAUGACUCAUUAGCUUAAUACCCCUAUAGUUCAUGCAAUUUUGUACGUUGCCCUUAUUCUUGUAGAUAGGCACCAAAGUGCUCUUUCGCCACUCAUUUGGCAUCUUCUUCGUUUUCAAAAUCCUAUUGAAAAGGUCAGUGAGCCAUGCUAUACCUGUCUCUCCCAAGACUUUCCACACUUCGAUCGGUAUAUUGUCUAGGCCCACUGCUUUAUAAUGCUUCAUCUUCUUCAAAGCUACAACCACUUCUUCUUUCCUGAUUCGACGAUAAAAUGAGUAGUUUCUACACUCUUCUGAGUUACUCAACUCCCCUAAAGAAGUACUCCUUUCAUGUCCUUCAUUAAAAAGAUUAUGAAAAUAACCUCUCCAUCUGUCUUUGACCGCGUUCUCUGUAGCAAGAACCUUUCCAUCCUCAUCCUUGAUGCACCUCACUUGGUUUAGGUCCCUUGUCUUCUUUUCCCUUGCUCUAGCUAGUUUAUAGAUAUCUAACUCUCCUUCUUUGGUAUCUAGUCGCUUAUACAUAUCGUCAUAAGCCGCUAACUUAGCUUCUCUCACAACUUUCUUCGCCUCUUGCUUCGCUCUUCUAUACCUUUCACCAUUUUCAUCGGUCAUGUCCUUGUAUAAGGCUUUACAACAUUCCUUCUUAGCCUUCACCUUUGUUUGUACCUCCUCAUUCCACCACCAAGAUUCCUUUUGGUAUGGAGCAAAGCCCUUAGACUCUCCUAAUACCUCUUUUGCUACUUUUCGGAUACAACUAGCCAUGGAAUCCCACCUUUGGCUAGCUUCCCCCUCUCUAUCCCACCCAUACUGGGUGAUUACUUUCUCUUUGAAAAUGACUUGUUUUUCUCCUUUUAGAUUCCACCAUCUAGUCCUUGGGCACUUCCAAGUCUUGUUCUUUUUUUCUCACUCUUUUGAUAUGUACAUCCAUCACCAACAAGCGAUGUUAAUUAGCCAAGCUCUCUCCCGGUAUAACUUUGCAAUCCUUACAAGUUAUACGAUCCCCUUUCCUCAUUAGAAGAAAAUCUAUUUGUGUUUUUGACGACCCACUCUUGUAAGUGAUCACAUGUUCUUCUCUCUUCUUAAAGAAGGUGUUGGCUAAGAAGAGAUCAUAUGCCAUUGCAAAAUCCAAGAUAGCUUCCCCAUCCUCGUUUCUCUCCCCAAAACCAUGGCCACCAUGAAAACCUCCAUAGUUGCCUGUCUCCCUGCCCACGUGUCCAUUUAAAUCUCCUUCUAUAAAUAACUUCUCCGUCUGGGCAAUUCCUUGCACCAAGUCUCCAAGGUCUUCCCAAAAUUUCUCCUUCGAACUCGUAUCAAACCCUACUUGAGGUGCAUACGCACUAAUCACAUUGAUGAGUUCUUGUCCUAUUACAAUCUUGAUUGCCAUGAUUCUAUCUCCUACCCUCUUGACAUUUACAACAUCUUGUGUCAAGGUCUUGUCCACGAUGAUGCCAACACCGUUUCUCGUUCUAUUUGUGCCCGAAUACCAAAGUUUAAACCCUGAGUUUUCUAGAUCCUUUGCCUUAAGACCAACCCACUUAGUUUCUUGUAGGAACAUAAUAUUUAUCCUUCUCUUCACCAUAACUUCCACUACUUCCUUAGAUUUUCCGGUUAAGGUUCCUAUAUUCCACGUUCCUAAAUGCAUUCUGCUAUCUUGAACUCUACCUUUCUGUCCUAGCUUCUUCACCCUCCCCCGUCCAAUAGAAUCAAAGUACUUCUUUUGUGUGUCCUGUGUAAAGUUGAUAGGAGCAUAUGCUCCCAAACAACUUUGAGUGGAGUCGUUCGAAAAGAAGUUUAUAUGGCCCCCUUGCUCAUUUAACACUGCAUCUAGGUGCUGAUGGAGAUACGGCAACCCUUGCUCACUUAUCACUAUGCUCGGGCCACACAACGCGCCAUUUACGGGUGACGCCCUAGCUUUAGCGCGAUUUCGUGCGAUGAAAAAAAAAAGGUGAGUAAUUUUAACUCUAGUUUGAGGUAAUAACAUGUGAAUUUUUCGUAUUACUGGUUUUUCCCUUUCUAUUAAAAACAACCUUUGAUUUCUUUGAUAGUGCGUUUUUCUAUCUGUGCUAUUGUUGAACUCCCCCAGUUAUCAGUUUUGACUCAAAAAAAAUAUUCGAUGAUAACAUGCAUUGAAUAUUGGCUAAAAUUAUAUUGAAAUUUGCUGGCCGAAGCAGAUAUCGUUAAAAGAGCUCUAAGUCACCCUCUGAAAUUAAUUGCCAAAAGUGAUGUUGUAAAUGGAAGAGUUGUUAGUGAGAAGGCAUUUUUUUUCGUUUCACUUUAUAGACUAUGCUCACUAUCUGUUUAAUAUGUUUCAUCGUAUUAAUUAAAGUCUCAUUUCUCAGGUGCUUUCAAGUGACAACCCCAACUAUGGAUGCAUGCUGCCACUGGAAACUAUGAAAAUUUCAUGGUUGCUGGGAUCACUGAUCCAACUAAAGUGGGUUUCUUUAUCAAGUACUUCAUGAAUAGAAUAUUUUGGAGAUCCUAUCGCUGGGACAGAUUGAAGAAGAUGAAGAUCACAAGGGUGGGAUACUGGGGAGGGUGGUAGGGUUAUGAGGAGUGGGCUCUGGUUGGUUUCGAUUUGACCAAUGUCAUGGUUCGAUGGAAUCGAGGUGAUGGGGAUGAUUCAUGAGGUCACAACCACAAGAUGUAGGGCCUACGCGUGGGGUUUAGGGGUUUCACAUAGAGGCUUACAGAGGGAGGGGGUGCACACGUGAAUUGCAGAGGGAGAGGGAGAAAGAGGGGGAGUAGGGUUGCUAUAUUCAAGUUCUCUUUUUUAUUUUUACUUGAAUUUGAUUUGAUUCUUUUUUUUUUUUGCGACAGGUUGAGAAUGCGAAAGCUCAGCUGGAGGUGGAGGUGAGAAUUUUAAUUUAAUUCAUGGUAUAUCUUUUUUUUUUUGUGGGAUUGUGCUGUUUUUGGGAAAACAAUAUUAAAUUGAAGUUUAGAUAUUUCUGUAAUUGGGAUUUAGAGUAAGAGAUGAAGAACUAUAUGUGAUUGCAAAUUUAAAAGUUUAGAACUUUUUUGGUUUGGAAGCUAAUUUUAAAUUCAGCUAGCUGAUUAAUUAAUAGAGAAAUUAUAACGAAUGUGUGAUACGUUUUUCAAUGCGUAUGAGCAGACAUGGGUACUGCUUCAGCGGCAGCAGCUGCUAUAUGAUGGUAGAUGAGGAAUUCUGAGAUGCUGAGUGCUCUUAGUGUCAGAGAUGAAGACUUGAUAAUGAUCGUUCCAAUUCUGCCUCAAGGUAUACUUGAUAAUGUUGUCCUUUAUGUGCAAUUCACUGUAUGAUGCUCGUUCCUUUAAUGAGCCUGUCAAUAUAUUUCAAUGCACCCACCAAUUGGUUUUAUCAUCAUACAUCAUUCGUGAGAAAUGGGAUGGUGAGUUUCUCAAUACAGUUUUAAUUUUUGUGCGAAUAAUGUUUGUAAAAAGUCUGUUUUUAUUUAGUUCAUUGCAGAUUCUUAUUCUUUUAUUUAGUUCACGAUUCAUGCUUUUAAAGAUAAGAAGUGCAAGGCUCUCUCGGAUGUUAGUUUUGGGUGGCAAUUGAAAGAUACGAGGACAAACAAAAAUACCUACCAAUUGAAAGGAUAAAUUCAAUUGAAAAUAUUUGGUUCAUCAAUUAUUAUAGUUUGAGCUUUCUGCAUUAAAUGUCCAGUUUUCGGGAAGAGUGAUUCAUGUAAUUGGGUUUUAUUAAAAUUUUCAUGAUUUUAUACAGUUUUUCGUUUAAAUUUGUGGAUUCAUAAACACUUUUAUGAGUGUUAAUUUCUGUUCGUAUGUCUAAAAUUUGUUUGGAAUUUGGCUGUUUCUUCAAUUUCAUCACCACCUAUUCUCACAACUUCAUUUAAAGUGUUUUGCAUGUAUAAGAUUCAUAUUCAUGGAGGUCAUUUCAAACGGAUUUCAAGCUGAGCUGCAGAAAUUUGAUUCAAAUUGGUGGAUUUGGGUAAGAAACUAAGAAACCAUUAUCUUUUGUUUCGGUUUUAAGAACUGAAUUUAAUGGUUAAGUUUAUGUUUCAAGAUUAUCUUCCUUUCUCCUAAAUACUGAGUUUUAUGAGAUUACAUUUGGCAAGUCUGAAAACGGAUUAGAAAUACAGAGUUUUAUGAGAUCUAUUUGGCAAGAUUAUCUUCCUUUGUCCUAAAUACUGAGUUUUAUGAGAUCUAUUUGGCAAGUCUGAAAGUGGAUUGCGUAUGUUUAUAUCUCCCUUUCUUCUAAAUACUGAGUUUUAUGAGAUCACACCAUCUUAUGUUUAUUGUAUAAUCUUAUGCAGUCAGAAGAAUUAUCAUCUUUUUCCUUUUAGAUUUCAACAUAUUUGGAAAUACUUCAAAUUUUUUGUAGUGUAGUUUGUACUUGUAGUUUACAUGAUUACGUAAGUUCUAUUUCUUUAGUAAAUUUUUAUGCAGGAAAGAAAGUCAUUUCUCAGUUUAUAGUUAACAUGAUUACAUAAGUUAUGCUUAUCUUAUCAACCUCAUUCACUCGUAUGUUGCUCUGUUCAUUCAUGAUUGUGUUAAAUUUAUUCAGGUUAAAAGUGUCUUAUUCAUGCAGUUACGCAUGAAACAGUUGUUCCCGCGGCAACACGUGGGCUUAUUUUCUAGUUCCAAUGUAAACCUAGAGACGAAACGAGGUCAUAUAUUACAAAGACAUAUUCUAAAACAGCCUUAGCUCAGAGAAUAAAAAAAGGAAAACUAAUGAAAAUGGCUUGAAAACUUUGAGUUUUAACGAUAUGGACAAAAUAAAGGGUAAAGUGAACAGUAUCAGGUUUGACUUUUUAGUGUAAAAAUGUGAUUUUUCGUUAAAGUAAACAGUACAGCAGACUUUUCGUUAAAACUCCCAAUAAAAAAAACCAUGCAGUGAAAACAUCUAAGGGAAACGAGUUGAUCCUCAAUAAACGCCUCAAUAGAAUGACAUCUUUGUUAAAGCAUCUGUUAUAAAAUUAGCUUCAUCUAAAACAUGAUAGAAGCUGAUAUGAUCAAGCAUACCAUGUUUGCCAACAUAAAAGAAGGAUCUUUCCAAGUUUAGGAAGGUGGGAGUUGCCAAAGAGAAACCGAUUUGAGCCGCAUUUUCUUCAAAUAUCUCAGGCAAACGGUCGGCUGACAAAAUGCAGUCAAUGGCUUCAACAUCUUGAGAAUAAAAGGCACAACUAGGAUCAAUUGGUUGUACUUCAUAUAGGGAUAAGACUUGAGUCUCGUCUUUCACAUAUGUUUACUUGUUCAUUCCGGCCAUUAUAUGGUACAACACUGAACAUAGAGUACAACUUUUCCGGCCUCUAAGUCCGGAACCCUCCCAAACAUUGGACACUACAAUACCAAAAUAAAGCAAUAAAAUACAACAGUACAAUACAAUAUAGUUAAAAGCAAUCCAUCUUAGUACAGACUCAAUCGGAUGAAUCAACGGAGCCCUAGUGUUCAAGCUUCCAUCCUUGCGGUAAACUUAAGUGGUGGCUUCAAGAAAUGGAUAAUCAGUGUAACCAAUGACGGGAUCAGUGUGUAAAAUGUCUCUCUGUUGUACUUGUUUAGAGGAGCAUUAAGUUCAAAUCUCUUUGGCAAAUCCGGAUUCGCCAAGAAAAUACGGCCAUAAGCAAUAAGAUCUGCACGGCCCUCGCCCACAGCUCUGUUUCCAUCUUCCCUGUGAUAACUGUAAAUCAUUGUGUAUGUUGAUGAAGAAAGAAUAUGCAGGAAGAAAGACAGAGAGAAAUGUAGAAGAAUAAGAGAGUAAGAGAGUUUAGAGAGUAGAGAGAGAAUCAAGAAUUGUAUUUUCUUUCUAGUUAGUUACAACUGACUAUUACAACAUGUAUUUAUUUGUAUUGGUAGCUUACACUCUAAGCCACACAAUAACCACCUUAACUAACUCUUAUAUCACAGCUAUAGAAUCUUAGUACACCUAUCAUCCCCCCUCAAGCUCAGGGGCAGAGAAAUUGAGCCUGAGAUUGGCACAAUGAGUCUGAAAGAGUGGUGUAGAAAGACCCUUGGUGAGGAUAUCUGCAAACUGCUCAGUAGACGAUACAAACUGAACAUGUAGUUGCUGUUUUGCAACCCUUUCUCGAACAAAAUGGACAUCAACCUCAAUAUGUUUCGUACGUUGAUGUUGAAUUGGAUUGCAAGUCAGUGCAAUUGCAGACAGGUUGUCACAGAAAAGUAAUGGGGGCUCGGCCAAAGGAAUCUGCAAGAACGACAACAGAGAUUUAAUCCAAUCCAAUUCAGCCGCUGUAGUAGAGAGAGCUCGAUAUUCAGCCUCAGUUGAUGAGCGAGAGACAGUGUGUUGUUUCUUAUACAUCCAUGAAAUGGGAUUAGACCCCAAGAACACCACCAUUCCAGUUGUGGACCGUCUAUCGUUCGGAUCACCCGCCCAGUCUGCAUCACUAUAGGCAGUAAGAUCAAGGGAACCUCGAAUAUACUGAAUACCACAGCCUCGAGUAGCCUUUAAGUACCUAAGAAUCCGUUUGACAGCCAUAAAGUGGGAGUCCAUUGGUCGCUGCAUAAACUGGCAGACCUGAUGCACUGCGAAAACAAUGUCAGGCCGCGUAAAAGUCAAGUACUGGAGAGCACCAACCAAGCUCCUGUACAUUGUAGGAUUAUUAUAAGGCUUGCCAUCAUUGCUGAGAAGACGGUUGUAAGGCAAACAUGGAGUAUCACACGGUUUGGACAAUAGCAUAUCAGAUUUAGUAAGCAGAUCCGUAACAUACUUGUCUUGAGAGAGAAACAAACCAUUCUUGUUCUGUACAAUUUGAAUGCCUAGAAAAUAAUGAAGAGGUCCCAAGUCUUUCAUAUCAAACUCAUGAGUAAGAGCUUGAAUAACCUCAGUGAUAGCUUGUGGAUGGCUGCCUGUGAUGAUAAUAUCAUCAACAUACAACAACAGAAUCACCACAUAUGUGUCAACAGUUUUUACAAAUAAAGAUGAAUCUGCAAAUGUAGACUUGAACCCUAAGGAAGGUAGAAAAGUAGUGAACCUUUCAUUCCACCUGUGGUGCCUGUUUCAACCCAUAAAGCGAUUUAUGUAAUCGACAAACAUAAUCUUCAUGUUUAAGAUCAACAAACCCAGGUGGCUGUGUCAUGUAGACCUCUUUCUUGUAAAUAUGCCAUGGAGGAAGGCAUUUUUCACAUCUAAUUGUCUCAAUGUCCAACCAAAGUUUGCUGAUAAAGCUAGAACGAUUCUCACUGUUGUAGGUUUAACAACAGGGCUAAAAGUCUCUCCAUAAUCGAUUCCUUCUUCUUGAUUAAAGCCUUUUGCCACCAGCCGUGCCUUAUACCUCCCAAUUGAGCCAUCAGCAUUCUUUUUUAUCUUAUAUACCCAUUUACACCCGAUUAAAUUCUUGUGACGGGGCAAUGGAACCAAUGACCAUGUUCCCUGAUUAUGCAAAGCCAAUAUCUCAUCUUGCAUAGCAUUAAACCAAACUGGGGAUUUCAACGCAGACUUAUAUGUUGCAGGUUCCACUUAUGUCAAAUCAACCCCCCCAUGUUCAUGAACCUGAGCAAGUAAAGCAAGCUUCUUAAUAAUACCACUUUUGGAUCGUGUCUGCAUAGGAUGGAAGUUCACUGGGGGAACAGAGAGAACCACUUGGAGCUGCUCAGGUUGGAAUUCAGGUACCACAGGAGGUGCAGGGGAGAAGGGUUGUGUAGUUGGAGAAGUAAUGGAAUGAGUAGCAGUUGAAUUUCCUGCACUGUCAGGUGAACCUGUAAUUGGAACCGUAGUGGAGGCUGCUGAAAGUUGCUGGAGUACCAGAUUUGGCAUGCCACUAGAGAUAGAAUCUGAGCUUAAUGAUGCAGGACACUCAGUGUAGGGAUUAAGUGACUCGUGUAACACAAGUACAUUACUAUGAUUAGGAACUGGAAUUGGUGUUUGAGAAUGUGAUGGAGGUGGUGAAAUAGUGGUACAGUGAGAUUUAGAGACCAAAGAACGAUAAGGAAACUCUGUCUCAUCAAAUAAAACAUGUCUAGAAAUAUACAUUUUGUUUUUAGAAGCAUCAUAACAAAGAUAGCCUUUAUAGUUAGAUGCAUAUCCCAAAAAGAUACAUUUUGCAGUGCGGGGAUCUAACUUGGUAUGAGUAUAAGGCCUUAACCAAGGAUAACAAGAACAGCCAAAUAUUUUCAAAUGUGUUAUUACUGGUAUGGAAUUGUGCAGCAAUUGAAACGGAGAUAAAUUUCCCAAGGAAGAAGAUGGCAUUCUAUUAAUGAGGUACACUGAGGUUUUGCAGGCAAAAGACCAAAACACUGAGGGUAAGGAAGCAGACUGUAGCAAAGCAAUGGAAAUUUCAAUAAUAUGCCUGUGUUUUUGUUUAGCUAUUCCAUUCUGUUCGGGUGUGUAAGGACAGGAAAGUUGGUGCUUAAUUCUUUUAUCAGACAAAAAUUGUUGAAAUGCUUUGUUUAUGUAUUCACCACCACCAUCACUGUGAAGAGUUUUAAUGGCUACUUGAAACUGAUUUAAGAUGAAAUUGUAUAAAGAAACAAAUAUACCCGAAACAUCACUUUUAUUGCACAUGGGAAAAAUCCAGCAAUAUUUUGUACAAUGGUCAAUGAAAGUGACAUAAUAUCUAAAUCCAUCUAGAGACACACAAGGAGCAGGACCCCACACAUCACUGUGAACAAGAUCAAAAGGUUUUACAGAUUUAUCUACGGAGGAAGGAAAUGG